rnacentral:lncRNA from 1 species
UUGCCUCUUAAUUCUUUCUUGUAUAAUUGUUAAAUGGUGUGCGAUCACUUCUUCAUCAACUUUUAUCAAAAUCUAUUAAAAAAUUAAUUUUCAACAAAAUCAAAUGUGUUUAAUAUGUUUAGAUAAAAAAGUUAUUUAAAAGUAACGUUUACCUAAAUUUUAGCUAGACAGGUAAAUAUUUAACUAAUUUUUAAUAUUUUGUCUCAUAAUUCUUUCUUCUACAAUUGUUAAAUGGUGUAACAUCACUUCCUUCGUGGUUUAGACACUUUAUGCUUACAGAAUCACUUUAUCACAUAUAUGUUCUAUUGACAUAUUUGAUUUAUUGGAUCUGAAAAUAAUAAAAAGAUCAAAGAAUAAAAAAAAAAAGUAAUAUCUGCCAUGCCAUGAUAUCCAGUAUAGUGAAUACCAAACGUGUUGCAUAGUUCUUCAUGCUUUUCAAUUUUUUGAUAUCAAGAAUUUUGGGAUCAUUUUUCACAUAGUUGACAUACAAUGUCAAGAAAUAAAAACACAUCAAAUAGGGAAAGGUAUGAUCAUUGAUUAAAAAAACUUACUAGGCAUGUAGAUUUGAUGAUUGUGCCAGGAUCAUAAUCUUGAAGGUUUGUGCCCUCAAUAGCUGAAAGGAUCACGUCCAUAAAAUCCUGCUUACUACCAGAAUUUGCCUUUUGCUUGUGCUCUUCCAACCAUUUCUCAACAAUUUUAUCCAUUUCUUUUCCAGUUUCUUUCAUUUUUUUCUCAUAUCCACCUAUAUCCAACCAUCUAAGGUAAGGGAUAUUAUCAGCCACAAUAAAAAUUCCAGUUAAAUGAAAGAAAUCCCUCAACACUUUCUGGCACUGCCUUGCCUCUAUUUUAUCCCCAUCAACAGUUGCACCAAAAUAUCUCUUCCCUGCAACCAUUCUGAGAAUAACAUUCAAAUUCAAGUCCCCGAACCACUGCUUCAUUUCCACCAAAACCCGACCCGACCCAUCUUUCUUCUCGUUCCAGUACUUGUAAAGCUCUUGUAUGGAUACCUAUUAAAGACAGGAUUUAAACGGAUACAAUUUCGCAUUUAUCUAAUUGCUUUUAGAUGAUUUUGUUAAAUAGUAGACAAAAUACUAUAGUUUAAGUUUCACUACCUCGAAUUUAUAAAAAUUAUGCACAUAUCAUACCUUUGAUCAUUGAUAAUAAUCCAGUCUCGAGAUGAAUGGCAUGUUGGAGACGCAAUUGAAAUAAAUACAUGUGGUCAUUCUCUAUGAUCUUAAGCUUUAAAAUAAGUUGGUUGACAAUACCUCGGUUUCGGAAACACGUAUGUGUUGAAGGAGCUCCAGUCUUCGGGGAGAGAAUAAUUCCACGGCUAUUAGUUUUCGUAGUUCACGCCAAUAGGUGCCAUAAGGGGAGAAUCCAAACAUGGCGAAGUCAUAGCCUAUGUGCUUGGCUGCAAGAAAUUUUGGACGUGAAGAUAUAAUCACAUCCCAGGUGGUGAACAAUUCUUUAGCCAAUUCCCAGUUGUUCACCACUAGAGUUUCGUGUACUCCGAGCUGGAUUGUAAAGAUUGGUCCAUACUUGUCCGCCAUUGCUGCCAGGAUGAUGUGUGGAAGACGUGAGCUGCCACCUAUGACGUGGAGGUGGCCUAUAAUGGGCCAUGCCCCACCAGCUUCCCGCGGUGAACUGUUUUUGGUAGCUUUAGACCUAGAUUUCCAGUAAAAAAUCAAAAGUAGCGCAAAUAUUGCAGCUAUGGAAGAAUUGAGAUGUGAGACCGAGAAUUCCAUGGUUGUCUUGACCAAAGAUGGGUUUCCUAGUUAAUUUGUUACUGUGACCUGGGGGCUCAUAUAUAAGCAAGCAAGCAUGCUCGGCUAAGCAUAAAAAGUUUGCUUAUAAAUAAGUAAGUUAUGAAUAAACUAUUUUUUAAUAAUAAAAGUUGAAAAAUAGUAAAUUACUUAUUUUGAGAGUGGUAAUUGUUACUUUUAAAAUAAUAAAUUUUUAUUACUUAAAAGGAAAUACUAAAUUAUCCAUACACGUUUGAAAAAAAUACAUUUUUAUAUACUUAAAACAGUCUUAAAAAUAUUACGGUGCAUUUGAUUUGCGUUUCUGUUUUUUGUUUUAAUGGAUAAUUUUAAGAUUGCAUAAAACGAGUUGGUUUGUUAUUCUAAAAAACUACUUACAAAAAAUAUAUGUACAUAUUAAAAAAAAAAAGAAACAAAAGAAAAAGAUAGAGGAAUCAUUGUAAGAUUGAGAAACAGCGCCAGAAAAUUGGAUUCUCCACUAAGGUUCUUGGAGGAACUUGGAAAGAGUGCGCGCGCGAGAGAGAUAGUGAGAGGUAUUGAAAGCUGGAUAUUUGUUUUUGAGCAGGUUUUUAUGAUUUUAUUAAUUAUUUUAAUUUGAGAAAAUUUUAAAUUCAUUUUCUUUGUUUUGACUUUUCUGAAUGUUUUGAAAAUACUCGAAAUGUCAAAAGUCAUUUUUAGUUUUUUGUUGUAAAAUUUUUCUUAUUUACGAAAAUGCAUUUUUAAAAAUAACAUAUCAAAUACGUUUUUAGUGUUUUAGAAAAUUGAAAAUUGCCUCAAAAUAGCAAAUUAAAUGCAAUCUUAGUUCCUCAUUUUUUCAGAUGUAACUUUGAAAUCAAACUUCCCAUUUUGAGAUAAGGGGCGCUUUCGAUUCCAUCGGUGAUUGAAGUAAUUUUGUCUUCUCCAUAUUACUAUAGGGAAAAUUGCAGUCGAGGUACCAAACAUUUUGUUUAUUAGCAGACUUUGCCCAAACUUUUAGUUUGUGCCAACCAUGAUACCAAACCUUUCAAAAAUUUGCGGUUGAAGUCCAAAUGGAUGGAAACUGUUAGUUUGACCAUUAGUUAACUAAAAAAUUAACAAUGGCCAUAAUUUUGACUAAUUUUAAAAGGAUAAAAUGGUAAAUCUACAUUUUCCAACAAAAACAUCAUUACAAUAAAUUAAUAAUUAAAUAAAAAAAACCCAAAACAAAAACACUGUUCAUCUUUUUCUCCACUUACCCCCCUCACACCCACUCGCCAUCCAUCCCAAAACCUGUGUUUCUGAAACCUCAUUUUGUUUUCAAUUUGAAACACUUUUCAAUCAUUUUAUGGAUCUUAAAUAACUUGCGCUUCGAUCCAAAAAUUGAAUCAAGAAAUGACAGUGAAGGAAAUAUAUCUCCAACAUUAAAUAUUCCUGCAAAGGAUGUUGCUUCUUUUCCCAACUCGAUUAGUGAAUCUUGGUAAUCAACUGUGCUUCUGCAAACUAUCAAAUUCUCAGCAUCCCCAAAAUCGAGUGCAAAGAAGAGCCCUAAAUUAGCCAACCUUGAUUUCGGUCACCGCGAAUCUUCUAACCGAUGAACCACCCAUACGAAAAUUAGAAAAUUCCCAAGGCUCUCCCUACUUCCACAACUUGGAAAAUCGGGGAACUCCCACGAAGUUUUUUGGUUAAUUUGCAAGAAGUUUUGUUGGGAACAAAGCUAUGGAUUUUGUUUCUGGCAAUUCCAUUUGCCAUCGCUGCUAAGUGUAAAAAUUUCGGUGGGGUGGGGAGGUUGAAGAAGACAACUCUUUUUUAAUUUCUUUUCUUAAUUUUUUGAUUUUUUCUUGAUUUUUUGAUUUUUUCUUGGUUCAAUUUAUUUAAUAUUGUAAUUAUCAAGUUAUCAUUUUACCCAUUCCAAUUUGGUCAAAGUAGGUCAAAAUUUUUUUUUCUUGGUCAACUAACGGUCAAAUGGACAGUUUCCAUCCAUUUGGACUCGGGUGCAGAUUUUUGAAAAGUUUGAUACCUCCAGUGGCACAAACUAAAAGUUUGGACAAAGUCUGCUGAUGAACGAAAGGUUUGGUAUUUCGACUGCAAUUUCCCCAUUACUAUAUCUCUAUAGUCAAUAUAUCACGAAAUUUGCUUUGUCAGAAAAUAAGUCAUGAUUGCCUAAACUUGAAAAAGGUAAAACUUACAUUUUUUUAUUACAAUGAAAUUUGGGUAGAAAGAAAACGAAUUUUUGGGAAUUGAAUUGCCUAAAACUUGUUUUAUUGGGAAUUGUGAAUUAAAUGUGUUUGAUUAGUACAAUUUUCUACCUGAAAAAUGUUGAAAUUUUGGUAUUCUGUUGGCUUUAUUUUUCACGAAAAUUGUAAAUUAAAGGGGUAAAAUUGAUUACAAUUGUGGAUAGAAUUUGUUUCCAUUGCAAAAAAAAUAAAAGUUGGAAAACUGAUUUCCAUGAAACCCAUGGGAAUUGAAUUCCACUAAACUAGGGGAAAUGGGUCAUGUGGGAGGGGGGGAUGGAAAAUGAAUUGCCAAGAAAUUUUUUGCAAUCAAAAAAGCAAAAAGGUGGAAAAUUUUUCGUGGAAAAUUCCUCAAAUCAAACAGGGACUUGGAAAAAACCCCUUGGUUGUCUUACAUUACACAUUCUAAGAUUAAGCAGAGUGUGGCCUACCUAAAUUUUCUUACAUUAAUAUUCAUCGUUCACAGUCCACUCAAACUACCAUAUGACUAGUGCCCCAGAACCUGCCACAAAUGUUACUACCAUACAUUUAACAUUUGUAAUAAUUGAAGCCAAAUAAUGUUAUUUAUUACCAUUAGUGUUAGAGCAUCAAUUUAGACUGUUGCACUUUAUAAACUUAAUUAAAUGAGAUGUGUGAGUACUUUGCAUUUAAAUAAAUCUAUCAUCUAAUGUCAUAUAAUUAUUAUCUAAACUGGUGUUUAACACCAAUGAUGAUUAAUAUCAUUAUUCAUUGAAGCCAGCUUCUCAACUAUGUUUUGUUUCAGAGUUUACAUUUCAUAUAGAAGUGUCGGCUAAAGACCUAGAGCUUGUGUUUGGCUAGUUUUUAUAAAUUGUAUAAUUGAUAAAAUUAUUUUUUUAUCCAAUAUCUAUUAAAUGAAACAGAAGUAUUACUUAUUUAUUCACAAGUAAUUUCAAUCAAUUUAUAAUUUAAACCGUUUACAAACACUUGCCAACAUGCCUUGUGAACUCAAAGUGGCCAAACAAAUUUCCACUCGUCAAGUCUCAAGCAAUAUACAUAUAUACAGCCCAUUAUAAUCUAUGCCGUGACACCUCUAGACCCAAGGACCCUAAUGCCACGAAACAUGCUUGCUUUAAAGUUAAAUUAAGAAUCAUUUUUCUUUCAGAAGUAAAAACUAAUCUCUAAUUUUAAAAUUGGCGCGGGAAGACGAGAAAUUGACUCUAAAUAAUUUAUUAAGCCCUUUGGCCCCAUUCUCAUCCUCAUUCUUUUUCUUUCUCCUAUUUUCAACCACAUAAUCUUCUAUAAAAAUAACAUUAUCUGCAAAUAAAAAAAAAUUCAUUCUUUUUCAACCAUACAUUUUAAAAAAUAUAUUAUUCCAAUCAUUAAAAUUUGACAAGAAUAGGUGCCAAACGGGAGCUAACUUACUCUCAAUUUAGAGCCUCUUUGGUUCAAAUUAAAAUCUGAUUUUAAUUUAAGAAGAAUUCAAACAAUCAAUAUUAAUAACUUCUUUGUCCCACAAUUUUUCAAUCACACAUUUCAAAAACUUUUAUCAUAAUCUUCUAAAAAGAUCUAAUUUUAAUAUCAACUAAACACCCUUGUAAUAUGUGUUCACUUAAAAAAUAUGAUAACAUAUAUAAAACUUCGCAACACAAAAUUCAAAAGUUGUAAUAUACAAUACUAUUAAGCAGAAAGUUGUAAAUACAUGUUAACAUAAAAUAAUAUAUUCAAAUAAUAACUACAACUCUUAAAAUGCAAAAUUUUAUUCUCUUUAUUUAUCUUCUCCUCCAUCUUAUUUCAUAUCCUUUCUGAUGCAUCAUCCUUCCACUGAAAAUAAAAUUAUUAAAUCUUAUUAAAAUGAGAGAAAAUAAUAAAAUGAAAUAUGACUUCUGGGAGCACCACAAAUACUGAAUUUCUAACUCAUGAUUAAUUUCAAAAUACUUAAUGUUUGACUCUGAUUUUAAAUUUUAAGGAGUUUAUAACUUUAACCAAUCUUGCUUAAAGUAAACAAUAUGGAGUUUAUAUCAUAGAAUUUGUUAAAGUAAAUAGUAAUUGUUUGUAAAAAUGAGUGCAGCUAAACAAAACGUGACAACAUAAUUUCUUUCUCAAGUAUAAUUUCUUUUUAUUUUCGUCUCUUACUAUAAUUGACUUUUAUUAUCGUUUCUUAGUAUAGUUUAUUUCUCCAGUUUAUCAGUAGAUUUUGUUGUUUUGAGGAAAAAUGAUUCCUUCUAUUCAAAGUUUGUCGUGGUGUUCUGUCUCGCCAAGAACGGGUGGGUCCAUUAGUCAUUAAAAUGCAUAUUUAACUAAUACUAAAUUAUAAUGUUGAUUAAGUGAAGAUGCAAAAAUAAUGGCCUAAAUAAUAAAAAGAAUUAAGCCAAGAUGAAAAAUAAUUAUCAACUUCUGAUCAUGGUAAGGUAGAGUUGGAAACAUUCUAAUUCCUAACAUGAGCCGCAUCGUGUAGGCUAUGUUUGUCACACUUUCUUUGAAAUUCGUUCGGAAUUGGAAUGUGAUAAACCAAUUUAAUGAUUGAAAUUGAUUCUUAGUCUUUUAUCUAUUAUCUUCUUUAUAUGGAACAUAUUUUAUUUACACAAGUGGAAGUGCAUAAACACAAAGUAGCAAUAAAAAAGUGUGGCGUAGGCAUCGAAAUUUAUGAGAAAUUUUGUGUUAUUCAUUAGUCAUUGAGUUUUAUUUUCUUUUAAAUUGUCAGUUAAAUAUGCACAUUAUUUCUGUUAUACCACUCCAUUAACCUCUAUCUAAUCUACUUCUGUAAUUUUUAUCUAAUUUAUAAUGCAAAUUCCAACGUGGAUUGCAUAAAUACAGUUAUUGAACUUCAAGCAGAAUUUAAUGUUGCUCGUCAAAUUUUAUUUUGCUCUAAACUAGUCACUUAAAUAUGUUAACUAUGCAAAGGUGAGUAAUAGAACUAAACAGGAAAAUGAAAUUUAUAGAUAGAGAGAUACACCACCAUUGUGAUGAGGAGAAGAGGGAAAGAAAGGAAGUAAUAAUCUUAAAGUUCAAUAAUUCAAUACAUGAAUUCUCAAAAUUGACAAAACCUGGAAAAAACUCAAUAUCUUAUCAAGGGAGGUUAUAUUGACACCGCAUUUUAUUUUGUUGCCUACUUUUAUAUGCGUUUAAAGUCUUCAACUUUUACUCAUUAUCUCAAUUCUGUUCCUUACCUUUUAUAUCACAUUUUUAUCUUCAACGUUGGAUGUAUUAACACAUCUUAAUUAUAUCCAAAUAUUCUGCUGACUUCAUUUGAAAUGAAUAGCAAAUAUUCCAUUGUGUUAUAAAGUAGAGAAGAAAAUAUAGAAGUCAGUAGAUUCGUGUGUUUAUUUUAUUAAGAACUAGUGUCUCAUAUUUAUAAUUAGAGCUGUAAGGAUACAAUUGUUAUUCGAUAAUUCUACUUUAUUUACAAUAUUUCCCUUAAAUGAUUAUUUACACAAUAACUGCACCAUUUAAAGCCUUAUUUGACAUAAGUUUGAUAGGAUAAAAAUACAAAACAAAGGAAAAAAUAUUAUAAACAAUUUAGAGUAAUAAAAUGAUGACUCGUUAAAAUAUCGUUAAGAAAAUUCAAUGAGGCAAAAUUUGAGUGAAGGAAAAAAAUAUACAACUACACCCCUUGAUUAUAAUUAAUGAAAUCAUUCUAUGAAGUCAUUCAUAUCUUUUAUGAUAAUAUUAUCAAUAUAAUAAUUCUGAUAAAGUAUGUUCCAUGUUAUCAUGUUACAAUCCAAAGCAAUAUUAUCAUUAGAUAAGAUGACAAAUGUAUUUUAUACAUUUAUUCAUGGUCUUAAAUAGCAAUAUUUAGUUGUUCCUCUGAUGAAAUAUAAUCUAAAUUGUUGUAUUUUGUGUUAAACAGGUAAAGUUCAAUGGUUGAAUAAAGAAUUAGAAGUAAGGAAAACCAGAAAAAGAAUGAAAUCCAAAAGAUGGGGACCAAGUUGCAACAAUUCAAUAGAUGAAUCGGACCAUAAAUCGGAGAUUGAAGAUGUUGGGGGUUCAAUUGGAUGGACUUAGAAGUUAAGCGGGCCCAACUUAGGUUAAAGAGGAAGAAAAAGACAUUCCGUAGAAGUACGAGGACCAAAAUGCACAAAAUAGAAAAUAUAUUGAACUAGACGACGACAUAGUUAAAAAUCCAUGCAGGGCAAAUUUGGAGUUCAACAAGUGAACUAUGCGGAUGUAUGCAAGAAUAUUAUUCUGUCGCAUAGUACAAAAUUUUGGUCUAAUCUUAGGCUUCCUUGUAGGAUUAAAAUCCAACUUGACGAGGUAUUGAGCUAUAUGUUUGACGUAGAUUCGAGCCAUAUAAAUACCAUAACAUCCCAUAACAUAGAAGAGACUCUUUUAUGCAAUGAAAUUACUCAAAAACUUGAAGAUUGUGAGAGAAAUUUAUUAAAGAUGAGGGCAAAAGACAAAUUUGUGGGAGAUUUCAUCUAAGGAAUUGCAAGAAGAUUAUCAAGGAGACUUCAUAUUAGGAAAGUUGCACAAGGACUGAGAGGAAAAUUCAAAAGAUAUCAAGAAUACAUCAUUUCUCUUCAAUUAUUCAAUUUUAGGGUGAUCUUUAUGCUAGGCUAGAUUUUUACAUUGCUAGGACAAUAUGAACCCUUGUUAUGAGAUUUUUGGUAUUUAUUAAUUAUUUUGACGUCAAGCACGUAUGUUUUCUUGAAUGUUUAUUAUUGUUUUCAUCGAUUUCUCAAUUAAUUAACUACUAAUUGAGAUCAUUUACUGGAAUUUAGCUAAAAAUAAUAAGCAUUGUAAAGUUUGAUAGAUAAUAGAGAUAUACCUCUAUGCUUUACAUAGUUUCCAUAAGUUAUAAACCGUUUAAUGCAUUUCUCAUGUUCGUAGCUUUCAUUGAAAAAUAGAAAGAUCACAUGAGAGGAAUAGAUUUGAUCAUUAUCAAGAGAGGUUUUCAAAUAAAUUAGGAUCAUUGACCAACAAGAAUGACUAUUAACUAUCACUUUAAUUUGUUGUGCUAAAGUAUAUUAACAAUGUGGAUUUGACAUCUUAGCAAUACUUUCAUAUAUUUGAAAAAAAAAAAAACCUUGUUAAAUCGCUUUCUAAUUUAAUUCAUAAUUUAGAUAUUAGUAUAGAAAACUCAAAAUCUGUUUGCUAUUCGAUUAAUGUUGCUAUUAAUUUGAAUUUGAUUGAAUACUUAGUUCACGUGUGUUCGACACUUUACAAAUUACUUUAAUAGUACAUUGAAAAACAGAUUUUGUUGCUCUGUACGAGAGUCUCAUAUAUAAUUUAUAACAUACAAUGGUAAAAUCAUAAUAUUAUAUUGAAGAUAAAUGUCAUAUAGGUUAUAGACAUUCAUUAAAACAUAAUACGUUAAAGCCUUACUAAAGGAAACCCUAUUUAAAAAUCGUAAUGAAGGAAAAAAAGUAUAUUAUUUCUCUAAAUAAGCUAUAAUAGUUGUCGCAUUAAAAACUUUACUAGGAAAAUCCAGUGGAACAAAACAUUGAUCAAGGAAAAAAGAGUACGGCACAUAUAUGCUUUCCCUCAUGAUAAAAUACUUGAAUUAUAUGCUUCAAAUAUAUUAAACCCUUUAGGGAUAGUAUUAGUAAUCGUGAUAAAUGAGUUGAUUAUAAUUACAUUUAUACUAUGCAUAUCAAGCUUUAUGUAUUGAAAGAUAAUAAAAUAUAGAUUUGUGAUUGCAUCCACCAAAGAAUAAUUUAUCUUUGUAUACCAAUCUUUGAGAAUUUUAUCUUAAGAAUCAUGCAUUACAUAUUACGACUUUAUUUUCAUUUCCUUCUCAUAUACGUAUACAUGUUUAGAUGCUAUGAUUGUAGGUCCAAAAAUUUCAAAUUUCUUUAGUAAGUUCAAGUUUGUUAGGAUGCAUUUUUUUAUUUGACCAAUUAUUUAUACGUUGGUAUUAUUCGACGAAUUUCUUUCAAUAUUCUCACGAACAUUUGAAGAUGCAUUAAAAUCAAAGGAACUUUCAAUGAGAUUGUGCAAAACAUAAAUAAUUGUCCCUUAAAAUCUAGAGGACCUUAUGUGAUUGCUACUUGUGCUAAAUUCCUAUUUCUCUUUCCGAAUGUAAAUAAAAAUCAUACACUAAUUCAAUCAAUGGCCAAUUAAUUGAAAAGAGUUAAACUACUAAUAAUCAUUCAAACUGAACAAACAUUUAAAGUGUCAAAAUUCAUAAUUUUAUGUAAAAACAUCAAAACAUAGGGUUCGUCAUUAUCAUAACAACUAUACAACUAGCUAGACAUUAUAAUAAUACAAAAACAAGAACAAAAUGAAUACAACAUCACUCAAAUUAAAUGUUUGAAAAGAAACAUGGAAAAUGGUCCUUGUUUAAACCUCAAAAAAUGUACCUCCAACGUGGACAACAGAUCUCAAGGUCUCUCACGUCCAUGCAAGCCUUAUUCCUACACACUCAGACAAAACGUCAACCACACGUGGGGAUGGAGUUAGUUGUACACACUCCGGCAAUCAAAUCAAUUGGAAAAAAAUAUAUGGGUGUGAGGGAGCUUUAGACGUGAGCCACAAAUACACAAAAGGAGGUCGGCUUUAGGAGCUAACAAAUAGAACAGUGAUAUGGCAAAGUUAUAGUGUAACAGUCUGAAUUUGUCUUUUACCCUGGAAUGAUACCAAGUGCGAACUUUUAUAGUAGAAGAGGAUGAGUAAGAACGUAUGUAAAAAGAGACUUGUAGCCUCAUCCUAGUAGCUGGGACCUCUUAUCAUAGGCAUCAAUCAAUUAGACCUGGUUCAUAUGCAUUUAAUCUUCUGACUAUUUACAGUCCUAAGCCUGACAUGGAAAACUAUACUUGACAUGUUGAUUGAGUAGAGCUGCCUAUUCAAUAAGUUGUCACAUUACCCAUUUGUUAUAAGAUCUUGUAUGAAGAUCUUCCCUAAGAUGCCUUUAUCUAUCUCACCUCAUCCAUGAGGGCUCGGCUCCCCAUGGGGGUUCAGCUAAUAGGGGUUUAGCCAAUUAGGAUUUGGACAAAUUACUACAUGUGUAGAAUGAUGUGGAGUGCUAGCCUAUGUUUUCUUGCUGUGCGGUUGCCACUUGGCAAUGUUUAGAGCAUCAUUGAAAGAGGCAUAACAAUAGUCUGCCAAGUCCAUGUACGAAUAUUAAUAUAACGUGCAGACUUAGAAUGUACAAUAUAAGUAGAUUUUUGAAGAGUUUGCAGACCUAAUUUAAGAGGAAGCCCUUAAAGUUAAGCAAGCCUUAUGGAGAAGAUAAAGCAUGUGAUAAGGUUGAAUUGGACUUGGGCAACACUUUUCCAUAAAGGAGAGCUCAUUAUUAAGAGACAACCAUUUAUAAGGCUGAAUUGAACUUGAUUGAGGCCUGUUGCAUAAGGUAAAGCCCAUUCAGGGUAAGCGACAACCAUUGAUAAAGCCCUUUGUAAUACCCAUUGCAUAAGAAAGAGCCCAUUAGCGAAGAGGUAAUCAUUGAUAAGGCUGAAUUGAACUUGAUCGAGGUCGUUUGCAUAAGGAAAAGUCCAUUCGAGAAGUGCAAGCUGAUGAUAAGAUUGAAAUGAACUUGGCUAGGGCCUUUGGUAUAAGGAAAAGUCCAUUCGAAAGCAGCAGUCAUGGAUAAGGCUGAAAUGGACUUGGCCGAGGCCCUUUGUAUAAGGAAGAGCCCGUUUGGGAAAGAGACAGCCAUUGAUAAGGCUUAAUUGAAGUUGGCUGAGGCCCUUUAAAAGACCAUUUACAUGAGGGAGAGCCCAUUAGUAAAGAGAUAACCAUUGAUAAGGAUGAAUUGAAAUUGGCUAAAGCCUUUCGUAUAAAGAAGAGCCCAUUCUGGAAGAGAUGGCCAUGGAUAAGGUUGAAAUGAACUUGUCCGAGGCUCUUUGUAUAAGGAAAAGUCCAUUCGAGGAAGAGACAUCUGUUGACAAGGUUGAACUAAACUUGACCCAGGCCCUUUGCAAGACCCUUUACAUAAGGGAGAGCUCAUUAAUGAAAAAGUAGUCAUUGAUAAGUCUAAAUUGAAUUUGGCCCAAGCCCUUUGCAUAAGGAAGAGUCCAUUCGGGGAAGAGGCGAUCGUUGAUAAUACCGAAUUGAACUUGACUGAAACCCUUUGCAUAAAGAAAAGCCCAUUUCGGGGAGAGGUGCCUAAUGAUAAGGCUGGAAUGAACUUUGCCGAGGUCCUUUGCAAAAACCUUUGCAUGAGGGAAAGCCCAUUAGUAAAGAGAUAAUUGUUGAAAGGCUAAAUGAACUUGGCCAAGGCCCUUUACAUAAGAGGAGCUUAUAGACCUCUCUUUCUGAGGUCAUUUUACCUCCUUAUAAGGGGGUAGCUCUUCCAUGUAAGGGCUUCGAUCCAUAUAUGGGAAGGGUUAAUCCUCUAAGGUAACAAGUUGUGGCGCUCUGUAGGAUGCAUCAUAGUUGUCCUUGAUGAGGCUAUUUUACCACAUUACAAGGGGAUAGCUCUUUGUUGCAGAGGUUUCAUUUAUGAUGUUUGAUCCAUCCACAUAAGGGGUUAAUCCUCUAAGGUAACAAGUUGUGGCUCUCUAUAGGUUGCAUUACAUUUGUCCUUGAUGAGACUAUUUUACCUCCUUACAAAUGGAAAGCUCUUCAUUGCAAAGGCUUCCUCCAUGAUAUUGGAUCCAUUCCAUGGAAGGGAUUAAUCCUCUAAGGUAACAAGUUGUGGCUCUCUAUUGGAUGCACCGCACUUGUCCUUGAUGUGGAUAUUUUACCACCUUAUAAGGGGAUAACUCUUCUUUGGUUUCCUCCAUGAUAUUUGAUCCAUCCAUGAAAGAGGUUAAUCCUCUAAGGUAACAAGUUGUGGCACUCUAUGAGAUGCAUCACACUUGUCCUUGAUGAGGCCAUUUUACCUCCUUGGAAGGAGAUAGCUCUUCCUUACAAGGGCUUCUUCUUUGGUAUUUGAUCAAUUCAUGGAAGGGAUUUUAUAUAAUUGAAACACUGAUACUUAGUUAUGAUGAAGCCUUGCAUGGUCGAGGCAAUGAUACAUAGGUGAGAUGAGUUCUUGUAUAGCGAAGGUACUGAUGCAUAGGCGGGAUGAGGCUUUGGAUAACAUAGUCCAAUACUUCAAGGAUAAAGCCUAUUAAUUCAUAAAAUAUGACCUCCUUUUCAGAGAUCCUUGCUUCUUUAGGAAUUAUUCAUCAUAGCCUCUUUUUCAAAGGCCUCCAUUUUUUAGGAAUAGUAGAGGCACUCAUGCAUCAACGAGAAGAGACCUUCACACUUAGAAAAAUUGUAGUUUAAAGAUAUUUUUAUGCUCCAUGGAUGAAGCCUCGUAAUUCUUCAAAUAUGGCCCCUUAUUUAGGGAAUGUUCCUUUCAUAGCCUAUUCUUUAGAGACUUUCCUUUUGUGGUGGUUCUUUUAUUCACGGCAUCUUCAAAGGCCAACUCUUUUUGAGGGUCUUCAUUUUAUGAGGAUGCUUUGGCUCAUAGGUCAAACUGAAAAUUACCUUCAAGUUCUUCAAUAAUUUCAUAACUAGGUCCCUCAACCUUUUAUCUUCUACAUUUUGGUCCCAAUAUUUUGAUUUUUAUUGCGAUCAUGCCCUUGAUAAAUUGCAUCCAAAGUCCUUCAACUCUUAACACUUCUACACUUUAGUCCCACUUUUAGCCUUUUUCUCUUUUUUUGCAUUGUUCUCUUCAAUUUAGGAAUUUUACUCACAUGUGGGAGGCGCUUAUGCAUAGGCUAUGAAGAGGCAUUGCAUGGCGGAAACAUUAUUGAAUAGGCCAAUACGAGGCCUCUACAUUUGAAAAAAUUACAGUUGUAGAGUUGGAGUAUUGCUACAAGAUUGAAGCUUCUGAAAAUAGAUGAAGCAUUUGUAUAGAGUUGAAGUCCUAUGUUUCAGGGAUGAGGCCUCUUAAUUCUUCAAACUUGUUCUUUUCUUUAGGGUUUCUCCCGUAUAGCCUUUUUUUGUUUUUUUUAAAGCUUCCCACUUUUUAAAGGUUAUUCAAUUCAUGAUUCGUUUUUUCAAGGGCCUCCCCUUUUCAGGAGUUCUUCUCCCCUCUUCAGGAGUUCUUCUGCUUAUAGCUUUCUUUUUUGUAGGCCUCCUCCUUUAUAGGGGUCAUGCAUAUUCCAUUACAUUUGGAUAAGGAAUUAUUGCAUAGUAGUGACUUUUGUUCGGAGGACCUCUCUUGAUCUCCUUGGGUGUCUAGCUUAUAACUAGCACUUGUUGUAGGUAGAUGUCUCUUUUAUUCAAAUAGAGAAUCUUUUGAGUGGAUUUUGACCUCAAAAUACUAAUUUUUCAAGUAGUGUAAACACUCAAGAUGUUGAGUUGAACUUCGAAUCUUCUAUCUUGGGGGCUUUUACUCGCACUUUAUACAAGAGCAAAAUUUUUGUCAAAGGAAAAGCUUCAUCGUUGCUUGAGCUUAUGGUAAAGAGGCGUCUCUUUUCUUCAAAAGGGGUUCUUCUAAGUGGAUCUUAGACAAAAUACUCAUUUUUCAAGGAGCGUGAAUACCCAAGAUGUUAGGUUGAACUUCAAACUUCUAUCUAUGGGGCUUCUACAUGUUCUUUAUUAAAAAACAAAACCUUUUUUCAAAAGGGAAGCUUAGGCAUUUUUUGUAUGUUUUUUCCACGAGAUGUUCUUGCUUAUAGUUUGGUUUUCUAUGGACGGCGCCAAUCUGCUGACCCCAUAAAAUGUACCUCCAACGUGGCCAACAAAUCUCAAUACCUCUCACAUCUACGCAAGCCUUGUUUCAAUCAAGGGAAACCUCUGAAAUUAUUUCCAUAUUAAACCUUGGACAUUUAAGAGUUCCAAAUCAAGUACACGUGGCCUCGUCCGGUGGGUGGAGUUGGCUACGUGCACUCCAACGAUCAAGUCAGUUGGGGAAAAAAUAUGGGUAUGGGAGAGCUUUAGAUGUGAUCUUCCAAUAUAAAAAGGAAGUCGACUUUGUGGAGUAACAAAUGAAACAGUGAUAUGCUAAAGUUAUAAUGUGAGAGUCUAAACUUGCCUUUUCCCCUGGAAUGACACCAAGUGUGAGUUUUUAUAGUAGAAGAGGGUAAGUUAGAAUCGUUGGAUGAAGAGACUCGAGGCCUCAUCCUAGCAGCUGGGGCCUCAUGUCAUAGGCAUCAAUCAGUCAAACCUAUGCUCAAUUGCAUUUAAUGUGAUAACCAUUUGCAACCCAAGGCUUGACAUGUAAGACUAGACUUAAUUUGUUGAUUGAGUAAAGUCACCUAUUCAAUUAGUUGUCACAUCAUCCACUUGUUAAAAGAUCACGUCUGAGGGUCUUCCCUAAAAUACCUCUACCUACCUCGCCUUAUCUAUGAGGGCUCGGCUCUCCAUGGGGUUUGGCUAAUAAAGGUUUUGCCAAUUGUGGUUCGGGCAUAGGGGUUCAGCCAAAUUGCCACAUGUGCAGAAUGAUAUAAAGUGCGUGUCUAGGUUCUCUUGCUAUAGAGUUGCCACUUGGCAAUGCUUAGAGUCUCGUUGGGAAAGGCAUAACAAUCUUAAAUCUUGAAUUCCUUUAAUGGUUCCUGAUCAAUCUCUUGAUAGUUUUUCCUCAACUCCUAGCAAAGAUAUAUGAAAAGAUGGAAAAUCGGUGUUUGUGUAAAAGCUUCUUCAAAGUUUAAAUGAAUUUCUCAAUUUGUAUCCAAUGGCCCCUUAUUCUCUACUAAAUAUGUGUUCUUCUAUGUACAGGAGCUUCAUAGCUUUCCUUAGUUUCACUCAUUUGUUCAUUCCAAGUCCUUUUUUAAUACAAGUUCUAAAAUUUGCAAUUAAGUCCCUAAAUAUUUCAUAUAUUAAAUUUAGCUCUUGAAACUUAUGAAUCUCAUAUGAUUGCCUCAUUAAUUUUUCCAAUUGAUUAUAUGAAAAUUAGUUGGUUUUUCAUUAUUUCGAAUCAACUCUAAUUAAGGUCCAGAUUUCAUUUUUUCACUCCAAGUAAAUUCAAGCCGAUGAUCUACCUAUAAUUAACAUAUUUAACCUAAAUGAAGCAGAUAUCCUUUCAAUUAGCAAUAAAUAAUCAAGAAUAAAAAUCCGAAUAAUUAAGUGUAUAAAAUACACUUAUCAAUGGGCAAGAAAUCUUCACUAUUACUUAGAAAAUUGUACUUAUUUAUAUUUUCAAUUUUAUAAUCCAUUUCUAAAUUGAGCAUGGAAAAAAAUACUGAAAACUUUUCUAGCUUGUCGUCUAACAUUUCAUUGUAAGGUUUGUGGCAAUCCGAAAAGGUCAUCAAUACUAAUAUAUGUGGAUUCUAUUGUUAGUGCUUGUGUGGUUUAGAUUUUAAGUCAAUUAAAAUCAAAUUUUUGACCAUUAUUUCACUAUUCCAGCAAUCAUUUUUGAAUUGUUCUCUCAUAAGUAAGACCCACUUUAUCUCUAACGGUCAAAAAAUCAAUUAUCAAAAUUCCUGUCAAACAUGCUCUUAAUUAAUUGCUCUCAUGGAAAGCCAAAAGAUCUUCAAUAUUGUAUCAUAUUUAAUUUGAAAGUAAUGUUAUGAAUUGCACGUUUUCAUGUGGCAAUAACUCAUAAUAUUAUGAUCAAUCAAUUCUUAAUAAAAAGAAAAAGAAAAAAAAACAUGUUUUCACAAAUAGAAAUUUCCAUAAGUGUCAAAAAGUAUUGGAACUCAAUUAGAUGAACUUUGAAGCAAAUUGUAAGAUUUCAUAAAUUUUGGAGACCAAAAUGAACACUUCGUAAAGUCUAGGGCGUAAAAUGGAAGAAUUUAGAAGGGGUUAAAAGAUGAGGAUUGAAAGGUAAACAAACUAGAAACUUAGGGAACCAAAGUGUUUAAGAACUAAAAUUUGGUGAGGGGGAAACCUAUAGCAUUGGGUGACCCCUCUUGGAAGAAGCUUGUGGGCUAAGUGAGCGUCUUCAUUGCGGUCCGGUUGCCCUAAUGUAUUGGGCUUCCGUUAGAGUGCUCGAUUGGAUGUGAAAGUUGAUUUCUAAAAUUCCCCUUCUAACCCCCAUUAUUUCAAUUUAUAAUUUUUAGAAUAGAAUUUUUUAAGUGUGAAUUGAAAAAAAGAAGGAAAAGUUUUUAAUUUACGCAUAUAUUAUUUUAUAGAAGAUUAUGUGGUUAAAAAUAAGAGAAAAUUAUAAUUUGAAAUAAUGAAGGCCAAACGGGGGUUUAAAUUAAAUAGCAAUUUGGGUAUUUCCAUGACACCAAUUUCAAGACCUUUUUGGAAAAUAUAAAUAAACUUAAUUUAGGUCAUAUAAAGGAAGAAUUCCAUAUCUCAUAAUCGAAAAUCAUAAAGGGAGAAUUACAAACCAAGAUUGUCUAAGUUUAGGGGGAAUUACAUACCAAUAUUAUCCAAGUUAUGUAUUCCAAUAAAUUUUUGUGAUUAAAACAGGAAAGACUAGACACUUCGUAGCUAGGAUUCACUAUAAAAAUUUUGUAGGCUCUUUGAUAAAUUAAAUAAACCUUUUUUGUCUGAUUCUUUUUGUUUUUUUAGGUGAUUGUUUAUUAUUAUUUUAUUUUGUUUUGAUGUGUGAUCACCAUUUGAAAGUGUUUGUGAUAUAUAUUAUUUUUGAGAUGUUCGUUAUAAAUUAGCAAAUGGUAAUGAAUUUAUAGUCUUAUAAUAGAUAGAAUCAUGAUGUGAUGAUUGUUGUGAUUAAAUGUGUACUUACAUGUUGCAAUUGUUGUAAGUAUAGUAGUAUUUAUGAAUGAUUUUUUUUUAUUCCUAUAGCUCUAGUCAUUAAGACUGUUGUAUUCCUUGUAAUCUUAAUUAUUACCUAUAUUAUGAGACUUUGAUUCUUGAUAAAACGUACAAGUCUAUUAACUCUCUAUUCUAUUCUCUUUUCUCUCUAUUUUUUAAUACGUUAUCGCACAACCUUCUUAAAAUCAAAGUGAAUUAGUUAUAAGGUAAUAAGUUUUAUGAGCAUAACCAUCUAUCAUAUCUAUCAAAAUUUAUUUGGUAAUGCCCCCUGAGGCACAUCCCAACUGGCAAAGGACGGAGUUCUUUAAGGCAGGCAGUUCAGAGGUCGCGGGUUCGAUUCAUGGGGCUCUUGGAAGGCAAGUCUUUCUCCUAGAAGGCAGGAUAUUUCCUGGAAGGCAGGAGUUCCUUAGAAAGCAAGGCGCAUACAUGGGUUUGACUCGCUCGGCACUUUGGCAGGUUAGUUGGGGGGCUCUUGGACCCUAGCCAAUUUGGGGCACAACCUGCGGUUUACCUAGUUUGCGUGAAGAGGGGCUGGAUCGUAGACCUCAGGAUUAAUCAUUGUAAGGUGGACACCUGGGUAUUAAAAAAAAAAAAAAAUUAAUUUGGUGACACAUGAAUUUUACAUCUACAUCUAUUAGAAUCAUAUUAUUUACCACAAUGAUUAAGUGGCUAUGCCUCAAUUUAUUUCUUGUAUGCCCAGACUCUACUGCCAAUCAUUACACCCAAAAAAGUUUUUGCCUAAAUAAUUGUAAUUGUGUGUAAUGGUUUACUCCUAAUUAUAUUGUUUUGAUAAUGUGUUUUAGUCAAAGUUAGCAUAAAGAGAAAAUGAUUACUUUCCACUAUAAUGAUUAUUUUUUUAAUGCCAUAUUUGUGUAUGAAGUCAUCUGUUCUAUGCUUUUGCAUGUAUUUUUGUAUCAAUUCCUGUCUUUCAAGAUUUAUUCCUGUCUUCUCUCAAUUUAUAUGUAAGACAGGAAUUAAUAUCCCAUGUCUUUCAAUAAUUAAAAAAAUUGUCUAUAUUGAUUUCAUAUUUCUCCAAAAUUUGAACCAUUACUCUUUAGAGUUUCUAUGUAUUUCAUUCUUCUUGUCCCUUCAGCAUGACAUUUAAUAAAAAGAAAAUGGGUGUAAUUAUGUGUAAUGGUUUAUAAUCUUGCAUGUGUAACUAUGUCUACUGAAGCAGUAUUUAUCGUUCAAUUAAUUUUUACAUUUUAUUCUUUUAAUAUGCAAUAUAAUUUAUGAAUUUAGUACUCUUAUAUUUGUCUACUAAAAAAUCACUGUUGCUCCUGAAAUAGCGCAACAUUGUAAUUAAUACUCUAGCAUAGACCUGAGCAAACAAAUCAAAAAAUUGACCAAAUCAAUUAAAUGGAACCGACUCGGGUUGUUUUGACACAUGUAAUUGAUUUGGUUUGGUUUUUUUUUAAACAAAACAUGGUUGGUCGGUUCAGCCAUGGUUUGAUCUUGAGUUGUAGAGAAAGAAGUAGUAGAGAGAGAAAUUAUAAUAUAACUUUUUUUUUAAAUAAUUAUAUAUUAUAUAAUUCAAUUAUAACUUGAUUUGAGAAAUAAUAAACUUAAAGCUUGAUUAAUUAAAUUGAAAAUUAAAAAACAGGUGUGAAUGUAAUUUCUUCAUUCUAAAUUUCUAAUAUUGUGGCAAAUUAUCAAAUAUAAUUGCUGCAUUAAUUGGGUCUUUACUUUUCUUUUCUUUUUGUUUUUUUUAAUGAGAAAUACUAAAAUCGAGAUGAAUGGAGGUACCGACGUUUGAACUCUUGACUUGAUAAAUGAAACUCUUUAAAUUUUAAUGCAUUUUGUACUCAAAUAAAUACUUCAAUCACAAUUCAUUAAAAAAUAAUUGAAAAAAAAUGGGUUAAAAGCUCUCACUCUUAAAUUGAUGGUCGACGGUUCCAUAUCACUAUUACCACUACUACUACCAAAAGGCUCUAGUGAAGAUGAAUAUUUUAUAUUUCUCAUCUCAUGGAGUUUGUGGACAGCAACUGUCCAACUGAAUUAUUUGUACAAUGAAAGAUAAAGUCUAAAGACAAAUGUGUCGUACGAGUGUGCACAACCAUUUAAAUUCAUUCCAAAAUCAUUUCUUCUUGUAGAGAGGAGGUUCCAUUCAAAAUUCGCUGUAACUUGUGGUUUGAAGUGCUUUUACCACAAGCUGAAUCCGUUGUAUCUUGGGAGACAAGUGCCAUAAACUUGACCUCCGUUGUAAGGCAAUUUUAUCUUAAGGAAAGAGUGAAAAUAUCAAAACAUAAGGUUCAACAUUAUCCUAACAUCUAUACAAUUAGUCAACCAUCAUAUGAUUACAAAAAUACAAAUUAAAUGGAUAUAACAUCGCCCGAAAUUGAAGUUCGGAAAAAAAGGUCAAGAAAUAUUGAAAGUAUUUAGUCUCUUCAAUGGCUUCUUGAUCAAUCUCCUUUAAUUAUUAUUAUUGUUUUCAAUCCAGGAAAGAUGUUCAAAAGUAUUUAAGGAUGAAUUUUGCAACAAAUCUUCUUUAAAGCAUAAAAAAAAAUAUAAUAAGAAUUUGUAGAUCAAAAGCUCUUUUUUAGCUAUCCUCUUCGCUAUCUUGAAUUGGAAUUUGGAUAUUCCCGCAGUUUUCCUCAGGAAAAUAAUUAGUAAUGAUUAUAUAUUGAUGUUUACUUAAUUAGUAUAAAAAUUACCAUUAUCUAUUGUUGGAAAAUGUAAUAAGUUUGUUUCAAUGUGGAUAACAAAAAUCUAAGUUUAACAACGCAUAAAUGAAGUUAAACAAAGUAACAAAAAGAGAGAAGGAGAAAAAAGUGAUGAAAUAAUCCGAGGCAAGUGAAAAUACUCUUUUCUUAAGACAAAUUUUCCUCGCAGCGGUGCUAACAGAGUUACGAUAAUUGUCUCUCAAGAUACAAUAGAUUGCUUCCUUAUAGUAUAAGCACUUCAAACUAUAAGGCAACAACAAACUCAAACGGAUUAUUCUCUCUACAAGAAAAUAUUUUUGGAAUGAUUUUUUGAGAGGUUUUGCAAGAGUUUUGAUAUAAUGCUCAAUGCAAAUGAUAUGUGAUGUAUAAUAGACGUCCAAAAGGUCCUGUUUAUAGAAAAUGAGAGCUUAUGAGUGAAGUGACACUCCCCAAACUCCGCAACCUUACAAAGGGAAGAUCACUUAUUACCGCUAGCUUGUUGCUGGCCUUUCGCUCAAGCACUAGGCUCAUUUUUUCAACAAAACCUGUUACUCAAAUCGUAGUCUCAUCGCUCGAGCACUAAGCGAGCAAUGAAGUUAAGUAAUUUUACCGGCCAGUUUUUUCUCUUUUCUUUCUAACUUUGAAUUGCAAUUUUUCAUUCAUUUAGAAUUAGUUUUGAGAUUCCAAAUAUAGUACGAAGAUAUGCUCGAUGAGUAGAAUAAGUUAAUAUAUUUAUAUUUAUAAUUUGACUAUCGAAUCAAGUCUAAAUAUUUGGCCGAAAUUGAUACAAAUUUACUUUUCAUAUUUAUAGCUAAACAAAUUUUUCAAUAUUUAAGCCAAAUUCCAACAAUCCCCCACCAAUGAAUGAAAAUUCAAAUAUGUUUAUGUUAUGCAAAUGUAUGAUGCAUUGAAGAAAAAAAAGAGCAGAAAAACACUGAAUCAGUUAAGGUAACUUCCAAUUUUGAACUUUCCUUAGUGAAAUACUAUCAGAUUUACUUGGCUAAUUGGUGAACAUAAUGUCUUGAACCAUUCAGCCAUUGGUGUAAAUCAAGACAAUAAUACUUACAUAGAUGUCUUUCCUAAAUCGUCCAUAGUUCUCAUGACUUGGUUCAUUUUGCCCUUGAACCACUCUUGGUUUUCAUAAGUGUUUCAGAAAAUUUCAGCCUAAAAAAUUUUCGAUCAAGCAACCCCACUUUACACUUAUAUGAGUGACCUCCUAUUCAGAGUAUUCUGCCCUACUCCACUUGACUUAAUCAAGAUAUAAGAAUCAUUAAAAGUAUAUCUUAACUUUUAACAUUCUACAGAAUGCACUUUAAUUAUCAUGGAAAUGAGUUGGAAAGUAUUUCCCUGAGUGCUUCGUUGAAUUUUCAUAACUUAGUUGUUCUCUUGAACCAAAAACCUGGGAUUUCCAAUCAACAAGGUAGGGUUACCAUUACAAAAAUUAUUAUGUAGUAGGCUUUAAUCAUAUUCCUUUCUAUAGGAAACGUACUUGAUCUUUAUGUAAACCUUUCGUGAGUGGAUCCGCGAUGUUCUUCUUUGCCUUCACAUAAUCUAUGGAGAUGAUACCAUUAGAGAUCAGUUGCUUAAUGGUGCUGUGUUUACGAAGUAUAUAUCUAGAUAUACCAUUAUACAUGCUACUUUGAAUCCCUUCCAAUAGCGGAUUGACUAUUAAAAUGUAUAAUUACUGCAGGUACCAAGUUAGGCCAACAUGGAAUAUCUUUUAAGAAGUUAUAAAGCCAUUAUGCUGUUUCACCAGCUUUGUUCAAAGUAAUAAACUCUAAUUCCAUCAUUGAUCAAGUUAUACAUGUUGCUUAGUCAACUUCCAUUAUACAGCAACUUCACCAAUGGUAAAUACAUAACCAGUAGUAGACUUAGAAUCCUUCAUGUCGGAUAUCCAAUUUGCAUUACAAUAUCCUUCCAAUAUUGCGGGAUAUUUGAUGAAGUGUAAUCCAUAGGUUAAGGUAAACCUCAAGUACCUAAGAACCCUUGUUAAAGCCUUCUAAUGAUCAUGGCUUGGAUUAUUUGUAAAUCUACUUAUUCACAGCAAAUGUUAUGUCCGGUCGAGUACAAUUUGUAAUAUACAUUAGACUAUCUACUGCCUGUGAAUACUUUAGUUAUAACACACAUUCACCCGUAUUUUUGACUAAGUAUAAAGUUGUGUCAAUAGAGGUUUUGCAUGACUUUCCUCAAGUGCAUUAUAUCUUUUAAGUAUAUUUAUUCACAGCAAAUGCUAUGUCCGAUCGAGUACAGUUUUGUAAUAUACAUUAGACUACCAAUAGCCUGUGAAUACUUUAGUUAUGACACACAUUCACCCGUAUUUUGACUAAGUAUAAACCUGUGUCAAUAGAGGUUUUUGCAAGACUUUCCGCAAGUGCAUUAUAUCUUUUAAGUAUACUCUCAAUAUAGUGAGAUUGAGUAAGUAUAAUUUCUUCCAAUGUUCUAGUGAUCUUAAUCCCUAAUAUCACAUCAGUCAUACCUAAGUCUUUUAUAUCAAAAUGUUUCGUUAACAUUCUCUUGGUGUUUAGCAUUAUUUUUUACUAUUGCCCAUUAUAUUAACAUGUCGUCUACAUAUGGACAUACAAUUAUAUAGGCUUUUGGUGUAUGUUUUAUGUAUACACACUUAUCACACUCGUUUAUCUUAAAUACAUUGGACAACAUCAUUUAGUCAAACUUUUGGUGUCAUUGUUUAGGAGUUUGUUUUAAUCCAUACAAGGACCUAAUGAAUUUACAAAUAUUUUACUUAUGCCUAGGAGAGACGAACCCUUUAGGUUGUUCCGUUUAUAUCUGCACUUCUAACUUAUCAUUUAGAAAUGUCGUUUUUACAUCCUUUGAUGAAUCUCAAGUGAUAUUAGAUAUGACUAGUUAUUUAUGAACUAAAGAUAUAUUUCUUUCUCUCUAAUUCGAGUAACUUUAUUUCAUGUUCAUUAUGUUUCAACUAUUUUUCAAAUUAACCCAUUUUUACACCAACCUAGCUAAACAACUUAAUGAUGGAAUGAAAAGGGACAAUUUGACCUAUUUAGCUUUUCCCUUGUUCCCUGUAAAUCCUUAUUUGACUUGCUUGCUUUACCGAUAAGAUAGCAGAUCUCAAAGAGAAUCGGUCUAAGGACAACUUAAAACCAACCCAACCUCUUAAUGGUCAUAUUCCUUUUUCCGACAUGGGAAGCCUAAACUACAUAAAUAGGGUGUUCAAAAGAAAACACCAACAUAUAGGGACUUCUUGGUCUCCAAGAAAGUUCGAAGCUUUCUAUUUGUCUUUUCUUUUGUAGUAGCAAGAAAAAAAUAGGGAUUUUGCACUUAUAAUAAGAUAAAUAAAUUACACGGACUCCUCUACAGGAUUGGAAAAAGAAGGUUUCACCCAAAUGACUUAGAGUUCCUCUGACGAAAAUUCCUGGGCUAGGAAAAGUGCUCAAUCCCAUCGCUUCGUUGCUUAGGGAAUCUUCGUUUAAUAUCUAAAAAGAAAAAGGUAAAAGUGGCUUUCUGGUGACUAGCUUUUCAAGUGGGUGGCUGGAUCACCCCGACGGGGUCGCUCUGAACUCUUUGAGCUGGUUUGAAUUACAUGCCCCCUCCACCUUUUGGGAGCGACAUCUAUACGUGUAGUGUGGUGCUUGGGCCUACCCAUCCUAUUUGUUCCAUGAUUUAUGGGUCUACUGGAGCUUAAAAUAAAGGAUUCUUUUGAACCACACGAAAUAGUUCAUUCUAAAUUAAGGGAGUACAUUUUUCCUAUAUAUCCUCUACUAUGUAGGAUAUAUGAAAGAAAAUAAAUACACACACCACACGUCCUGUAGACCAAAGAAUAAACUAAGAAAACAAGAAUAAAUACCUUCCCUCAUGGAAGUCAUCCGUUGUUACUUUCCAAGGGUAUGGUAGAGGCGCUUGAGAAUGUGGGCUUGUGUGGAGGUCUUACAGAGCCACACGCUUGGACACUACUUCUUCAUUUCUUUACUGUCGCAAUAAUAUUAACAAUGUCAUCGAAGUGAUUCUAGUUACGGGUGAUUAAGUAUCAAAGAAGUCAAGUCCUUCCUUUUGUCUAUAUCUCUUGGCAACCAAUCUAGCUUUAUAUUUAUCAAUAGAUUCGCCAGGUUUUAGUUUCUUUUUGAAAAUCCACUUGUGCCACAAAGGCUUAAUUCCAAGAGGCAAAUAAACUAAAUCCCAAGUAUGGUUUUACAUUAUAGAAUCUAUUUCAUUAUUGAUAGCUUAUUUCCAAUGCAGUGCUUCCGAUAUAGACAUUGCUUCAUUGAAAGUCUUUAGGUUGUUCUCUACCAUAUAGGUUAGAAACUUUGGGCCAAACAACAUAGAUAUUCUAGCCCUUUUUCUACCCCUCGGUUCUUCUUCAUUUGAAGUGUCAUUUGUAGUAUCAUACAUUCUUUUAUUCUAGCUCAUAUUUUCCUUAUCUUUACAUGAAAACAUUUUCAAAGAAUGAUGAAUUUAUUGAUUCAAGUAUUGUUCAUUUAUGAAUAUGCACUACUAUUAUUGGUGUAUCUAAUAAAUAUACAAGUAAUCAUUUUGAGAUUUAUUUUCACUUGUUUCAGCUUAGGUACUUUAACUUUAACCAAAUGCCCUCACACUUUCAAGUGUUUGUAAGAUGGAGGAUGAUAUUUCCAUAGUUCAUAUGACGUUUCUUUCAUUUUUUUUAAGGUGUAUUUGUUAAAAAUGCUAUUUGCAAUUAGAAUAGCUUCCCUCCACAAGUUUUAGGAUAGGCCCAAACUUAACAACAUUGCAUUCAUCAUCUCUUUAAGAGUUCGGUUUUUGUGUUCAACAGCCCCAUUCAAUUGUGGUAAUUAAGGUACCGUUGUUUGAUGAAUAAUUCCAUGUUCGGAACAAUAUUCUUCAAACGGUGCCCCAUAUUCACCCUUAUAUCACCACGAAUUUUCUUUAUUCCUUUACCAAGUUGAUUCUCAACUUCUAUCUUAUAAUGCUUAAAGGCAUCUAAAACUUCAUCUUUAUUCCUUAGUAGAAAGACAUAACAAUACUUCGUACAAUCAUCAAUAAAAGUAACAAAGUAUUUCUUACCACCUUUAGUUUCAACAAAUUUAAGUCAAAAGAUGUUGUGGUCCUUCGAACUGAGUGAAAAGGUGUUUUAGCCAACUUUGUUUCAGUACAUACUUUACACUUAUGAUUAGGACCAGUCUUAAGCGUCGGAAUUAAACUUUGAUUCAUAAGUUUUCGCAUAGAUUUAUAAUUGAAGUGUCUUAAUUGUCUAUGUCAUAAACAAGACAACUAAAGCAUAUAAGUAGAAUUCAAAGUUUUAUUAAUGAUGCUUUGUUUCGGUACAAUUACAAGAACUUUUUUUUAACAUUACAUCACAUAGAUGUCAUUUACCAACAUCUCAUUCUUAGUGAGUACAAAUUUAUCGGAUACAAAUACAAGUUUGACGCUAUUUUUGCUAAAUAGAGACCUGGAUACAAGAUUGUUAUGAAUGUCUGGUACAUGACAUUUUUGAGGAUGAGCUCUUUAUCGGAUACAAGAUUGUUAUGAAUGUCUAGUACAUAACUUUCCCUUGUCCUUUAACUUUAGAACUUGCAGAGUUUUUCAUGAAGAGUUGUUUCUCCAUUUAAUUCUUUGUAGUUUGAGAACAUGGUCUUAUCUGUACAAAUGUGAUGAGUAGCACCAGUAUCACACCACCAUUUCCUCGAAUUUCCAACGUUGUUACAUUCAGAAACAACCACAGAAAUAUUCAUCUCUUGUAUCCCUUCAGAAAGAGUCUCUUUCAACCGCAUUUGAUUGUGCGUUCUUCGUAGGCUUUUGACAUUCAUCUGAAUGAUGUCUAACUUUUCCAUAAUUGUAAUAGUUGUCUUUGAACUUAUUGACAUUCUUAGCGUUGUUUCUUCUUAGUGCAUCACUGGAGAUCUUACACUCAUUUUUUACAACCAUCGAACCAAUUUCAACAAAAUUUGCUCCAAGUUGAGCAAUAGGCUUUCUUUCGAUUUUCUAUUAUCUUCUUCAAUCCUCAAACUGACUAUCAAUUCCUCCAAGUUCAUUUCUUGAAAUCUCUUAACAAAGAAAGGAGUUUCCCAAUAGUGGCUGCAAUUUGGAAAUAUUCACUCAAUUCCAUCUUUUUUGCAUGUAUGCCAUGAAGUAGAGCUUGAAGUUCUUGUACUUGACACUUAUCACGGUCUUAGAGUCUACCAUUUUAUAGUCCAAAAACUUGUUGACAGUGAUCUUUUUUGUUCCGACAUCAUCGAUUUUGUACUUCUUCUCCUAUAAAUCCCAUAGAUACUUAGCCGAGUCCUUCAAACUAUAAACUUCAUAAAUUGUAUUCUCUAAUCAAUUUAGGAUAUAAUAUUUGCAAAGGAAAUCCGAGUGCUUCCAUGCAUCUAAUGCAAUAAUCGACUCAUGAUUAUUGUCUCCUUCUUGUAUAGUAGGAGAUGUUUCUUUUAAGAACUUUGCUAAAUUCAAAGUUGUAAGAUAGAAUGACAUCUUUUGUUACCAUCUUUUUCAUUCCUACAAAUUUCUUCGAUUUUUCCCAUGUGGGAUUGGAGUAAUUUGAAGUGGUAUAGUCAAGGGUGGAACCACAUUGUUUGUUCCAUUGUUGCUUGACUUGAAGUAGUCUCAACAAUAUUCUUUUCUGUUAUACAAAUAGAAGUUCAACAAACAAAAUGAAAUAAAGGAAUAGUAUACGAGGGUUUAUUUCAAAGAUGAAGAAAAGGUUUUUAACAAACAACCACAGAAAAUUUGUCUUAAUUUUUUUUGGGAAAUGCAGUAAAGUUUGUUUUAAAUGUGGAUAACAAAAAGCUAAGUUUAACAAUGCAGAAACAAAGUAACAAAAAGAAAGAAGAAGAAAGUGAUGAAAUGAUCCAAGGUAAGAGAAAACACUCUUUCCUCAAGACAAAUUUGCCCUGCAACAAUGUUAACGGAGUAAUGACAAUUGUCUCCCAAGAUACAACGGGUUACUUCUUUAUAGUAGAGGCACUUCAAACUGUAAGGCAACAACAAACUCGAAUGGAUUAUUCUCUUUACAAGAAAAUGUUUUUGGAAUGAUUUUUGGAGAGGUUUUGCAAGAGUUUUGAUAUAAUACUCAAUGCAAAUGAAUGGAAUACAUAAUGGAUAUCCAAAGGGUCCCAUUUAUAGAAGAUGAGAAGUUGUGAGUGAAACAACACAUCCCAGAUUUCGCAACCUUACAAAGAGAAGCAUCGUUUGUUGUCACUAGCCUAUCACUGGCCUCUCACUUGAGCGUCAGUGUCAUUUUUCAACAGAAAUUUUUUGCUCACCUAUCGCUCGAGCAACAGUCUCAUCGCUCGAGUGCUAGGUGAGGGAUGAAGUUAGGCAAUUUUCCCUGCCAAUUUUUCCUCUUUUCUUUCCAACUUUGGAAGACAAUUUUUCAUUCAUCCAAAAUUGGUUUUAAGAUUUCAAAUAUACUACGACAAUCUAUUCGACGAGUAGAAUAAGUUAGUCUAUUUAUAAUUACAAUUUUCCUAUUGACUCAAAUUCGAAUAUUUGACCGAAGUUGACACAAAGUCGCUUUCCAAAUUCCAAUAUUUAUUCCAUUGCAACUGACAUAACCACACAUCUUAUAUUGCUAUAUUUUAGUGCAAGAACAUUAUCUUAAUGGACUGCUUGUAAUUAAUUAAAUAGUGGUUAAUCUUAUCUACAUUAGCUUUUACUGAUCGCAAAUGAUGAGGGGUAUGUUUUUGUUGUUACAUAGUUCGGAUAUAGUUUUUGUACUUAAAAUUGUUUCAAUAUUCCCCCUUAAUUAUAAGUCGUUUCAAAGACGAGUUUUACUCGUUGUAAUUAUAAUAAUUGAUAUUAGAAUAAAUGCAAAACUCAUCUUCAAAACAAACUUAUUGAGAUUAAUUAUAGGGUAAAGCUAUUUUAAUAGAAAAAUGUUGACAAAUACUUUGACAUAAUUAGGGUUGGGAAGGUAUGAUUAGAUGUAAAAAUUGACUUUGUUUUACACAGUUCAAUAAUAUGAUGACAUGUGGGAUUAUGUCAAGGAUUAUAUCAAUCAUUAUAUUACUGCAACAUGAUUCUUAAUUAUAAGCAAGUCAAACUUCAGCUUAACAAUGUGAACUAGUCGUUAUGCGAAGGUUGACUUGUUUUAAUCCCUUCCAAACAGAGACUUAAUAUUGUAUCUUGUUUUCCAAUAUUUAAUUUGUUGAAAAAAAAAUGCCUUGAUUAACAAUUAAAUGAAUGCAUCUAAUAAGAAAAAAUAUAGAAAAACACGAAUUUGCUUAUAUUCGAUAAACUUUCCCUCAUCACAGAAGAGGAAUGAUCAAUUUAAUCAAAAUAUUAACUUUUUCGACCCCUCUCGUGACUCAACUGUACAAAAUUAUAAAAUUGAAUGCAUAAACAUGCACUUAUCUAUUACAAUUGAGCUUUACUAAUAUUGAACUAAUGGAUUUGCAUUGAUUUGAUCACAAGAGAUCCAUUCUACUUUCUCUUACAAUUGACCUGAAAAACAUCGAGAAAAUUGUACGAAAACUUCGAAGAAUCUUGUAAUCAAGAAAGAAAGAUGGAACCAUAUAGCCGUUAAUUAUAAAAACAAUUACUAGUGACUUUGAGCUUUCGGGGAAAAUUAUGGAGUAAUUUAGCCUCCGUUUGGCCCCCAUUUUCUUGAAAUGAAAAUGGGUGGAAUAGUAUUUUUCUGAAAAAUGAAUAGUUGAAAAAGAAGGAAAAAAUUUCGAUUUAUGUGUAAUAUUAUUUUAUGGAAGAUUAUGUGGUUGAAAAUAGGAAAGACAAAAAUGGAAUAUAAUGUAAUGGAAUUUAAUGGGGGCAAACGGGGGCUUAAUAUUUUGUUAUUAUAUUAAGAUUUUUAACAAGUUAUUACGAUCAUCGACAAGUAAUCAUGAAUUCGUUUGGUCAAUGUUAAACAAAUUUAUCAAAAUUAAAUAUUGAAUGAUUAAAUUAUUAUACAAUCAUGAAUUAUAUUUAUUUCCAAUAUACAUUUUUACAAGACAAGCAUGUUCUAUUAUUUUUUUAUUUUUUAUUUUUUAAUAACGUUUCAUGUGUCAUGUCAUGUUGUGUAUUACCAUUUGUUUACAACCAAUUUCAUUCUGGUUAAUUGUAGGGAGUAAUGUUUUAGUAUAGGUGAUUAAAACCAAACUGGUUAAUGUAAAAAUAAUUAAUGUUAAAUAGCAUUAUUCAUAUAAAAGACAUCAUUUUCUCUAUUAAAUUAUGUCUUUUCUCUAUUAAAUUAAUAUGCUUAGCUCAAACGAACAUGCAAAUGUUAUAUUUAGGAUCAUGAAUUUAUUGAAUAAAAUAAGAUACAAAUGUAAUGGCUUUUAUGACAUUUAAAAAUUGAAGAGAUUGGAUUUCAUCAUUUGAAAAGCAUUUGGUGAACGUUCAUUGACGACAGCCUAAACCUCUUUAUGUCAUUUGAUCAUUAUAACUUGAGUAAAUCAAACCACGAAAUUAAGAGUGGAUUUCCAGUUGCUCCCAACAAUCGCUUCCUCAACAUGAAGUUUUUGUCAUUCUACUUGACCCUAGCUCUGAUUCCUCUUGUUGGGAUUGAGUUUCAAUUAUCUCUUUUGAAGAUCAAUUGGUGCCUAAAGGGGGAAUGCUAAAAUUUUUAUGACAUUCGAUCACAGUCAUUCGAGUGAUCCAACCCAUGAGUUUAAAAGCAUCGUUAUUUCUCCCCAACACAAAUGUUGGAAUGCAAUAUUAGAAUGCAUUGGUUUAAUAAUCUUAUCUGAUGUUAUCAUGAGAGGAAACAGAUCAGAAAGUCAAGAUAUACAUUAUUCUUUGGAUUUUCCUGACAAUUUUGAUGAGAUAAUUUUCUUUUCGUAUUUAUGAGAAUGACAUGAUAUUAUUUUCCUUUAACUAUUAUUUUCUCAUAGGGUUUUCCUAGUAAAGUAUAAAGGAGACAUUAUUUGAGAAUAGACAUCCAAGAGGACUUGUACUUUAAUCACUUCCAUAAUUGAUAUCAAUUUAGAUAGAAGAUUGAAGAAAAUAAAAAUACGGAAUAAUUGAUAUAAGAGCUCACCAUCCAAGCAUCAAACGGAUACAAUAUUUAUCAUGACCCAGAGAAAUAUACCAAGGGAUAUAUAACUAGAUAAAACCACUACUCAAUGGAAUACACCACAAAAUAGAGUUUCCAAGAGAAUGAUUGCACCUCUCAAAUGAUAUAUAGACUUUCAAACUCUCAAUAUGUUGUAUUUACAACACAAAAGCUCCUUACAAGUAAUUGGUCAAUGGUAGUUAAUGUUUACAUAUGUAUAUGUUUAUUGAGUGUACAUAAAUACUAACAAUUUAAUUAGAUUCAUCAUUCUUGUUCAAAGACAUAUUAAAGAUAAUUAAUGUGGGCUAUCAAGCUUAUUCGAUUUCAUUUUCACAUACUCAUAUAUUAGUAAUAUUGAUGAAAUACAUUAUCGUCGAUGUCUAUUCCACUUAAAAUAGAUUUGGAGAUAAUCUUGGGGAAAGAAGAACAUCAAAAGGAGUAGUUUUCAUAUUAGUUAGUCCAUAACUCGCACUCAUAUCAACUUUUUCAUCAAAAGGAGUUGAAAGUUCAAAUGUAUGAAGAAAAUUAGCCAAGACUAAAUGCAACAUCUGAAGGCCAAAAGUUGUGCCAACGCAAAUUCUUCUACCAGCUCCAAAUGGGAUCGAUUCGAAAUUAUGAGUCGAACCAUAUUCGAGGGUCUCUACGUAAUUUCCACAUGUUUACGAUUAACUUCAUACCUGUAAAAGUAAGAUCUCACGUUGUUAAUAUAAAUUUAAUACCUAAUGCAUAACAACUUAGCUAGAAGCUAGAAUAUUUCUCUUGAAAAGUUGAUCGUUAAGACGGAUACCUAUAAUAAAUAUCAAAUUAACAAGAAUUUCAACAUAUCUAAAGUUCAACAGAAGUAAUUAGAUUUCAAAGUUUGUAUUUUCAAACAAGUUAACAUGUUGUGUGAUCAUGUUAAAGGUAAAAAUAUAAAAAUAAUGAUCUUCAUUUCUUGUAAUAAGAUUGAUCUUUUAAAGUAGAAAAAAAGCCCAUUACAUGUACCUUUCGCAAUGUGGUAACCUGCUACUUUGCAGUCAUCCGAGAAUUCUAUUGUGGAACCCAAUAAAGGUGCAGGGUAUAAUCGUCAGGCCUCUUCAACAAUGGAUUGAAUAUAAACCAGUUUGUUAGUAUCUCAUUCUUUUACUACCUUUCCUUUACAACAUGAAUGUCCAAUUCUUCUUGAGCCUUUUUCAAUACAUGGCAGUUGUUUAGUAACGGGGCUAUUGUCCAUACUAGCAUAACAAUGGUUGUCACCUCCACCGCCGAUUAAACUCUAAUGAUGAUAAGAUAAGAGCUACUAUUAAAAUAACCUUUUAACUUAAUGUAAGAGAAGAAUAACUAAUUUUCGCACAAGUUGGUUUAGCUAAAAAAUGUUAAUAAAAAUCAAAGUUAAAGUUAUCAAUUAAUUCUAACCACAAUUUAUGGAAUCCUCAACUAUUAUUAAAAUUUACUAAAAAUCUAUUUUUUUUCAAAAAAACCAAGCAAGGCUUAGUAUGUUCAGAUGAAAAGUAACUUUUACCUAAUUUCUAGAUUGACGACCAAAUAUGUUCUUAAUUAUUAAGCCUCGUAAUUCUUUCUUAUGAUUACCCAACCAUGCUAGAAGUACAACUUUUUGUACAAUUUGGUAGACAAGGGGGUCAUGUACAAAAAGUUGUACAAAUAGAUUAAUUCAUGAUUACUUCCUUUAUGGCUUAGACACUCUAUGCUUAUCGAAUUACUUUGUCACAUUGUUCUAUUGACAUAUUAUGUAUUGCGUUUGAUAAUACUUAAAAGAUCAAGGAAGAAAAAUGAAUAUGUAACAUGCAAUAAUCAUCUAUUAGUGAAUACAAAACGGAUACCAUGUAGUUCUUAAUGCUUUUCAACUUUUGGAUUUCAUGAAAAUCGAGAAAUUCCUGGGUUUUUUCUCCCUGUAGACUGAUAUAAAAUAUCAAGAAAGAAAAACACAUCAAAUUUGGAAAGGUAGGAUCAAAUCAAGAAUUGGACAAAAAUAAAUAAAUAAAUUUACUAGGCAUGUGGAAUUGAUGAUUGUAUCAGGAUCAUAAUCUUGAAGAUUUGUGCCUUCUACAGCUAAUAGCAUCACAUCCAGGAAAUCCUGCUCACUAUCAGUAUUUGCCUUAAGGUUGUGCUCUUCAAACCAUUUCUCAACAAUUUUAUCCUUUUUUUUGCAGUUUCUUUCAUUUUCUUCACAUAUCCACCUAAAUCCAACCAUCUAAGAUAAGGAUAUUAUCAGCUACAAUAAAAAGUCCAGCCAAAUGAAAGAAAAUCCUCAACACUUUCUGGCACUGCCUCGCCUCUACUUUAUCCCCAUUAGCAGUUGCACCAUAAUCUCUCUUCCCAGCAACCAUUCUAAGAACAAUAUUCAAAUUCAAGUCCCCAAACCACUGCUUCAUUUCCACCAAAACUUGACCCGAACAAUCUUUCUUCUUGUUCCAGUACUUGUAAAACUCUUUUAUGGAUACCUGUUAAACCCAUGAUUCAAAUAAGUACAAUUUUGGUGGUUAUCUAACAUCUUAAACUUUCAGAUGAGUUGGUUAAAUAGCAGACAAAAGACUUUAAUUUAAGUUUCACCACCUUCAAUUUAUAAAAAACAUACCUAUGAUCAUAAAUAUUGAAUCCAUUCUCCAGAUGAACGGCAUGUUAGAGACAAGAUUGAAAUAAAUACAUGUGGUAAUUCUGUAGGAUCUUAACCUUUUAGAUAAGUUGGUCGACAAUACCUCAGUUUCGGAAACACAUAUAUGUUUAAGGAGCUCCAGUCUACGGGGGGGAGAAUAAUUCGACAGCUAUUAGUUCGCAUAGUUCAUGCCAAUUGGUGCCAUAAGGGGAGAAUGGAAACAUGGCGAAAUCAUAGUGUCACGACCCGUAUCGAAUCACCCUUAUGGACCGGACAUAUGUCAUGCGCCGAUGGUAGAUACCAGCUAAAUGUCAGACCCACCAAUAAGGCAACUUUGAUUUGGUUUAACUGUGACAUUUUUUUAACAAUUUUGACCGAGUAUCCUCUAAAAUAUAGACUAAAACCACUUGAAACAUUAUAAAAUUUCCCAAACAUAUGUAACUUAAACACCAACUGUUGGAAAAAUUUCAUCAAUUGGGGCCACACAUGUAUAUGAUUAAAGUGUGCAUUGCUAUCUUAUAGUUUUAGUCCAUUAAAGUGAUCCAACGAAUUUAAUUUUCGACUAAUGGGUAUCAAUUAUUAUGGGAUUAAAGUGUAGAGGCCGGGUGGUUGUUUUAAAUUGAUGAGGGGCCAAUUUAAAGCAAACAAAAGAUGAUAAUUGCCUACAGUUAUUUAUCAUGGGGUCAUGGUCACCAACUGACAUGAUAUUUCAUAACCUCUGCAUCCCCAUCAGCAGAGAGUUUUUUCAAGAAUUCCAAGGAAAAUCACGGAUCAAUUGUAAGAUUGUAACCCGUUCAAAAUCACUGUUAAUCUAUGGAUCAAGGUACGCUUCCGCUUUCUUGUUCUCUUUGAUUCAACGAGGAGCAUUACAAUUUUGGUGAAAGGAUCUCUUGAUUUCUUUCAAAUUCUGAAUUAUCAAAAUUCUAUCAAGUGGUAUCAAAGCUACUCCAUUGUUGAAUCUUUGAGAAUAUCAGGUUUUAAGAAUUCUGAAAUUUUGGGUUAUUUAUCUUUCACAUAAAUAUUUGGAAUUUUUGGGCAUAUACGGCUUCCUCCUGUUUUAUAUAUAUGAGAAUCAAAAUUCCUCUAGAAGAAAAUUCCAUUUCUAUGUACAUAAGAUUAUAUAUUUCAACAUGGAUCAAGUUUUGGAACAUGGAUAAAAGAUAUAGAGCUAGUUUGUUUGGACUUGCUGUGUUGUUUGCUUUAUCCUCAACUGUAAUUCCUGCAUCAAAUGGUGAAUUUUUACGAAUUGGACUAAAGAAAAGGAAAUUAAAUCAUAUUUCAGUUUUAAGGAAUUGCUGAGCAUAAUUUUGAAUUGAGGAGUUGCUGUGUAAUUUUUUUUCGGUUUGGUUGGGCAGCGCGAUUGUGGUGCAGAUCGCUGCAACACGCAGCGCUGCUGUCGCUGCUGCGUUUGUGGCAGCAACAGCGCAGGCGCUGCUUCGCUGUUGUUCCGGUGCAAGGCUGCGCUGGCGCUGGAGAAGGAGAAAGAGAAUAUAUAGAAAAAAAAAAUUGAUUUGGGUGAUUAUUUUGGAGACGGGGGCCUAGGUGCAAUUUGGGUUAUUCCAGGACCAGCUUACAAUUAUCAUUUAGGUUAAAAUUUAAGGAUUCAGUCCCUGUAGUUUAGAAUUCAUCCAAUUGGGCCUUUUAAGUUACGGAUUUAAUAAUUCAGGCCCCUAAGUUUGAAAAUUAAUUAAUUUGGGCCAUUUAACUUCUGAAUUUUUGCAAUUAAAGCCCUCAAUUUUCAUAAUUAAUUAAAAUUGGCCCCUAAAGUUUAAAUUUUUCAAAAUUUAAACCCCUAAAGUAUUGAAUUAUUAACCCUUAGGUCCCUAAAGUUUCCAUACGCAUCUAUUGAUGCAAAUUAGGGUUUCUCUUUCUCAAAUUUCAAUACUAAUACUUCUUUAAGAGGUAUUAAUUAAGGUCUAAUUAUUUGGGACAAUCUAAUUCAAAAUAUUGGUAAUCAUUUAUUUAAAAAAAAAAUUAAGGUUGCCUAGCAUUUUAAGUAAACUAAUUGAAACAAUAUGUCACCAAAGUGAUCUAUUUUGUGUAGAUUGAUUUGUUUAGGAUGCUUGGAUGUUGUGUGUGUGUCUUUUCAUGCGAAAAUUAGCCGGCCCAAAGGAAGGUUAAUAUCUGGCAGAAUUACAUACACACUUGUGAUGAUGAAUGUGUGACAAUUAUAAAGUUUUCAUGUGAAUAAUAAAUCAAUUCAAAGAUGGGUUUAUUAUUUGACAGGAGUUAUUGUCAAUGUUCGAUCAUUAUACUGAGAGUACUACUUGCAAUUAAUAUUACUGUCCAAAAACUUGAUAUUGAUAUUGCACUAUGUAUCUUGAGAUGGGAUUCACCAUUAUUUGAAUUUAUCAAUUAUUAAAUGUGGAUAUUAAAUUGAGCAUAAUUAAUCUUUUUUUUGUUCUCUCUACAGCUAGUUCAUCUGCUACUAUAUCUGCCAAUAUUAAUUCUAUUCACAUACUUAAUGGGACAAACUUCAAGGAUUGGAAGGAGAACAUAUUGAUUGUUCUUGGCUGCAUGGAUCUAGACUUUGCUCUUCAGAUCGAGCAACCCUCUCCUCUUAUGGAAGAAAGUUCACCUGAUGAAAAGAGGAACUUUGAGAAGUGGGAUCGCUCAAAUCGCAUGAGUCUAAUGAUCAUUAAGCCCGGCAGUCCGGAAGCCUUUAGAGGUGCAGAUACCGAAGAGGUAUCUAAUGCCAAGGAGUUCCUUGCUGAAAUUGAGAAGCGUUUUGCAAAAAACGAUAAGGCUGAAACAAGCACUCUUUUGCAGAGCUUGAUUUCAAUGAAGUAUAGAGGCAAGGGAAACAUAAGGGAGUACAUCAUGGAGAUGUCUCACAUUGCUUCAAAACUUAAGGGACUAAAGCUCGAGUUGUCUGAUGACUUGCUCAUCCAUUUGGUAUUGAUCUCGCUUCCUGCACAAUUCAAUCAAUUUAAGGUCAGUUAUAACUGCUAGAAGGAAAAAUGGUCUCUAAAUGAGUUCAUUUCAUAUUGUGUGCAAGAGGAAGAAAGGUUGAAGCAAGAAAGGACUGACAGUGCUCACUUGGCAAGCACUUCUAAGAUUAAGGGCAAGAAAAAGAAGAAGGAAUAUGAAGCUGCUCAUAAGGGUCUAGCACAAAAGAAAAAGAAGAAAAACAAAGGAACUUGUUUCUUUUGCAACAAGGCUGGACAUGUGAAGAAUGAUUGUGCCAAAUAUUGCAAUUGGCGUGCAAAGAAAGGUACAACUAUUACUUUGGUCUGUUCUGAGGAUAAUUUAGCUUCAGUACCUAAAAACACUUGGUGGAUAGAUUCUGGUGCUACUACUCAUAUAAGUGUUUCUAUGCAGGGCUGUCUGAACUACCGAAAGCCAAAUGAUGGUGAAAGAUACAUCUAUGUAGGUGAUGGCAAAUCGGUGGAAGUUGACGUAAUACGCACUUUUAGGUUGUUAUUAAGAACUGGUUAUUAUUUGGAUUUGAAAGACACUUUCGUUGUACCGUCUUUUAGACUGAAUUUAAUUUCUGUUUCUUCGUUAAACAAAUUUGGAUAUUGUUGUUCAUUUGGAAACAAUCAGUUUAGUCUUUUGUUAAAUUCAAAUGUUAUUGGUACUGAUUCGGUAUCUACAUAUGAUAACCUAUAUUUACUUGAUAUUAUUGUAUCAUAUAAUGAAACCUUGCAUUGGAAUCACGUGGUACUAAACGCAUAUUAAAUAAAGAAAAUUUAGCAAAAUUAUGGCACAAGCGCUUAAGUCACAUAUCAAAAGCUAGAGUUGAACGAAUUGAGUCGGAUGGUAUUUUGGAUUCCCUUAACUUUACGGAUUUUGAUGUAUGUAUUGAUUGUAUCAAGGGAAAAUAGGCCAAAACAAAGAGAUUAGGUACUAACAGAACUUCGAAUGUCUUAGAAUUGAUACACACAGAUAUUUGUGGACCGUUCCCUACGACUUCCUGGAAUGGUCAACAAUAUUUUAUAUCAUUCAUAGACGAUUACUCACGUUAUGGGUACCUAUAUCUCAUUCAUGAAAAGUCUAAGUCACUGGACAUAUUCAAAAAAUUUUAAACUGAGGUUGAAAAUCAACUCAACAAAAGGAUAAAAAGCGUUAGAUCUGAUCGUGGUGGUGAGUACUAUGGCAAAUAUGACGAAUUAGGUGAACAAUGUCCAAGACCAUUUGCCAAAUACCUAGAGGAAUGUGGAAUCGUCCCUCAAUACACUAUGCCAGGAUCACAUAGCAUGAAUGGUGUAGGUAAAAGACGAAACAGAACUCUUAAGGACAUGGUAAGGAGUAUGAUUAGUCAUUCAAACUUACCAAAAUCACUCUGGGGAAAGGCAUUAAAGACCGCAGCUUAUAUUCUGAACAGAGUACCAACUAAGGCUGCUGCUAAAACACCUUAUGAGCUUUAGACAGUCAGAAAGCCUAGUCUAAAGCAUUUUCACGUUUGGGGAUUUCCAGCUGAGGCUAGGCCUUACAGGCCACAUGAAGAGAAAUUGGACUUCAAAACAGUAAGCAGCUACUUUAUUGGCUAUUCUGAGCGAUCUAGGGGCUACAAAUUUUAUGAUCCCACACUUAAGUCAAUUUUUGAAACGGGAACUGCAACAUUUUUUGAGGAUGUUGAGUUUGGAGAGAGGAAUAAGGUUAGAGACAUUAUCUUUGAGGAAAAAGUUGAGGGAGGAUAGGUCUCGAUUCCUACUAUUACUUUUGACAAUGUACAGGUUCCUAUACCUGUCAUUGAUCAAGAAGUAUAUCCAGAAUCUCAACAAGACAAUGUUGAAGAACCUCCCACCCAAAAUGAGGUAAUUAUUCCAGAAAUACAAACUCAACAACCUCAAGAACCAAUGCCAUUAAGGAGAUCCACUAGAGAAAGGAAAAAUGCUAUUCCGGAUGAUUUUAUAGUAUUUUUCCAAGAACAUGAGGAAAAUGAUGGAAUGAUGGAAGAAUAUCCAAUCAAUUUCCAUCAGGCCAUGCAGGGUUCUAACUCUCAAAAGUGGAUUGAUGCCAUGAAUGAGGAGUAUAAGUCUAUGCAAAAUAAUAAGGUUUGGGAUCUUGUCCCGUUACCAAAAAGUGCGAAGCCCAUCGGUUGCAAAUGGAUUUUUAAAACCAAAAGGGAUUCGAAAGGUAAUGUAGAAAGAUAUAAGGCUCGUCUUGUGGCUAAAGGCUUUACUCAAAAGGAAGGCAUCGACUUCAAAGAGACUUUCUCUCCAGUUUCAACGAAAGACUCUUUUAGGAUAAUUAUGGCACUUGUUGCGCAUUUUGACCUUGGGUUAUAUCAGAUGGAUGUUAAGACGACGUUUCUCAAUGGCGACAUUGACGAGACGAUCUAUAUGGUGCAACCAGAAAACUUUGUGUCUGGAGACCCGAAGAAUAUGGUUUGCAAAUUAAAGAAAUCCAUCUAUGAGCUCAAGCAAGCUUCCCGUCAAUGGUACCACAAAUUUCAUCAAGUGAUUAUCUCAUUUGAUUUUGAGAUAAAUGCUAUUGAUGAUUGUGUGUAUCACAAGUUCAGUGGGAGUAAGCAUAUUUUCCUGGUUUUGUAUGUUGAUGACAUACUGCUUGCCGCUAAUGAUAUAGGCAAGUUGCACGAAACCAAGAGAUUUCUGUCAAGGAAUUUUGAGAUGAAAGAUCUUGGUGACACCUCUUUUGUGUUAGGGAUUCAGAUACGUCGAGAUCGUUCUCGAGGUAUUCUUGGAUUGUCACAAAAGAACUAUAUUGAUAUAGUACUUAAGAGGUUUGGCAUGCAAGACUGCAAACCAGGUGACACCCCUGUCGUUAAGGGAAACAAAUCUAGUCUCAAACAAUGCCCGCAAAAUGACCUUGAAGUUAAGGAAAUGCAAAAGAUUUCCUAUGCAUAAGCUAUUGGGAGUCUAAUGUAUGCUCAAAAUUGUACAUGUCUAGACAUAGCAUUUAUUGUUGGAAUGCUAGGCAGAUAUUUAUGUAACCCUGGAAUGGAUCAUUGGAAAGCAACCAAAAGGGUUAUGAGGUAUUUAAAGAGAACAAAGGAUUACAUGCUCACAUAUAACAGAUCGGAUCAGUUGGAGAUUAUAGGGUACUCCAAUUCUGAUUUUGCUGGAUGCUAAGACAGUAGAAGAUCCACAUCAGGCUAUAUCUAUCUGCUAGCUAGAAGAGCUAUUUCCUGGAAAAGUGCCAAGCAGACACUCAUAGCUUCUUCUACCAUGGCUUCAGAGUUUGUAGCAUGCUAUGAGGCAUCUAACCAAGGAAUAUGGCUGCGAAACUUUGUCACUGGGCUGUGCAUUCUGAAUGGCAUAGAAAGACCACUAAAGUUAUAUUGUGACAAUAACUCGACAAUUCUGUAUUCCAACAACAAUAGGAGCACAUCUAAGUCAAAACACAUUGACAUUAAAUUCCUGGUCGUGGAGGAAAGAGUACAGAGUGGACAAAUUUCCAUAGAACACAUUGGGACGAACACCAUGAUUGCGGAUCUGCUUACUAAGGAAUUGCCACCCAAGGUCUUUCAUGAGCACACUGCUCGUAUGAGUGUCAGAUUUAUUGAGGAUAUCGUGUUUUAGUGGGAGUUUGUAUUCUUAUUGCUUUAUGUUUAAUUGGACACAUUUGUGUAUUUGGGUAUUUUUCUGUACAGAAAUAAAGUAUUCAAUUCAUUUCACUCUGUUAUUAUAUUCAGUAUUGAUCUCACUUAAGAUAUAAGGUUGGACCAGUUGGAAAUAAAUAUGUUUGGAUCACAUAACAUGUAAUUUCCAUACUACGCUCCCAUGAUUGAUCUAUGUCAUUUGGUUAUAUGGGUGUACGUGACCAUUGAUGGAUUUAGUCACAUUAAGGGUGACGAAAAUCGCUUUUAUCCUACAUCAGUAUGACUAAUGGACAAGAUUGUUUGGAAAUACCCUUAAUAAUGAUAGCAAAUUUUGAGCUCAUAAGGUUGUACACAUUUAAAAGAUUACAUGUAUGGCCCAGUGAAAGAUUGUUGGAAAAUUUUCAUCAAUUGGGGCCACACAUGUAUGUGAUUAAAGUGUGCAUUGCUAUCUUAUAAUUUUAGUCCAUUAAAGUAAUCCAACGAAUUUAAUUUUGGACUAAUGGGUAUCAAUUAUUAUGAGAUUAAAGAGUAGAGGCCGGGUGGUUGUUUUAAAUUGAUGAGGGGCCAAUUUAAAGCAAACAAAAGAUGAUAACUGCCUACAGCUAUUUAUCAUGGGGUCAUGGUCCCCAAUUGACGUGAUAUUCCAUAAUCUCUGCAUCCCCAUCAACACAUAGUUUUUUCAAGAAUUCCAAGGGAAAUCACGGAUCAAUUGGAAGAUUGUAACCCGUUCAAAAUCACUGUUAAUCUAUGGAUCAAGGUACGCUUCUGCUUUCUUGUUCUCUUUGAUUUAACGUGGAACAUUACAAUUUUGGUGAAAGGAUCUCUUGAUUUCCUUCAAAUUCUGAAUUAUCAAAAUUCUAUCACCAACCCCUUCAAAUAUAAACCAUUCAAAAUAAAGCUCACAUGAAUGAAAUUUACACUUCUUAACAAAUCAAAUACCCUAAAGGCCCAACAUAAUCAAAAGAUAUCAAAUAUGCAAUGAGCCCAUGAUAUUGAUACAUUUCCUGACAAAAAUGCAUGUAUCCCAAAAAUAUGAACUGUCUAAACUGACAAAAUGGUUCACACAACUAACGAUAAUGCAUGGCUCAACUUAGUAGAUCAAUUGGCUCCGAAGCUGCUCAAUUCGACUGCUAUCUGAUAAAGAAAAUGGUGAAAAGAUACACCAGCUUAUAGCUCAGUGUGUAGAUAAUUUGCAAAUGAGUAUACUUUUUCCAUUUAUGCAUAAUUUUUGAAAAAUCUUGUUUUAUUAAAACUUUUAAAUAUUCUAAAAUUUAGUAACACUUUUAAAACUAAACAUAAUUGCAUCAUAAAAUUCUUUGUUCUUAAUUCUAGAUACGCAACUGUAAGGUAUAAUAAAUGUAAACAAUCUGAUAUCAGUACACAUAAGUGAAAAUAUCCUUGUACAGAACUUUAAGCUAAAAUCAUUACUCUAAAAACUGAAUAAACUAGAUUCUGUAGUCUGAAAUCUGAUAAGCUGUAUAAUACUGGAAAAUCAUACCUAAAGGUACUCGAAAUAACCUUACUCAUGUAUCGAUUAGUACGGAUAUACAUGGCAAAUCUAUUUAAUUUUGUAUUUCUAAAAUUCUGAAAUUUUGGUCAUACGCGCGCAGAGCUGCCCAAAGGCUAUAAUCUGGUCAUACAAUAUGGAAACACAUUCACAAUAGUGCAAAGCGGGUAAAAUCACCAUAACUGAUCAUACACUAUGGAAACACAUUCACACCAGUGUAGAGUGGGUAUGGUCAUACACUGCGAAAACACAUUCACACCAAUGCAGACUAGGGUAAAAUCACCUGGGUACUUUCUGGUGAUUUUAAAAAUAAAUUUAAAUAUACUUAAAAUAUUUAAUAUCCAUAUAACAUGCUAAUCAAAUUAUUUAAUUGAACUGAAUUUAACUUUAAAAACAACUGAUUAUAAAUUCACUUUGUUUUGAAAAUCAUGCUGUCAAAUCAACUAUAUGAAAUAAUAAAUUUUCUAGUUUACUAUAAAUUUAGUAAAUAUUAAUUUCUGAAAAAUAAGUUUUUAUCCACUCACAAGUCAAAAUACAGGCUAGGAAUGUAGAUAAACUUUUUCGAUCUCCUCGUUACCACCUGAAAUACGUUACAAAAUUACCAAUUGAACCACUGCCGAAACAACAAAUCUUUUAUCUCUAAUCAGGGAUGGACCCAAGGAGGGUCCCAUAGGGUCACUUGACCCUCCAGUUCUUUUUCUUUUCUUUUUCUUUUUUUAAAUGUCUUAGUUUUCAAACUCACUAUGGAAUAUCAAAUGAAGUUGAAAUAUUACAUUUUUAAUAUCAUUUUGAAGUACUCACGGCCUAAUAUUUCAUGUCAUUAAUGGUGUGAGAAAUGGUCAAUCAUAACAAAUGUUACGAUGCAUCAAAAUAGGUCGUUCCAAUUUAAUAUUUCAAGAAAUUCAAUAACAAGCUAACUUUACAAAUUAUUCGACGAUUAUAUGCUAACCUUAUCCAUAAAUCUUCUAUAUCCUCUCAAAACUUAUUUCGAGAACUAUAUCAUAAACAUAUCGAAUUAUCUAAAUGGAUAUUAAAAAUAGUUAAAUGUAUGUCAAACGUGUAUGCCAAAGAGAAAUUUAUAAGUCGUCUUUUUUAUUUAAAAAAAUCAAUUAUUUUAUUAAUAUUUAUUAUUUUUACGCGACAAACUUCUCAAUAUAAUUUAAAUCAUUUUAUUAGGAAAUCUUAUAUGUGGUAUGAUGUCAAAUUUUUAUUUUUAUUUUUUGGACAUAAAAAUUUUUAAUAAAAUUUUUAUUACUUCAUAGGGUUAUAAAUUGUUAUACUUCUUUUUCAUCUUGAUUAUUUUUAUAUCUAAAAGAAAUUUAUAUAUAAAAAAAUUCAAUCAUUUUUAGGAUUUUUUUUUUAUUAUUGUUGCCUUUUCCUUUCGAUCAAUUAAUUAUUUUUUUUAAAUGACGUCAAAAAUUUUAGGAAAUUUAUUAGAUUAUUUUUAAAAAAAAUUAAUUGAUUGAGAGGAAAAAGUAACAUAAUAAAAAAAAUUCUAAAAAUGAUCAAAAUUUUUUAGAUGUAAAAAUAAUUAAGAUGAAAAAUAUAACAUUUUAUAAUCCAUAUAAAGUAAUAAAAAAAAUUUCGUCAUUUUUUUUAAAAGUUUGAUUGUGACCCCCAAUUUAAAAUGUCUGCGUCCGCCCGUCUCUAAUGACAGUACUUAAACUAGAUUUCUUGAUACUUGAAUAAAUUUUCCAAAUUUUCCUUUAAUCAAUUGGAGCUAAUUUCACUUUAUUCUAGUCUCUUUACUAAUAACUAAUUCAUCAAAAUAACCUUCAUCCCAAACAUAAAAAUAAUUAUCAUUCGAUCUAGUGAAAACUAACACAAAUAACUCAACCAAUUUAACAUUCAUGUUGCUCCAUAAACUAUUUUUUCAUUUGAAUAUUUCAUCACCACAAUCUUUUCACUAAUAAUACUUAAUCAAGAAUCCCAAACAAAAAUCUAGGAUUUUGCUAAGUAUUGUAUUUCUUACCUUGAUUCAAUUGAAAAUUAAUCAAUCAAACAAUUUAAGCAAGAAAUAUACUCCUUGUACUAAAUUGAAAAUUUAACCAACAAAUUUAACCAACCCUAGCAACUUUAAAAUCGUCCUUCCAUAACAAAAAAUUUAUGUCUUUACCUCUUGAAGAAAUUGAAGAACUUGAACCCAAAAAUUAAUCAAUCAAACAAUUUAAGCAAGAAAUAUACUCCUUGUACUAAAUUGAAAAUUUAACCAACAAAUUUAACCAACCCUAGCAACUUUAAAAUCGUCCUUCCAUAACAAAAAAUUUAUGUCUUUACCUCUUGAAGAAAUUGAAGAACUUGAACCCAAUUUUUUUUUUUUUUUUUUUUUCACUCGUUUUUUCUCGGUUUUUCUUCUACUGCCUGAUUCUCAACUAGAUUGUGCGUGUAUAUAUGUAAAAUGGUAAUAAAAAAUGGGUUUUAUUGCCAAGUUAGUGGAGCACUAACUCAUGCUUGAAAAGGGAGUCCCUCAACUUCCAUAUCAUAAGGCAUUAAACCCUAAACUUCUAGAAACAUAUAAGUAGAUCCCAAAAUUAAAUUUUUAUCAAUCAUAAACCCCCAAGUAUUUUCAAUUGUAAGAUAAGCCCCGAUAAAAUAAUUUAUUUCAUUUUAGUCCCUAUUUGACUUUGACUCUGAGAAGUCAACCUUUGAUUUUUUACUAGAAAAAAUUUUGGUUAUAACAAUCGUGCUUCUUUAAAAGAAUUUCGUCCUCGAAAUUCAACUGGCAUCUGGCUGGGUAAUAAAUAGAUGAAGAUAUUGAGCAUCUAUCUAAUCCUCAUUCUCCCAUGUGGUUUCUUCUACCGUUUGAUUCUGCCAAAGUACCUUUACAAAUGAAAGUGUCUUGCUUUGCUAAAUAUGCACCUUUCUGUCUAGAAUUCUGACUGGAUCUUCUAUAUAAGUCAAAUUCUCCUUCAAAUGAAUUGGUUGAGACUCUAGAACAUAAGAAGGGUUUGCAAUGUACUUGCGAAGCAUGGAGACAUGAAAAACAUCAUGGAUCCUGGAUAAUUCAGUUGGCAAAUCUAAUCAAUAUACAAUUAGACCAAUCCGCUCAGUAAUCUCAUAGGGUCCAGUGUAUUGUGGACUUAACUUUUCUAGCUUGCCAAACCUCAAAACCCCUUUCCAAGUCGACCAUUUUAGAAAUACUUUAUCUCCAACUGCAAAUUCAAGAUCUUUCAUGUGCCUAUCUGUGUACAUUUUUAGUCAUCCCGUGUUGCUUAUACUUCCUUAUUCUACAAAAUUCAAUUAGUCCUACUCAUUUUUUUUCUUAUACUUCCUUAUUUUGUAUCCUAUAUCACUUAUCCUUUCUAUACUCAAGAAAUGAAAUCGAAGUUAUUCGUGUGUCCCCCUUUUUUUAUUCCAUAAACGUACCUAAAUGCACAUAUCCAUUUAAUUAUAUUUCUUAAGCAACAUAUUACCCCAUAAUAAGUAAUAAUAAUGAAGUCUAUCUUAUUUUUCUUAUAUCCCUUAGUAUAAUCAAACAACUCAUAAGUAAUUGAAAAAAAAAAUUGAAUCACUUAAACAUUAAUCUCAUCGACGCCUAAGGUAUACAAUAACACAUUGUUAUCUAUCCAUCAACAAAUCAUCACUUUGUCUUCCAUAAUUUCUCAUCAUAUAGCAUAAGAAUACAACAUCAUGAUUUCUAUCCUCAUCUCAUAUUUGUGGUCACAAAUUACCACAAAAUUUUGAUAACGCUAAUGACCAUUUGGCUUCCAAAGUUAAUUAAAAUUCCUCGUUGACUAUCACCAAUUACGCAGAUAAUAUCAUUCCUUUUUAUUUAUCAUGCCAACUAUGACUAGAGAUUUUUCUAUGAAUACAUUAAACAUUCAUGCAAUUCUACAUAUAAUUUGAUACUUAAGUGACUGCAGCAUCUAUCACUUCGAAUGCCUAUAAGUAAUUAACCUGCAAAAUCAUCAAAGUUUUCACUUUUAAAAUAACAAUCUAUUUAACUCUUAAUAGGCUAUAUGCACCACAAUUCCAACCCAACAACUAAUAACAAUUUCAACCAUCAGAUCAUUGCAAAUGACAUACAUACUAUUCAUUUCUGCAUCUGUUAGAAGUAUUCUUCUACCAUUUUAAGUUCCAAACAUUCUAGUAGCAAGAGUUUGAGAGCCUGUGAUUUCUAUCACCACGACAUGUAACCACACGUACUGAAUAUGCAUGAUAUACCAAUGUAUGAACUAUGAAAACUUUAUAAACCAUGCUCUGAUACAAACUUUCACGACCCGUAUCGAAUUACCCUUAUGGACCCGACACGUGCGUGCGUUGAUGGUAGAUACCAGCUAAGUGUCGGUCCCACCACCAAUGCAACUUUGACCUACUUUAACUCUGACAUAUUUUUAUAAAAAAAAUUUAGCAGAGUUUCCUCUAAAAUAUGGACUAAAAUCACCUGAAACAUAAUAAAAUUUCCCAAACACAUAUGUAACUUAAAAUAUGGUAUACCAACCCCUUCAAAUAUAAACUAUUCAAAAUAAAGCUCACAUGAAUGAACUUUACACUUCUUAACAAGUCAAAGACACUAAAAGCCCAACAUAAUCAAAAGAUAUCAAAUAUGCAAUGAGCCCAUGAUAUGGAUACAUUUCCUGACAAAAAUGCAUGUACCCCAAAAAUAUGAACUGUCUAAACUGACAAAAUAGGUCACACAACUAACGACAAUGCGUGGCUCAAAAUAGUAGAUCAAAAGGCUCCAAAACUGCUCAACUCGGCUGCUAUCUGAUAAAGAAAAUGGUGAAAAGAUAUACGAGCUUAUAACUCAAUGAGUGAAUAAUUUGCAAAUGAAUAUACUUUUUCCAUUUAUGCAUAAUUUCUGAAAAUGAGUGGAUAAUUUGCAAAUGAAUAUACUUUUUCCAUUUAUGCAUAAUUUCUGAAAAUUCUUUCUCUAUUAAAAUUUUGAGAAAUUCUAAAAUUUAUUAACACUUUUAAAACUAAACAUGAUUGCAUCAUAAAAUUCUUUGUUCUUAAUUCUAGAUAAACAACUGUGAGAUAUAAUAAAUGUAAAUAAUCUAAUAUCAGUACAUAUAAGCGAAAAUAUCCUUUCACAGAACUAUGAGUUGAAAUCAUUACUCUAAAAAUUGAAUAAGCUAUAUUCUGUAAUUUGAAAUCUGAUAAGCUGCAUAAUACUUGAAAAUCACACCAAAAGGGUAAUGGAAUAACCUUACUCAUGUAUCGAUUAGCACCAAUAUACAUGGCAAAACUAUUAAAUUCUGUAAAUCUGGUCAUACGCGAGCAGAGCUGUCCGAAAGCUAUAAUCUAGUCAUACACUAUGAAAACACAUUCACAAUAGUACAGAACGGGUAAAAUCACCAUAACUGAUCAUACACUGUGGAAACACGUUCACACCAGUGAAGAGUGGGUAAAAUCAUCAUAUGGAGUCAUACACUGUGGAAACACAUUCACACCAGUGCGGACUAGGGUAAAAUCACCAGGGUAUUUUUUGGUGGUUUUAAAAAUAACUUUAAAUAUGUUGAAAUAUUUAAUAUUCAUAUAACAUAUCAAUCAAAUGAUUUAGUUGAACCGAAUUUAACUUUAAAAACAACUCAUUAUAAAUCAACUUUAUUCUGAAAAUCAUGCUAUCAAAUCAACUAUAUGAAAUAAUAAAUUUUCUAGUUUAAUAUAAAUUUAAUAAAUACUAAUUUCUGAAAAAAGCUUAUCCACUCACAGUUCAAGCUACAUGCUAGGAAGGAAAAUAAGUUUUUCCGAUCUCCUCGCUACCAUUUGAAAUACGUUACAAAAUAACCAAUUUAACCACUGUCGAAACAAGAAAUCUUUUAUCUCUAAUGAUAGUACUUAAACUAAAUUUCUCAAUACUUGAAUAAAUUUCCAAAUUUUUCUUUGACCAAGUGGAACUAAUUUCACUUUAUUCUAGUCCCUCUACUAAUAACUAAUUCAUCAAAAUAACAAACAUAAAAAUAAUUAUCAUUCAAUCUAAUGAAAACUGACAACCAAUUUAACUUUCAUUUUGCUCCAUAAACUCAUGUUUUCAUUUGAAUAUUUCAUCACCACAAUUGUUUCCACUAAUAAUACUUAAUUAAGAAUCCCAAAUAAAAAUCUAGGAUUUGCUAAUUAUUGUAUUUCUUAUCUUGAUUCAACUGAAAAUUAAUCAAUCAAACAAUUUAAGCGAGAAAUUAUAUUCCUUGUACUAAAUCGAAAAUUUAACCAACCCUGGCAACUUUAACAUCAUCCUUCCAUAAGAAAAAAUUGAUGUCUUUACCUCUUGAAAAAAUUGAAAAACUUAAACCCAAGCUUUCCUUUUCUUCUUCUUCUUCUUCUUCUUCUUCUUUUUCCCCCACUUCCUUUUUCUCAUUUUUUCUAGAUUUUUCUUCUGCUGCCCGAUUCUCAACUGGAUUGUGUGUGUAUAUAUGUAAAACAGUAAUAAAAAAUGGGUUUUAUUGCCAAGUUAGUGGAGCAGAGGAAAUAGUGGCCAAUAGCCGGUUGACCCGGCCAUUUUUCCAAAGAGGCCUUUGACCAAUUAAAAAAAAAAGAAAAAAAGCAAAAAUGUUUAAAAUAUUGAAAAUCAAGAGAAAUCCAAAUUUACCCUUACUAUUUAAAGAAGAAAGAGAAGAUAGUAAGGAAAGAGAAAAAUUACUGUAGCACUGAUAAAAAAGGGAAAAUAAACGACCCAUAUUUAAUGUUUUUAUGUUGAUUUUUGGGAGAAAAAAAACACGAUUUUGUAUACAUGUGUUGAUUUUUGGAAAAAUGCAUGAUUUUUUGGUAAGGAUAAUAGUUUGGGAGGAGGAAAAUGGAGUGGAGAUCGUCGAAAAUGAAGUUUUCGGACGAUCUCCACAAAGGAGACGAUUAGCCCAGCUAACUGGGCCAUUUAGGCAUGCCCAGACAACUCAGACUCACCCAGACGCCCCAGUUGGCCGUCUGGGCGCCAGUUGACUAGACCGUCUGGGCCAGUCAACUGUGCCCAGACGACCCAGUCAAUUGGGUCGCCUGGGUGCCCAGUUGACUGGGUCGCCUAGGCACCCAGUUGACUGGGCCGACAGUUUUCUAGGCCUAGAAAUUUUUUUUUUAAAAUUACUUAUUUAUUUAUCUUCUUUAAUUUUUGAAGUUAACUAUUUAUUUUAAUUGCUUAUAUUGUGUUGUCUAAUAUUUAAUUAUUAUUUGAAUUGUUUAAUUUUAAUGUAUAUUAUGUAUUUAAAAUUAUUUCUUUGAAAUGCUUAAUAUAAAUGUUUUAUUAUUUAUCUAAAUAUUUAUUAUAUGCCAAUUUAGUUUUAAUUACUUAUUUUAUGUUAAGUAAUAGUAAAAAAAAUUAAAAUAAAUAAUUAAAUAUUAAAUAAGUAAUAUACAUAAAGAACUUAAAUAAAUAUUUAAACAUCUGUAAAAUUAUAAAUAAGCAAUUAAAUUAGAAAAUUAAAUUAUCAAUCAAAUUAAAUUUUAUCAAUCAAAUUAAAUUUCUGCAAAGCAAUUAAAAUAAAUUUUUAAAUAUUAAUAAGCAAUAUGCAUAAAGAAUUAAAAAAAGUAUUUAAACAUUAAUUAAAAAUAAAUAAUUAAAUUAAGUGUUAGUAAAAUAAUUAAAAUAAGCAAUGAAAAUAUUAAAAUAAAUUAUGAAAAUAAGUGUUAGUAAAAAAUUUAAACAAAAUAAUUAAAUAUUAAAUAACUAAUAUACAUAAAGAAUUUAAAUAAAUAUUUAAACAUUCGUAAAAUAAUAAAAAUAAGCAAUUAAAUUAGAAAAUUAAAAUCUCAAUCAAAUUAAUUAUUUGCAAAGCAUUUAAAUAAAUAUCAAUAAAGAAUUUAAAUAAAUAUUUCAUGAAUUAUGUAAACUGUUUAUUUGAGUAAAAUAAUUAAUUGUUUUUUAUUUCAUUUUAUUUAGAAUAUAAAUAAUGAAAUAAAUAUAAUAAACAAUUGAAUAUUCAAUAAACAAUUAAAAUAAAUGAGAAAUUAAUAUAAAUAAUUAAAUGAAGUAAAUAAAUAUGAAAUAAACUAUUAAAAUAAGUAAUUAAAUAUUAAACAAACAAUAUACAUAACCAAUUAAAGUAAUUAAUGAGAUAUUUAAAUAAAAUAUUAAAUUAAAUAUUUAAUAAGUAAUUUAAUAAAUCAAAUAAUACUUUAAUUGUUUAUGUAUAUUAUUUGUUUAGUAUAUAAUUCUUCAUUUUAUACUUUAUUUGUUUAUUUAAAUAUUUCACGAAUUAUGUUAAUUAUUUAUGCAUAUUGUUUAUUUAAAUAAAAAUAAAUAACUAAUUGAAAUAAAUUAAAUAAAUAUUAAUAAAAUAAUUAAAAUAAUGAAUUGAAAUAAUAAAUAACUAAUUGAAAUAAAUUCAAUAAACAAGUAACUUAAAUGUUAAUUAAGCAAUAAAAAUAAUUAAUUAACAUAAAUAACAAAUAAAUAUAAAUAAUAAAAACUAGUUUAAAUAUGUAAUUAAAUAUUAAAUAAAUAAUUGACAUAAAUAAUUAGAACUUAAAUAUUAAAUAAAUAUUUUAAAUGAACAAUAAAUAUAAAAAGAAGUAAUUUAAAUAAGUAAUUAAAUAUUAAAUAAAAAAUUUAAAUAAACAAUUGAAAUAAAUAAUUAACGUUUAAGUAUUAAAUAAAUAAUUUAAAUGAACCAUAAGUAUAAAUAAUAAAAAUAAGUAAUUAAAUAUUAAAUAAACAAUUGGAAUAAAUAAUUAACAUUCAAAAUAAACAAUUAAACAUUCAAUUAACAAUUAAAAUAAUUAUUAAAUAAACAACCAAACAAUUAAAAUAAAUCAUUUAAAUACACAUUUAAAUAUUGAAUAAAUAAUUUAAAUAAAUAAUUAACAAUUAAAUAUUCAAUAAACAAUUUAAAUAAAUAGUUAACAAUUAAAUAUUUAAUACACGAUUUAAAUAAGUAAAUAAACUAUUUAAUUUUCAAAUAUUAUGCUCUAUCUAUUGUCUUUUAUGCAAGGUCCAAAUAUUUUAAAUUUUACAAGAUGAAUUACCAUUUAGACGUCGCUAUGAGACAGAUUCCUGACAAAGUUACGUCGAACUAUAAUUUUGUCAGCUUCGCAUUAGUUCUAGAUUUGUUGGACGAAGAGCGCGUAGACCUGUUACACCGAUCCUUCUUAUGACGGUAACUUUGACACAAUUAGGAGAUCCAUUUAAUAAAUGCGACGAUAUGUUUGACAAGUUGAAGUUGGGAAUAUUUAUACUAGAGAGCAUACCGAGGUGUCAUCACAAUAAGACGUCGAUCGACGUCUUUCAUUUGGAAGUUGUUGAUGACAUUGAUACAUUCAACAACUAUCCAUGAGGACAAAGCUGACAGUUAUCUGUUCUCCUCAACAAUCCUGAGGUACGUAUUAUUCAUUUGUGAUUUAUGUUGUAUGUCAUUUCGAAAUUUCGAUGCAUGGUCAUUAACUCGGUGAACAUUUAAAUAAUAAUUAAAUGAUUACUUGAAUGAUAAAUAAUUAAAUGAUUAUUUAAACGAUAAUAAAUAACUAAUUGAAAUAAACUCAAUAAACAAGUAACUUAGAUGUUAAUUAAGCAAUAAAAAUAAUUAAUUGACAUAAAUAACAAAGAAAUAUAAAUAUUUUAAAUUUUACAAGAUGGAUUACCAUUUGAACACCGUCAUGAGACAAAUUGCUGACAAAGUUGCGUCGAACUAUAACUUUGCCAGCUUCGCAUUAGUCCUAUAUUUGUUGGAUGAGGAGCACGCAAACCUGUUACACUGAUCCUACUUAUGACAGUAACUCUGGCACAGUUAGGAGAUGCAUUCAAGAAAUACGACGAUAUGUUUAACAAGUUGAAGUUGGGGAUGGUGUUUAUACUGGAGAGCAUACUGAGGUAUCAUCACAAGAAGACGUUGAUCGGUGUCUUUUGUUUGGAGGUUGUCGAUGACAUUGGCACAUUCAACAACUAUCCAUAGGACAAAGCUGACAAUUAUCAGCUCUCCUCGACGAUCCUGAAAUACAUAUUAUUCAUUUUGUGAUUUAUGUUGUACGUCAUUUCGAAAUCUCGAUGCAUGGUCAUUAACUCAGUGAAAUGUUAAUAUGUCAGCUUGAAUUGCUCACUGAGCUGAUACCGUUGAUCGAGGAGGAGGGUCAGAGUCAUAUCUGAAGAGAUACAGUACGUAGGUGAAAGAGGUCCCAGACAGUAACAAAGAGUAGCGGAGAUGGUGACAGAGAGGGUGACGGUGGAGGGGUUGGGAUGUACACAGUUAUUUCAUUAGAAUCAGUAUGGAUGUCAGUGGAGAUGGAAGAGGUGUCGGUGGUGAGGAUGAAAUAAUUGCAAUAAUUGUAAUUCUUUUAUUUAUGAAAUAAUUGUAUAUAUUGUGAAAUUUAUUUAAAUAAGGUAAUGAAAUAUUAAAUACAUACUACAGACAACUAAUUAAGAUAAUUUAUAAAUGAAAUAUCUAAAUAAGAAAUUAAAUUAAAUAUUACUUUUUUAUUUAAUUAAGUAAUUAAAUAAAUAAUUAAACAACGUAAUUAAAUAUUAAAUAAAUAAUAUACAUAAGUAUGUCGAAGAGGGCCCCCAACUUGACAAAUAAUGUCGCGAGUUUGGAUGACACCUUGUACGAAAUAUAUUAUUGACGUGCCAGAGCAAAUUGUUAGCAAGAGGACUAAAUUACUGUCACAACAUAUUGUUUCUUCGUACACGAUCGAAGCAAAGAAGAGAACAUCUGUUGGCGGUACGUUGCCCAACCUCUUUCGUGAAAUCGACUAGGGUGAUUGUGAAAUCUUCGCAUUUAAGUUAGGGCUGUAAAUGGAUCGGAUAUAUGAAUCGGAUUUGCUCAAAUUCGAUCCGAUCCAUUAAUCCAAAGGAUAUUUGAAUGUUAAAUCCAUAUCCGAUUAACUAUGUUAUCGGGUAUCCGAUCCGAAAUUGAACAAAUUAGAAAAAUAAAGAUUUUAUUUAUUUAUCAGAUAGGAAUGACCUAUAUCCAUAUUUGAUUCAUUUAGUUAACGGAUUAUCGAGUUUGAAUCUCGAUUGGGUUAUCGGAUUUAAGGCCCUAAAUCCAUCUCCCAUUAAUUUCAUUGGAUUUAGAUCGAAUUCGGAUCAAAAUCCAAUCUAUUAAUUCAUUUAGUUAACGAAUUAUCGAAUUCGAAUCUCGAUUGUGUUAUCGGAUUGAGACCCUAAAUCCAUCUCCCAUUAAUUUCAUCGGAUUCGGAUUAAAAUUCAAUCCAUUGACAACCCUAAUUGAAUUACAUUAAAUUUUUUGCAUCGAACGUGGUGUAGAGGUAAUAAACUAAACACACAUUAAAAUGCAAUCGUUCUUUUAUGUACAUUGUGAUCCGAAAUUGUAAUAAUUUCAAAAGUAAGCAUUUUUUUUAAAAACGUUUGUAAUACUUCAGUUUUUAUGUAAUUAUAGAAUAAAUAACUAAUUACUCUUAAUUACAUAUAUAACACACUACAAAUAAAGAAAAUUGAGAAAAUCAAUAACACACUAUAAAUAGAGAGUACAUAGGAUUUAAAUAGAUAUUACAUAUUCGUUGGGUAGAGAGUAAUAUACCAUAAUUGGGAACUUCUCACUCAACUUCAUUUUGUUGAGCAAAUAUAGUAUUGGCAUUAUUGAAUAGUGUUUGAUGUAUUGUAAAUCUGAUCAUGCCUAAAGUUCAACUUCCAUCUCUGUUAAAUAUUCUCAUACACCAUGUGAUUUAUGUUCUAAUUAAAUACUAAAUAAAUAAUAUACAUAAACAAUUAAGAUAAUUAAUUAAUGAGAUAUUUAAAGAAUAAAUUAGAUUAAAUAUAAAUUUUUUAUUUGAGUAAGUUUUUAAAAUAAAUAAUUAAAUAAAAUAAUUAAAUAUGCAUAACCAAUCAAGAUAAUUAAUAAAAAAAAUAUUUAAACAAGAAAUCAAAUUAAAUAUUGGAUAAUUCCACAUGUACUAAUUCAUAAGGAUGUUCAUAAUGUACAUAUGGAAUUCCAUGAGUGGAGGAUCGAAAAAACUGUUUUUCAAAUAUCCAAUAAUGUUAUGUCAUCUGUACAUUAUGGUAUAAUAUUUUUAUUUAAAUAAGUGAUUAAAUAAACAACUAAACAAAGUAAUUAAAUAUUAAUGACUAAUAAUAGACAUAACCAAUUAAGAUAAUUAAUUACUGAAAUAUCUAAAUAAGAAAUUAAAUUAAAUAUUAUUUUUUAUUUAAUUAAGUGAUUAAAUAAACAACUAAACAAAGUAAUUAAAUAUUAAAUAAAGAAUAUACAUAAUUAAUUAAGAUAAUUAAUUAAUGAAAUAGUUAAAUAAGAAUUAAAAUAAAUAUUAAUUCUUUUAUUUAAAUAAGUGAUUAAAUAAAUAAUUAAAUUAAUUAAUUACAUUUUAAAUACAUAAUAUACAUAACCAAUUAAGAUAAUUAAAUAAUGAAACAUCUAAAUAAGAAAUUAAAUUAAAUAUUAAAUUUUUAUUUAAUUAAGUGAUUAAAUAAAUAAUUAAAAAUAAAUAAAUAACAUACAUAGCUAAGUAAGACAAUUAAUUAAAAAUAUUUAAAUAAGAAAUUAAAAUAAAUAUUAAUUUUUUAUUUAAAUAAGUGAUUAAAUAAAGUAAUUAAAUAUUAAAUGAGCAAUAUACAUAACCAAUUAAGGUAAUUAAUAAAGAAAUAUUUAAACGAGAAACCGAAUUAAAUAUUAAUUUUUUUAUUUGAGUAAGUGUUUAAAAUAAAUAAUUAAAUAAGGACCAAUUAAGAUAAUUAAUUAAUGAAAUAUUUAAAAGAGAAACCAAAUUAAAUAUUUAAAUGAGAAACUAAAUUAAAUAUUAAUUUUUUAAUUUGAGUAAGUGUUUAAAAUAAAUAAUUAAAUAAGGACCAAUUAAAAUAAUUAAUUAAUGAAAUAUUUAAAAGAGAAACCAAAUUAAAUAUAUAUUUUUUUAUUUGAGUAAGUGUUUAAAAUAUAUAAUUAAAUAUACAUAUAUCAAUUAAGAUAAUUAGUUAAUGAAAUAUUUAAAUAAGAAAUCAAAUUAAACAUUAAUUUUUUUAUUUAAACAAGUGAUUAAAUAAAUAAUUAAAUAGAUUAAUUAAAUAUUAAAUAUUAAAUAAAUAAUAUACAUAAUCGAUUAAGAUAAUUAAUUAACGAAAUAUUUAAACAAGAAUGUAAAUUAAAUAUUAAUUUUUUUAUUUGAGUAAGUGUUUUAAAUAAUUAAUUAAAUAUAAAGUGAAAAGUGUUUGGUUUUUUUAAUUUGUAAUAUAAGAGUAUUUUUGUCUUUUUAAAUAAAAUUCUAUCUUUGUAAUUGUAUAAAUUACUUAAGGAUAUUUUUGUCUUUUACUCAACAAAUGGCCAUUUUGAAAAUUGGCAAAAUUUUUUGAUCAAAGUGAAAAAAUGGCAUAUUGACUUGGCUAAUUUAAAAAGUACCCCUAGUGGAGCACUAGCUCAUGCUUGCAAAGGGAGUCCCUCAACUUCCAUAUCAUAAGGCAUUAAAUCCUCAACUUCUAAAAAUAUAUAAGUAGAUCCCAAAAUUAAAUUUUUAUCAAUCUUAAACCCUUAAGUAUUUUUAAUUGUAAAAUAAGCCCCAAUAAAAUAAUUUAUUUCAUCUUAAUCCCUGUUUGACUUUGACAAGUCAACCUUUGAUUUUUUACUAGAAAAAAAAAUUUGUGUUAUAACACAUAGCCCAUGUGUUUUGCUGCAAGAAAUUUUGGACGUGAAGAAACAGUCAUAUCCCAGGUGGUGAACAAUCUUUAGCCAAUUCCCAGCUGCUCACCACUAGGGUUUUCUGUACUCCGAGCCGUAUUGUAAAGAUUGGUCCAUACUUGUCCGCCAUUGCUGCCAGGGUGAUGUGUGGAAGACGCGAGCCACCUCCUAUGAGGUGGAGGUUGCCUAUAAUGGGCCAUGCCCCACCAGCUUCCGACGGUGUACUGUUUUUGCUAGCUUUAGACCUAGAUUUCCAGUACAAAAUCAAAAGUAGCGCACAUAUUGCAGCUAUGGCAGAACUGAGAUGUGAGACCGAGAAUUCCAUGGUUUUCUUGAUCAAAGAUGGGUUGCCUAGUUAAUUUUUCACUAUGGCCUGUGGGACUCAUAUAUAGGUAAGCAUGCUUAGUGAAGCUUAAAGUGUUUGCUUAUAAAUAAAUAAGUUAUAAAAUUGACAAUUUUUUAUUAUUAAAAGUCGGAUAAUGCUAAGCAACAUUUUUUGGGAGUUGUAAAAGUUACUUUUAGAAUUUUUUUUUUAUUACUUAAAAGAAAAGUAAAUUAUCUACACAUGUUUAAAAAUUUUUUUUUUUUUUUGGAUGCUUAAUCAUCUUAAAAACUAAGCCUAAUUUAUUUUUAAGUCACUCAUUUUUUCAGAUGUAAUUUUGAAAUCAAAGUUCCGACUUUUAAUCACAAAAUUUUCUUUUCAGAAAAUAAGCCAUGGUUGCCUGACCUUGAAAAAGGUAAAAAUCUACAUUUGGAAGAUUGUUUUUAAACAUAUUUAGCAAUUUAUUUAUUUAUUCUUUUUUUGGGCACUUUUCAGGUAUAAAAAAAAAAGAAAAAAGGUUAGUUGACAUGUUUGUUGUGCUUAACAGCUUAAAAGUAAGUCAUAUACUUUUCUAAGUUACUUAUGGUCAGAAAAUUUUUUAUUUCAAGAGAGAGUUUAACCUUAUUACUAGUGUUAUAAUUACCUUACUUACUUAUUUCAUUUAAGAAUAAAUACGUAUAAAUAAAGCUUUUAAACUCGGCUAACAAAGGUUUUAAUGCUGUGAUAUUUAAAUCAGCCUGCACCAAAUUAGAUUGCACAUUCAAAGAUUAAGUAGAGUGUGGCCUACUUAAAUUGUAUUUACAGUGAUAAUUCAAUGUUCAUGGUCCAUUUGAACUAUUAUAUGACUAGUGCAACUACAACCUGCCACAAACGUCACCAUGAUCCAUUUAACACGUGUCACAAUCAUGAUCAAAGACGAAUCCUAGAUUUUUGAUAAGGGAUACUGAAACUUAAGAAAGUCAAUAUAUUCAAAUUUUGGUAAAUGACAAAUAAAAACUAGGCAACCAGUUGGACUAAAUAGAAAAUUGAAGAAAAUAUAUUUAUGAUUUCGAACAGGUGGAACCAUUGAGCUUUCAUUUAGGCAUCGAAUCAUACAGUGAAAUCAAUUCAAUUUCUAGCAGAUAAAUAUUAAACAUAAAUAGUUCAACAUAUUACCAUUUUUAUAACACGUAAUGUGUAACACCUUGAAUUUUAAUUAUAUUUUCAUAUGAGCUAAAUUUAAUAAUGGUCAUUUAGCAAAUGAAAUAGUCCAUGUCUAGUCUUAUCGUUCCAUUAAAGUUCAAAAGUUGAAGUGAUAAACUCGACCAACUUAUUUGCAUAAAUGAUUUAUUUGCUUACGUAUGCUUUUAAAAUUUAAUGUAAGUUAUUUGAGUCGAAUAUUUAUGUAUUUUAGAAGCUAAUAAAAAUAUAUUGAUAUUAUACUCAUUUUGUAGCUCGUGAUAACUAAAAUAAAUGGGUCAAGAAGAAAUAAUUUUGGACUAGUCAUAUCUGAAUUAUUUUGAUAGAAAGAAAAGUAUUCUUAAUUUCAUAUAUACUAGUCUCAUGCCGUGCAAUGCACGGACUGUGUUUUUUUUAAAGGUAAUGUUAGUGUAUGGCAAAAUGGAAAAUGCAUGGUCCUACUUUUGAAAUGGAACAAGAGAUAUCAAAUAAAACAAUGUUAACCUUACAACAUAAAUUUUAAAGAAGAAUCAACACUUUAGUCAGGAGAAGUGGAAAAAUUAAUUCAAUACUUAGCAAAUCACUGGAAAAUGAGAAAAGGGAAAAUAAAGGAUAUCAUAAUGACUGUGACACUACAUAUUAAUUAAUUAACUAAUUAUUUUAAUUUUUUGGAACAUGAAAUGGUUCUUGAAAUAGACAAGAGAAUGGUGAAAUUUAGCCUUACCAAACAGAUAAUGAGUCUAAUACAAUUUUAGGAUUGGAAAGUAAACCAACAAUAAGAAUUAAAUCUGAAAGUACUAAGUCUCUAGGCAGAGUAUAAUCUUUUCCUUUAAAUCCCCAACGAGUAUUUGUAUUUUUGUUUUAACCUGAUUACAAAAGCAUCAAAAUCCCUGAUCAAAAAUAGGAAAAUAUUAUCAUAAAAGAUGCACAAUAUAAUGGAAAAAAAAUUGCAUAGCACUUUCUUAUGAAAAGUACGAAAUUAAGCACUUAAAUUCUACAGAAAAUGCAGACAAACAGAGAGAAGAAUAGCGUUUGAUAUUUAAAAAAACUCAGCAAUAGAAUCAGAUUUUUAUAUCUUCAAAACAAUAAAGACGGAGGAAAAAUAAGUCACCUUACAAAUGACCCGGCCAUUAACAGAAACAAGGCCCGAGCAAAUGCUGGACUGAACUUUAGCUCUGCUAACACCAUUAAGACUGAAUUCUUUGAAUUCGUUUCCCAAAAAGAGCAGGUUUAGGAAAUCAGUUUCAAACAUAUGAACGUAUACACAAUUACAUUUAAAAGCACCAAAUUGUAGAGAUAAACUCAUCGUGUCAAAAUUAUCGAAAAAAAUAAUAUCCUAAAAUUUGAAGAAAUUGAAAAAAUAUGGAUUAAAAAAUUUCUUAGAUUACAGAAAAAGACUAACCUGGUGUGGCCAUCAAGAAGAAAAACGUCGACUUCGAUUGCUUACUUAUUAUCGACGAUUUGGCCAAAAAAAUAGGAGAUGCUACGUGGAAUGUGAUUGUCGCGUAAGAGAAAGACAGAGAUUGAAGAUAUUAGGUUUGGGUCUCGUGUCUCGUAAAGUUACAUGAUGAGAAAAAUAGAAACAAAAAAAAAAAAUUCUCUGAGAAGCUAGAAAGGAAAAAAAUAAAAAAAUGAAAAAGAUUUUUUUGCUCCGUGCACGGAGCCAAAGAGAAAAUGUGAAAUUUACUGUUCAUUUUUAUCACAUCAAUUUUUUUUACAUUGAACUGGUUUUGAAACUAGUUUGAUCCUUUGAAUCUGACACAUAACAUAUUUUUCCAUUUACUCACGCUAUCAACUAUCAAUUAUAUCCUAUAAUUUUAUUAGUAGUAAUAGUUUGUCACACUGUAGCUUUUUUUUAAUUGGUGGAGCAGAAACGACAUUGUUUUCUAUUUUACCUGCAGCUUACAUGCCCUGAGUCUGACAUAGAGUAUUUUUUCUCCAUUUUUUCACGCUAUCAACUAUCGACCAUAUCCUAUAAUUUUAUUAGUAAUGAUAUCCUAUAAUUUUAUUAGUAAUGAUAUUUUUUUAAAUAACUUUUAAAUAAAAGUUAUUCUUUAUUUCUAAAAUGUUAAAUGUUACUUAUAAUUAAAAAGAUCACUUCAAGUUACUUAAAAGUAAAACGAACUUAUAAUUGUAAAAGUUACUUAAAAGUAGAAAAGUAUUAACUUCAAAUUUUUUAAGUUUAAAUAUUUAGAUAUAUUUAGUUUUUUUAAAUUAAAUAUUAAUAAAAAGAUUACAUUAUCUAAAAUGUAACAACUUACUUCUAUGUAAAAAAGCACUUCAAAUUAUUUAAAAGUAAUAAGAAAAACUUAUAAUUGUAAAGGCUACUUAUAGGUAAAAAAAUAUUAAUCACUCCUUCUCUUAUAAUUGCAAAAGCUACUUAUAAUUAAAAAAUAUUAACUUAAAAUUUUUUAAGUAUAAAUAUUUAGAUAUAUUUGUUUUUUAAAUUAAAUAUUAAUAAAAAGAUUAUACUAUCUAGAAUGUAAAAAGUUCCUUAUAAAUAAAAAAUCACUUCAUGCAAAUGGAGUGUAACACUCCAUGCACAGAGACUUAAACCCACUCCAUGCACGGAGUGUCACUCCUCCGUGCACUGAGUGUUAACAGUCCAUGCACGGAGUGUUAACACUCAGUGCACGGACUGGAAAUAAGUUUUUUUAAUUUUAUUUAUAGUAAUUUUUAUCAAUAUUUAAUUUUAAAAAAUUAAAUACAUUUAUAUGUUUACUUAAAAAUGUUGAAGUCAAUAUUUUUUUUAAUUAUAAGUAGCUUUUACAAUUGUAAGUUUUUUUAUUACUUUUAAAUAACAUGAAGUGAUUUUUUUUACGUAUAUGUAAUUUUUUACAUUCUAGAUAGCGUAAUCUUUUUAUUAAUAUUUAAUUUAAAAACUAAAUAUAUCUAAAUAUUUAUACUUAAAAAAUUUUAAGUUAAUAUUUUUUACUUAUAAGUAACUUUUGCAAUUAUAAGAGAAUGAGAGAAUAAUAUAUAUAUAUUUUUUUUACCUAUAAGUAGCUUUUACAAUUAAAAUUUUUUUAUUACUUUUAAAUAACACGAAGUGAUUUUUUUUACUUAUAAGUAACUUUUUACAUUCUAGAUAGCGUAAUCUUUUUAUUAAUAUUUAAUUUAAAAACUAAAUAUACCUAAAUUUUUGUACUUAAAAAAUUUGAAGUUAAUAUUUUUUACUUAUAAGUAGUUUUUAUAAUUAUAAGUUCGUUUUACUUUUAAGUAACUUGAAGUGAUCUUUUUAGUUAUAAGUAACUUUUUACAUUUUAGAAAUAAAGAAUAACUUUUAUGUAAAAAGUUAUUUAAAAAAUAUUAUUACUAAUAAAAUUAUCGGAUGUAGUCGAUAGUUGAUAACGUGAAAAAAUGGAAAAAGUGUACUCUGUGCCAGAUUCAGAGCAUGUAAAGACCAAACCACUUUCAAAAUCAGUUCAAUAUGAAAAUCAAUGUGACAAAAAUGAAAAGUAAACCUCACAUUCUCACACUGUAGCUUUUUUUUUUAAAAAAAUUGGUGGAGUAAAAACGACAUCGUUUUCUAUUUUACCUGUAGUUUACAUGCUCUGAAUCCGACACAAAGUACUCUUUCUUCAUCUUCUCAGGCUAUCAACUAUCGACCAUAUUCAAUAAUUUUAUUAUUAAUAAUAUUUUUUAAGUAACUUUUACAUAAAAGUUAUUUUUUAUUUGUAAAAUGUAAAAAAUUACUUAUAACUAAAAAGAUCACUUCAAGUUACUUAAAAGUAAAACGAACUUACAAUUGUAAAAGCUACUUAUAAGUAAAAAAUAUUAACAUCAAAAUUUUUAAGUAUAAAUAUUUAUAUAUAUUUAGUUUUUUAAAUUAAACAUUAAUCAAAAUAUUACACUAUCUAAAAUGUAAAAAGUUACUUAUAAGUAAAAAAAGCACUUCAAGUUAUUUAAAAGUAUAAAAAACUUAUAAUUGUAAAAGCUACUUAUAGGUAAAAUAAUAUUAAUCCAUCAUUCUCUCAUAAUUGCAAAAGCUACUUAUAAAUUAAAAAAAUAUUAACUUAAAAUUUUUUAAGUACAAAUAUUUAGAUAAAUUUAGUUUUUAAAUUAAGUAUUAAUAAAAAGAUUACACUAUUUAAAAUGUAAAAAGUUACUUAUAAGUAAAAAAUCACUUCAAGUUAUUUAAAGGUAAUAAAAAACUUAUAAUUAUAAAAGCUACUUAUAGAUAAAUAUAUUAACUUCAACAUUUUUAUGUAAAUAUUUAGAUAUAUUUAAUAUUUUAAAAUUAAAUAUUAAUAAAAAAUUACUAUAAAUAAAAUUUUUAAGAAAAUAAAAAAAAUAAAAAAAAUGAGAGAGAGAGAUUUUCACUCCCCAUGCAUGGGAGUUCACAUGGGGAGUGAAAAUCAACUCCAUGUGCACGGAGCCGUGUUUCUUUAUUUUUUAUUAAUAUUUAAUUUUAAAAAAUUAAAUGUAUCUAAAUAUUUAUUUAAAAAUAUUGAAGCUAAUUUUUUUUAUCCAUAAAUAGUUUUUACAAUUAUAAGUUUUUUUAUUACUUUUAAAUAACUUGGAGUGAUUUUUUUACUUAUAAGUAACUUUUUACAUUCUAUACAAUGUAAUAUUUUUAUUAAUAUUUAAUUUAAAAAACUAAAUAUUUGUACUUAAAAAUUUUAAGUUAAUAUUUUUUUUACUUAUAAGUAUCUUUUGCAAUUAUAAGAGAAUGAGGGAUUAAUAUUUUUUUUUACCUAUAAGUAGCUUUUACAAAAUAACUUGAAUUGCUUUUUUUACUUAUAGGCAACUUUUUACAUUCUAGAUAGUGUAAUUUUUUUUAUUAAUAUUUAAUUUAAAAAACUAAAUAUAUUUAAAUAUUUAUCCUUAAAAAUUUUGAAGUUAAUAUUUUUCUACUUAUAAGUAGUUUUUACAAUUAUAAGUUCGUUUUACUUUUAAGUAACUUGAAGUGAUCUUUUUAGUUAUAAGUAAUUUUUUACAUUUUAAAAAUAAAGAAUAACUUUUAUGUAAAAAGUUAUUUACAAAUAUUAUUAUUAAUAAAAUUAUCGGAUAUGGUCGAUAGUUGAUAACGUGGGAAAAUGGAGAAAGAGUACUCAGUGUCAGAUUCAGAGCAUGUAAGUUGCAGGUAAAAUAGAAAACGACGUCGUUUCUGCUCCAAUUAAAAAAAAUACAAUGUGACAAAAUAUUAUUUAAAAAAAUAUUGCUACCAAUAAAAUCAUAGGAUAUGGUUGAUAGUUGAUAGUGUGAGAAAAUGGAGAAGGAAUAUUGCAUGUCAAAUCCAAAGGAUCAAACCAAUUUCAAAACCAGUUCAAUGUGAAAAUCAAUGUGACAAAAAUGAAAAGUAAACCUCACAUUCUCACACUGUAGCUUUUUUUUUUUUAAAUGGUGGCGUAGAAACGACGUCGUUUUCUAUUUUACUUGCAGCUUACAUGCUCUGAGUCCGAUACAAAGGACUCUUUCUCCAUAUUCUCACGCUAUCAACUAUAGAUCAUAUCCGAUAAUUUUAUUAGUAAUAAUAUUUUUUGAAUAACUUUUUACAUAAAAGUUAUUUUUUAUUUCUAAAAAUGUAAAAAGUUACUUUUAACUAAAAAGAUCAUUUCAAGUUACUUAAAAGUAAAACAAACUUAUAAUUAUAAAAGCUAUUUAUAAGUAAAAAAUAUUAACAUCAAAUUUUUUAAGUUUAAAUAUUUAGAUAUAUUUAGUUUUUUAAAUUAAAUAUUAAUAAAAAAAAUUACACUAUCUAGAAUGUAAAAAGUUACUUAUAAGUAAAGAAAAAAAGUACUUCAAGUUACUUAAAAAAGUAUAAAAAAAAUUUAUAAUUGUAAAAGCUACUUAUAGGUAAAAUAAUAUUAAUCCAUCCUUCUCUUAAAAUUGGGAAGGCUACUUAUAAAUAAAAAAAUAUUAACUUAAAAUUUUUUAAGUAUAAAUAUUUAUAUAUAUUUAGUUUUUAAAUUAAAUAUUAAUAAAAUGAUUACACUAUUUAAAAUGUAAAAAGUUAUUUAUAACUAAAAAAUCACUUCAAGUUAUUUAAAAGUAAUAAAAAACUUAUAAUUAUAAAAGCUACUUAUAGAUAAAAAAAAAAUAUUAACUUCAACAUUUUUAAGUAAAUAUUUAGAUAUAUUUAAUUUUUUAAAAUUAAAUAUUAAUAAAUAAUUACUAUAAAUAAAAUUUUUAAGGGGAAAAAAAAGAGAAAUAGGCUCCGUGCACGGAGCGAUAAUCGCUCUGUGCAUGGUGGAGUAAUUUUCACUCCCCAUGCAUGGGAGUUGAUUUGUCACUCCCAUGCAUGGGAGUUCACAUGGGGAGUUAAAAUCAACUCUAUGUGCACGGAGCUCUAUUUCUUUAUUUUUUUAUUAAUAUUAGUUUUAAAAAAUUAAAUAUAUCUAAAUAUUUACUUAAAAAUUCUGAAGUUAAUAUAUUUUUAUCUAUAAGUAGUUUUUACAAUUAUAGGUUUUUUUUAUUACUUUUAAAUAACUUGAAGUGAUUUUUUUUAAUUAUAUGUAACUUUUUACAUUCUAGAUAAUGUAAUCUUUUUAUUAAUAUUUAAUUUAAAAAACUAAAUAUAUCUAAAUAUUUGUACUUAAAAAUUUUUAAGUUAUUUUUUUUAAUUAUAAGUAGCUUUUGCAAUUAUGAGAAAAUGAGGGAUUAAUAUUUUUUUUUAGUUAUAAGUAGCUUUUACAAUUAUAAGUUUUUUAUUACUUUUAAAUAACUUGAAGUGCUUUUUUUUCUUUUUUUUUUACUUAUAAACAACUUUUUACGUUGUAGAUAGUGUAAUAUUUUUUGUAAUUAUUUAUUAAUAAAAAUGUUCUAUAAAUAGGAGGAAAAAUCAACACUCCGUGCAAAAGGAGAAAACUCUCAUUUUACUCUCCUUUUGAAAGGAGAGACUAUCUCUCUAUCCACGAAGAGUUUUUUUUUUUUAAUUCUUAUUUUUUAUGGAGGGAUAAUUUUGUUGAUAUCAUAUUUCGAUAUAAAAUUCUUUUUAAUUUUUUUAUGGUAAAAUUUAAUUUUUUCAAUUUUAAUUAAUUAAAUAAUAUUUAUAUAUUAUUUAUUUAAUUUUCCUAACUUUCUUUUAUUUUAUUUGUUUAAUUUAGUUUAAUAAAAUAAUCUUUAUAUACUCUUUAUGAUAGAACGACAUUCUUUAAAUUUGAAUUAAAUAAUAUUUUUAAAAAUCAUUUUAAUUUAAUUUAAAAACUUUAUAAUAAAUUUUUCUAUUUUUGUCUGCAAUUUCUUUUUUUAAUAAUCUUUACAUUUAAUUUCAUUUCUUUAUUAUAUAAUAUAUAGUACUGGCUUUAAUCAAGUAAAGUAGUGUGUGAAACGGAAAAAUCAGUGAAAUGGUGUGUGAAAAUAGCGAGCUGGCGUGUCAAAAGAGUGCUAAAGUGUGAUGGAAUAGAAUAAUUUAUUGUUGUCAAACUAGCUUCAUGUGAAAAUCUAUGUGAUAAAAAUGAAUAAUAAACUUCACAUUAUCUCUUUUAAAAUAAGGAUAUAUAUAUAUAUAUAUAUAUAUAUAUAUAUAUAUAUAUAUGAAACGUGACCAACCGUUUCUUUGAAUUAAAAAAAAAAAAAAACAUAAAUCAAUCGUUAUCAAUUAUAUAAUAAAUUAUCUAAUUAACCUUUUUAAAUUCUAACACUCAACCGUCACUUGAUUUAUUAGAAUUCCCACACUCAACCAUCCAUCAUGAUUUGAUUUGAAAUAAAGAAUAGAUUAAAUAACCUAUUAAAUCCUCAAACCUAACAUGUGGGCGUUUGAAUAGAUAGUAAAUGGUAGACAUAUUAAGGCCCGUUUGGUAGGGAUUUUGAGAAUUGAUUUUUUGACCGUUAGAAGAAAAGUGAGGUCCACAUGUGAGAGAAGAAGUCAAAAAUUACGGCUUGAAUAGUAAAAUAACGGUCAAAAAAUCAUUUUUUGGGGCAAAAAAUCCCUACCAAACGGGCCUAAGACACUUAUUAAAAGGGAGUAUCCUUUUAUUUCAUCAACCACAUUUAAAACUUCACAAGUUGGGUUUUCAUUCCAUUAUAAACAUUCUGUCCAAUUUUAAUUAUUGUCUCAAGGAAUAAUUUUAGAAUUUUCGAUAUCAAUUGAGAUAAAAGUACUUUGUGCGAAUGGUAAAUUAAUAUUUUUUUGAAAUUUAAUAGACUUCAGCAUGAAAUACUCUAAGACCUUCGGAUCGACUUCUAUGUUAAAUCCUAUUGGAUGAAUCAUUAGGCCGACUAUGAUAAAUUGUACACGAUGGACCUUUUGGUCAAAUAUGUAAAUCCUACGAAAUAUAGAAAUUCUUAUGAAAUUCCUUGAACUAUUGGAUGUCGCGACCAGUUUGCUCUAAAUUUGAGAAACAUCGGUUUGCCAUAUCAUUUCAUAUUUAUAUAAUGUUAAUAAGGAUAUGUACGUAUUUCUUACUAAGUGUUUUCAAAAUACGCACUUUUACAAUAACUUUUCAGAUUAGAACGGGUCGUGUGGACGUGUGGCAGAUUAACCGAGUGAUACUUAUGGGAUCAUCAAGUAAAAUUUCUAAAGAUGAUAAUUUGCAAAUUUUCUUUGUCCGGUUGAAGAACAUUGUUAUUUAACCAUUUUCUACACAAUAUUUAGUAGUUCUUCUUGUGUUCGAACAUUUGACAUUUUAUGUUAAAUUCGAAUUGAUAAUUUGAAAUCGUAGUACUUUAAGAUUUUAUUUAAUGUGAAAAUUUUCACUUAAAUGGAUAGUUUAUCAUUCUCGAAUUACCGAUAAAAAAAUGAAUUUCUGCUUAAAUUAGAUAAAGAAAAUUAAUUUUGAUAAAGGAUUUUGAUAAAAUGUAAUCGGAAGUUGUCAUUCCACCGUCUCAAGUUACUGCAAAGAGUGCAGCAUUAAAGAUUCAACCUACUCUUACGGACCAAAUCAAAGAUGCUUAGGACAAUGACCUCUUUUGAGGAAAAUUAAGGCAGAAGUUGGUACAGGUAAAAGAAAAGGUUUUGCAAUAGCAGAUGACAAUGCUUUGAUGUUCGAGAGAAGAUUAUAUGUACCAAAGAAUGAAGAGAUAAUAAAAGAAAUGAUAGAGGAAGCUCGCUAUGCUCCGUAUGCUGCACAUCCCGGUAGUACUAAAAUGUAUUGAGACCUUGGCGAUACAUUUUGGUGGAGUAAUAUGAAAAGGGGGAUUGGUCUCAUUGUUGAAAAGUGUAUUGUAUGUCAGCAGGUUAAAGCAGAACAUCAAAGGCUAUUAGGACCAUUAAAUCUAUUGAAAAUUUCAGAGUGGAAAUUGGAGUAAAUAGCCAUAGAUUUUGUGGUGGAUUUUUUGAAAUCAACGAAAUAACAUGAUGCCAUCUGGGUGAUUGUGAACAGGUUGACAAUGUCAGCCCAUUUUCUUCCAGUAAGAAUGAACUCUAAUAUGGAUCAAUUUGCUUAAUUAUAUGUUAAGGAAAUUGUUAAACUUUAUGGAGUUCCAAUAUCUAUCGUCUCGAAUCGAGACCCAAUGUUUACUUCUAAAUUUUGAAAGAGCACGCAAGGAGCUAUGGGGACAAGGUUAAAUUCCAGCACUAUCUAUCAUCCUCAAUCUGAUGGACAGUAUGAAAAGAUCAUUCAGAUCUUGGAAGACAUGCUUCAGGCAUGUGUCUAGGAUUUAGGAGGUAGUUGGGAAUCACACAUAUCAUUAGUGGAGUUUCCAUACAAUAAUAGCUUUUAGGCUACUAUUGGCAUAGCUCAUUAUGAAGCUCUCUAUGGUAAAAGAUGUAGAUCCCCAAUUCAUUGGGAGAAUCGAAGAAAAAUAAAAUUUGGGUCUAGAGAUUAUUACAAGGAUGGUGCAAGCAAUUGAUAAAAUUAGAGACAGAAUAAAGUCUACUCAAGAUAGACAGAAAAGUUAUGCAAAUCAACGAAGAAAAUCGAUAGAAUUUGAAGUCAGUGAGAAAGUUUUUCAAGUGACACCAAUAGAAGGGGUUCUUAAAUUCGACAAGAAAGGAAAGUUGAAACCUCAAUUUAUAGGUUUUUUCGAAAUUCUAGACAAAAAUUGGGAAUGUAGCAUACCGUCUAACACUGCCACCUAGACUAUCAGUGGUAUAUAAUGUAUUCCACGUAUCAAUGCUUAGAAAGUACUUGCAUGAUCCCAGACAUGUGACAAGCUAUGAAUCAUUGGAAGUACAUAAAGAUCUAACGUAUGAAAAGGCUCCUUUGGAGAUUAUUGAAAGGAAAAUUUAUGCAUUAAGAAAUAAAGAAAUUGCCUUGGCUAAGGUUCGAUGGAAAAAAUCACGGAGUCAAAGAUGCUAUUUGGGAAAAAGAUGAAGAAAUAAAAGCUAAGUAUCCAAAGCUUUUAGGUUAAAUAAGGUAAUUUCGAGGACGAAAUUAUUUUAAGGGGAAAGGGAUGUAAAACCUCGUAUUUUAAUUAUAUUUUAAUAUGAGCUAAAUUUAAUAAUGGUCAUCUAGCAAAUGAAAUAGUCCAUGUCUAAUCUUGUCGUCAUACUAAAGUUCAAAAGUUGAAGUGCUAAACUCGACCAACUUAUUUGUAUAAAUGAUUUAUUUGCUUACAAAUACUUUUAAAAUUUACCGUAAGUUAUUUGGAUCAAAUAUUUAAAUAUUUUAGAAGUUAAUAAAAAUAUAUCAAUAUUAUACUCUUUUUGUAACUUGUGAUAAAUAACAUAAAUUGGCUCAAGAAGAACUAAUUUUGGACUAGUCAUAUUUGAGUUAUUUUGAUAGAAUAAUAAAUUUUAUAUUAUUAUUAUUAUUAUUAUAAAAAAAUCAUGUAAAUGAAACGUCACUUACCAUUUCUUGGAGUUUGAUAAAAAAGCAUAAAUGAAUCAUCAUAAAUUAUAUAAUAAAUUAGCCGAGGUUCAUUGAUAAUAAUUGUUCCUUGUUAGUUGUGCCAAUGAUUUGAUGUUUUGCACAUGUUUUCGAGGAAAGGUGGCUGAACCGUUGCAACUUCCAAGAUGCCUACUGCUGUCGAAUUAAAAUCGUAAUUAUUAGAACAGCUGGAGCUUCUAGAAGCAGACGCGUUGGCUGAGAUGCGUGGGAGACACGCUUGAAUCUGAGGCAUAGGUUUGAAAAAUCGUUUGAAUUCUACGCCUCGGAUUUGAUUUAAAAUGAAGGGUUCAGAUUGAAUGAGCUUCGAUCUGACGGUGGAGGUUCGUCCUGGCCCUUUAUAAAAGGUGAGAAAACUCCCUUUUUCAGAAUUUUCUAGCAUUUGCAAUCUGAUCUCUCCUCUUAGAGCUUAGACAUUCCGGCGUUGAGGCAAUUCCGUUUACUGCUUUUCCAGUAAACUCAGUUCGCGUAGUUUUUUAGUAGGUAUUUUUCACAGAAAAUCCUCUUAUUGUGUAAGUAGUUGCUUUCUGAGAUGGAGUCGACUUCGGGUAGGGAGUCGGUCACUGUCGCAUCGUUUAGUCGGGGGUCUAGUUAUCGGGGGGACUCCGAGGUUGAGCAUAUUGCUAUGACCGAGGAGGAAGUAGAUUACAAUGUAGAGUGGGGGCGUCUAGAGUCCCUUCGAAUAUGACGUCAAAGAGGUUGGGGGAGAUAAGGGAGAUGUACUAUGUACCUCAUUAUGUGGAGAUGUUAGUGCCCGAGACCCAUGAGCGAGCCUGUUAUCUGAGGCCGAGGUGUGUGGCUGUGAGCUAAUAUUUAUUUAGGGCAGGUAUGCGUCUACCUCUGCACCCCUUCUUCAGUGCUGUGCUGAGGAAUUCCAUGUUUUCGCCAACCCAUGUUCUACCAAAUGGGUGGAGCCAGUUGGUCGGCUCGUACUUCCUGUGGAAGGAAGUGUCGCUUGGGGAGGACAUGUCUCUCCAUGUUUUCAUGACCCUAUUUCAGCCUAGGAUAAUAGGUAAGGAGUCGAAGGGGUGUUAUUACUUGACUCCCUGGGGGCCCAUCACCUUUUGUGGUAGAGCUGCCUUCUUCCAUAAAGAGGUGGAAGGAGUCGUGGUUCUGGGUGAGGGGCAGGUGGUAGGCGCUGGAGGGAGACAAAGCCCUGUCUUGCAAUGUGCUAACCCAGUACUACGAAACUCGUGAGUCUCCCACUCUAGUAGUUUGCAUUCCGUUUGUAGCUUUAAUUUUUUGUCUAACUGUUGAUGCCUCGUUUGCAGAUUGCAGUACGAGGUUCGAGCUAAGCAGGGAGGAGUUUGAAGUGAUAGAAGAUAUUUACAAGAGACCUCUAAAGCUUCGCCACUUCGAUCACCUCAUCGACAGAAGUCGCUAUUUUCUGGACUUCGAACUGAUGGCCUCCAAGGGUAUGAAGCUCCCUUACUUGUAUAUUUUUUGUGUUUUCAUUUUGGUACUGACGUGCUGCGCUCUGCAGAUAAGUUUAAGAGGAAGGAGUACCCAGCUCCUGACAUGGCGUCCAUACUAAGGGCAACUUCCACUGUGAAGGUGAGGCCCCUGAAGCCGAGGUCAAGUGGUGCGAAGGAGGUCCGAGGUAGAGUCAAACGUCUCUCCAAGGACAGCACCUCGUGGGCUUUCGAAGAGGAGACCCCCCAGAGGCAGGAAAAGGCCAAGGAGCCUCAAGGGAAGGAGAAAGUCUCUGAGGAGCCAAAGAAAAGGAAGCCGAUGCACAUCUCCAGCUCUUCUGGCAAAUUGGGAGUUCUGUGUCCCAAGGCAAAGAAGCCGGACCGCCGAAGCUACUGGAAGCCACUUCGAAAGCGGUUAAGAUUGAAAUGAUCAGGCGUACAGAGACUGAUGAGGCGAGGGAGGAGGCUGCAAGGGGCAAGCUGAGGUGGCUGAGGAGGAGGCUGCCAAGGAGAAACCUGUUUGAGUACAAGGUAAGUCUCCAAGCUUCCUUACCGGCCGAGAGGAGCUUCUGGCCCCAACUUUGGUGGAGGCCCUACCACCUGAAAUCCGAAGCGCUGCUAAAAAUUUCUAUAAAUUCUGGACGGAUUGGUGGCAGCUGCACGCCUUCGCCUGUGAUGCCACUGACUUGACGAUGGCUCUUGUGAGCCAAAGUGUUAGGACCUUUGGCCUCGCACUAGAGUGCAGGGAGGCUCUUACUGAUUUUCAGAUGAGGACCCAGUCCUCUGAGAAGAAGGCUGCCUCCCUUUUAGAGAAGCUGAAGGCAGCUAAGGCUGAAGCUAAAAAAGCUAGGGCCCAGAAACUUGAAGAAUCGGCCAAGCUGGAGUCUGCCUUGGCUCAGAUAGAGGCAUUGAAGAGGGAGGUACAUGAGUCCCAGUGCGAGGUUGCCUCCUUGACUAAGAAGGUGGAGGUUUCCAAUGACCACCAGAAAGUGAGCCGAAGCCUUGGAGAAGGCUAACCUGGAGCUGGUAGGGGCCCAGGACGGAUACAAGUUCAUCAAAGGCCAAAUUAAGUGGUAUGUCGAUGAUGCGACCCAUGUUAGGGAGGAAGCUCAAAGUGUAAGGAAGGAAGCAGUGAGAGACUACAUUGCCAACUUCCAUAAUGCCGAGGAGUACAAGAGCUUCAGCGCUUACUGGAGGAACUUUGCUUUUGCCGAGGUGAUGGAGCGGGCUGAGGAAUUGUACCCAAAUCAGGACCUGUCGUAACUCAAGUCGGAGUUUGUGGACGAAGUGCCUCAAACCCCAGCUAAUGAAGUGGUGGGAGAUGAAGUAGUAGAGGCAGAAGAAACACAUUCUGAUGCUCAAGCUGCCGAAGUUCUAGCUGCUGAGGCACCUCCACCAUCUUCCCAAGCUUAGGAUAGUUUUCUUUUCAGUUAUGCAUGAUGUACUGGCCUCAGACCCUCCUUUUGUAAUCUCAAUUGAAAAUCAAUAUAAUAUCUCCUUUUUGUUCAAUGCUAUUUCUUUCUUUCAAGUGUGUUGGCCUCGUUAAAUAAUUGAACAUAAUGUUGAUUGAAGAACCAAAUAACUUUAACUGGGUAUCCUAACUCCAAUUACUUGAACGAAUAAAUUGUAUGCAAAUGACCAAUAUGGGACUUAAGCAAAUGAAUUGUACUUGAGCUUAAUAAUUGUAACCUGAAGGGAUCCUAAGAAUGGACCGUGUUGCAAUUGAACUGGGAGUUUUACUCUGAUACAAGUACACGUGCUUCGGAGUUCAAAUGAGGUGGCCUAGAGAUGGGACCCGGCCUCUCCUCCGAGGUGACAACGCUUCCCAACAUGGUGGAUGGUGCAGUCAUGUUGAGACUUCUUCCCUUGGCGUUCAGCCUCACCAAAGGGAGGCAUGUGCAUGUGCCUCGGAGUUCAAACGAGGUGGCCUAGAGAUAGGACCCCAGCCUCUCCUCCGAGAUGACGACGCUUUCCAACAUGGUGGAUGGUGCAACCAUGUUGAGGCUUCUUCCCUUGGCGUCCAGUCUCGCCAAAGGGAGGCAUGUGCAUGUGCCUCGGAGUUCAAACGAGGUGGCCCAGAGAUGGAACCCCGGCCUCUCCUCCGAGGUGAGGAAAUAAUGCGAUACGUUGAUUUAAUCAUAGGAUUUCAUUGAACCUUAGAAAUGUUACAAGAGCUGGGAAAGAUCGUCCAGCGGGUAGUACAUUCAUUGGUAAUAGAUUCUGAUCAAUCCAAUAAGUCCCAGGCCGAAUUUCUUCUCUGAUUUUAUAUGGCCCUUCCCAGUUGGGACCUAGGGAACCAGAACCAGGUUCCUUUGAGAAGAGGAAGACUCUCCUAAGGACCAAAUCGUUGACUCGGAAUGACCUUGUCUUUACCUUUGAGUUGAAGUACUUCAUCAUCUUUCUUUGGUAUGUGGCGAGCUUCAACUGGUAGUCAUCUCUUCUCUCUUCGAUGAAGUCGAGGUCGCACCUUCGAAGCUUAUCGUUUGUUAUUUUACUAAAAUGCAGACGUCUUGGAGACGGAAGUCUGACCUCAACGGGGCUCAUUGCCUCAGUACCAUAUGCCAUGAGGAAAGGUGUUUCCCCGGUUGGCGUCCUCGUGGUGGUUUGGAUUGCCCAAAGAACUUGUGGUAGCUCGUCCACCCAGGCCCCUUUUGACACAUCGAGCUUUCUUUUCAGGACGUGUUUGAUUGUUUUGUUGACAGCCUCCACUUGGCCAUUUGCUUGUGGGUGGUGAGGUGUGGAGAAAUACUUCUUGAUGCCAAGUUCUUCGCAUAGUGCUCUGACCUUCUUGUUGUCGAAUUGUCUACCGUUGUCUGAGUAGGGAAUCCCGAACUGGCAUAUAAUAUUCUUCUACAAGAACUUGGAAGUGUUGGCUUCUGUGAUUUUUGUCAGUGGCUCAGCCUCAACCCAUUUCGUAAAGUAAUCAUUGGCCACAAUUGCAAAGCUUGCACCUCCUCUACCUUUAGGUAGAGGGCCUAUGAGGUCCACACCCUAUUUCGAGAAAGGCCAAGGGCUGGAAACCACGAUCAAGUCCUGCGACGGUUGUCUUUGUAUUGAAGAGAAUCGUUGACAUUUGUCACACUUUCGUACAAACUCGAGGGCGUCCCUUUUUUGGGUAGGCUAGUAGUACCCUUACCUCAAAAUCUUUUGUGCCAAAGAUAGACCUCCGGAGUGAUUGCCGCACACGCGCUCAUGGACUUCUCUCAAUAUGUAAGUAGCCUCUUCUCCCCCAACACAUCUUAAGAGUGGAGAGGAGAAACUCCUCUUAUAGAGAACAUCAUCAAUGAAGAGGAAGUGGGCUGACCUCCUCCAUAGCUUGUAGGCUUCAUGCUUGUCAGUGGGAAGUACCUGGUCUUUGAGGUAUGCUACCAUUGGCUGCAUCUAGAUAGGGGUCCCAGCGACCCACAUGGCAUUGGGGCCCUCGGUCGAUGGUAGGAGGAGGUGCUCUAUGGGUAUUACUGUGAAUAGUUCUGAAUCCUUGCUACUAGCAAGUUUGGACAGUGCAUCCGCAUGAGAAUUUUCGAUGCGAGGGAUCUGGGUCAGUUCAAAUUUUUCAAAGGAUGGGAUGAGGUUCAUCACCAUUUGCAGGUAGGAGACCAUUAUUUUGUCCUUGGCUGAGAAGUUACCAUUUACUUGGCUAACAACCAGCUGGGAGUCACUGCUGAUGAGAAGCCUCUUUACUUGCAUUUCCUUGGCCAACCUGAGGCCUGCAAGUAGUGCAUCGUAUUCUACUACAUUGUUGGUGGCCUUGAACCCGAACCUCACUGCUGAGUUUAGCUUGUGACCUUCAGGGCUGAUGAGCACUACUCCAGCGCUUGAGCCGGCGUCUCCAGCCGACCCAUCCACGAAUAAGUUCCACAUAGGGGGUUUGGCGGGUUCCAUGAUUUCAUCUACCUCGGGUAGGUUGGUGAAUUCUGCCACAAAGUCAGCAAGGGUCUGACCCUUGAUGGCUGCCCUAGCCUUGAACACGAGGUUAAAUUCACUUAGCUCCACUGCCCACUUCAAUAAUCCUCCUAAGGCAUCAAGCUUUUGGAGCACUUGCCUUAGGGAAAAAUUUGUCAGCACGUGGAUGGUGUGAGCUUGGAAGUAGGGUCUUAAUUUCCUAGAGGCCGUGGUCAAGGCCAAAGCGAGCUUCUCCAUAUUGGGGUAACGGGUUUUCGAUGAUAGGAGUGCUUUACUUGUAUAGUAAACUGGAAGUUGGGUGGUUCCCUUUUCUCGAGUCAAGACUGAACUGAUGGCCUCAUUUGAGACGACUAGAUAUAGUUGUAGGACCUCUCCAGGCUUCGGUUUGGAGAGGAGGGAGGCCUGCUCCAGGUGCAUUUUCAGGCCUUGGAAGGCCUCUUCACAUUCCUCAUUCCAUUGGAACUUCUUCCCCGCUUUUAGUACUUUGAAAAAUGGAAGGCGUUUGUCUGUAGCUUUGGAGACGAAUCGGCUAAGUGCGGCCACCUGUCCAGUCAAACUUUGCACUUCCUUUGGCUUUUGGGGAGACCUCAUCUUGCAUAGGGCCUCAAUCUUCUUCGGGUUGGCUUCAAUUCCACGUUGAUUGACCAUAUAUCCUAAGAAUUUGUCGGAGGCCACUCCAAAGGCGUACUUGAGGGGGUUGAGCCUCAUCCUAUAUCUUCUCAAGAUUUGAAAGGUGCUGUUGAGGUGUGUUAUGUGAUCCUUAGCCUCCAAACUUUUCGCCAACAUGUUGUCCACGUAUACCUCCAUUGUCUUGCCGAUGAGGUCCAUAAACAUUUUGUUGAUGAGCAUUUGGUAAAUCGUUCCGGCGUUUUUCAACCCGAAGGGCAUCAUCCUAUAACAAUAAAGGUCUCGGUCUGUAAUGAAAGAGGUGUGCUCCUCAUCGGCCAGGAGCAUGGGUAUUUGGUUGUAGCCGAAGUAUGCGUCCAUAAAGCUCAAUAACUCGUGCCCAGCCGUGAAGUUUACUAGUUGAUCAAUCCUUCGGAGAGGAAAGCUGUCUUUCAGGCAAGUUCUGUUGAGGUUGGUGAAGUCGAUGCACACCCUCCACUUGCAAUUGUGUUUCUUUACUAAAACCGGUUGGAGACCCACCUCGGAUAGGUAGUGAAAAGGCUAUAGUUCGACCCAACCAACACCUAGAGGGGGGUGAAUAGGUGUCUAUGUGGAAUUUAACAAUUUAAUUAAGUUAUGCAACAAGUCACAUAAAUUAAACGUUGUCCAGAUUCAUUCACAUGAUUUAACUACCUAUGUUGAAUUGCCGGUUGAAUUGAAAUUGACAGAAAGUAAUAAAUAACAAAAAAAUUGUUGACGUAGAAAACCCAAUUGGGUAAAAACUCCGGGCACAAGCCAGUAGGGAUUCACUAUAGAAGACUCCAACUUACAGUAUGCCAGACAUGACUGUAUCUAACAACACUCUGACCUCCUUACUGUACAACCAAAGCUCUCCUGGAUUCUGCAGAUCUGCGCCAAAAUCCCAGCCUUGUAUUUCUUCUAUUUCUCGUGAAUCAACAUGAACUCCAGUUCUUCAAUGAACCUCCUUCCCGGAUCUUUAGUCAACUGAUCUUCUGGAAGUAGUGAGGAUUUUUGAUAGGUGUUUUGUUUGAAAAGUUGUUUGAUUUUUUUUUUCAAUGAAUCAUAUGGUGAAGAGUUUUGCAAUUGAUCCUUUGGUAGAGAGGAAAAUAUUGUGCUAUGUGUUUUGCCAAAUGUUGUUAAUGAAAAGCGAAAUUUUUGUUUAUAUAGUAGGUCGUUUUUGGUAGUAUGGAGCGUUUAAAAUUAGCGAGGAAGGAAAAUUACCAAAUGCCGGAUGACACUGUGGCUCGAGCGAAGUGCCGGCGAAACUCUAGCGACGCACUCUCGAUCGAGAGAAGUGGUGGCGAAACUCCAGCGACGCAGGUUCUGUUAUUUAGGCUCAAGCAAGGUCAGGGCGAAACUCUAGCACCAAUCUUGCGCUGUUUUCAUCUUCAAAGCAUCCAAUUUUACCCUAGACCUAUACAUUAAUUAUUGCAAAAUUGCAACACAAGUCCCUGAACUUUUAGCCAUUGACAAAUUGGUCCUUGACUUUACAAACUCGACAAAUUAGUCCUUUUGGUCACAGAUUGUCAAUUACAACAUUUUCCUAACAAACUCCCCCUUUGGCAUUCUGUGACAAAAUUACACAAGACAGUCAAGGACACAAAAAAAUGUAACUCAUAACGACCUAUUCAUUCAACCAAAGCAACUAUCUCCUGUCGAACCUGUUUCCUGAAAUAUAGAAACUCAAUACCAAGUGUAAAAGCACGUGAAAUGGAAACAGUAGAUAAAACAAGGAAUAGUGCAUAUGUAAUUAACUAGAUUAAGAAGCAAUAGUAAUGUAAGUCAAAAAACACCAAAAACAUACAUCAAUAUUGCUAAAACAUCAAAACUUAAUCUAGUCAUUAAAUAGAUAUCAAACCACAGUUAUAUCACAGUUAAUCCAAUAUAUCACAGUUAAAUUGAGAUUAAACUAUCUACUUCCCCUUUUUGUCACAAAUGACAAAGGAUCAAAAACUAAAACUAAAACUAAGAAGCAGUACCACCCGUACUCGGUGACUCAUCACCAGUCUCGUCACUCGAGCUCUCAUCCAAUCGAUCACAAAUCCAACGCAACUGAUGCUGACACACUGAUAGAGCACGCCGAAAUGAAGAAAGCUCAGCAGACUGAUGCUCUGAAGCAGCACGUAACUGCGUGAUCUCUGCCAUCAUACGAGCACGCUGCGCGACUAAAGUAGACAUCUGACCCAUAAGCGUCACCAUGGGGUCAGCAGGCAAGGAAGCCACCCCUGGAGCAGAAAUAGAUGUCGAAGGAAAGGCAGCUCGAAGCAGAACAGCUGAAGGAAAAUCCGAACGAGCCGGAAGAAAGACACGGGAACCCCCAGUAAGAAUAUCAGUAAUAGGAUCAAAGGGCUCCGAAAAAUCAAAAACAUCAACGGGCUCAGCCUGAGCGGCAGCAUGAGCCGAAGAGGACGGGACAUGGGAUCAACUCUAGUGAAUGGUCUACUGUCCUAUCGGGCGACCUAUACGAGUAGAAGACCCCUCAGGGAAAGAUGCACCAAGAGAAAGGACAACCCGAUGAAUCAAACAAGCAUAAGGUAACCCUAAACGACCCCCAGGAGUACGAAAAGAAGCUAGAUUCUGCUGGCACACAAAAGUAGGAAGGUCGAUAGAGUCCCCAUGAAGUAGGGCAUAUAGAAAACGAGCCCGUACCAUCGGUAAAGAAGAAGUAUGGGCAACAGGCCACAGGUUUGUGCACAUGAUGCACAACAAAACCUGUCGAUCAGUGGGUAAUGAACCCAUGGCCAUAGCCGUAGGCCCCCCAGUAGACGAGGUGUUCAAAAGAGUCGACCGAACAAGGGCAUCGGCCGAAAGAGAAGCAGGGAAAAGAUAGGGAUACGUCGGAUGAGGAACUGAGGUAUACCUAACGUAAGAGCUUCUGCAGACGGAGUAACUCGAAAAGAAUGACCUCUAAGAAAACUCCUAAACGACGACCUGUCCACCUCAUGAAUAUUAGCAUAAAACUCUUGAACAAAGAGUGGAGGCGGUGGUGUAAGACCAACAAGAAGGGGUUGCCAACCCCGGGAAACAAAAAUAGUGGCAACGUCAACAGGAAGGUCAGAUAAAAUUACCUCACGCUCCAUGAGAACGGGGUGUAAGGAGAAUUGAGACGUGAAGACCUCCUGAGCUGUAGCAGAAAUAAAUCGGGAUCUACUAUAAGAUGUCGAUCCACUAGCGGGCUGUGCAGAGGUACAAGAGCUCUUACGAGCCAUCUGGCACAUGCAGAGAUGAAAAGAAUAAGUAUAAUGUGAAAUGCACGCAUCACGAUGCAACAUGAUAUGAGAAGAUGCACACACGGAAACACAUAUGAUCCAAUCACAUAAAAAUGAAUGAAAACACACAUGGCAUGCAACGACACUCAAACAAGUAGGAAAGAAAUGAAGGAAAAGAAGGAAAUCAAAAAAAGUCAAAAGAAACCAAAUAAGCAUAAAAGUGAACUUUCAUCGAACACGUGGCGUGCGUGACUUCAGCACCAAAUUCCAAGCACAUACGAGACCCAAUCACAAAUCCAAACACAUCCCUACUACAUGCUAUGGACUUCACAAUCAAACAAACCACACAUCAAACGAAUCAACGAGGUGCAAGAAAUACAUUGAUGAACAUGGACCAAAAACUUAGAAAAAAUGUGAAGAAAACCAUAGGAAUGCACUAUAAUUUGGGAAAUGGAAAUCAAUACUUGAUACAAAACACGUGUACAAGCAAGAUGUAAUGCCAAAAUAACACAAACCAUCACAAUGAUCAAGAAAAGAAAUCAAACAAGCCAAAAAAAAUUGAAAGCAAAGAAAGUUAAGAAUUACUUAAAGAUUUUGCUAAGAAGUCAGUGUUUCAGACCCAAGAUUGUGUUAAAGAUGUCGAAUUGAGGCCAAAAAUGAAUUGGGAGUGAAUAAUUUCGAUGGAAGAAGAAAAGAAUUGAAGGAAAAAAAAUGAUGAAAUGCGCGAAAAAUUGAAACAGCCGCAUUUUAAAUAUAUAUGUCGCUCGAGCGAGACCGGGGCGAAACUCGAGCGACAUCCUUUCUGCUUUUGUCGCUCGAGCGAAGUCCAGGCGAGACUCGAGCGAAAAUGAAAUGUCAAAAAUAGCACCAAACAUUUGAAAUUUAUGAAAAGUAGCACAAUUUUGGAAAAUAACGAAAAUAGGUCCAAAAAUUUUUAUUUUUAUUUUCAGUUGUAUGUAUUAUUAUUUUUUUGUUUUUGUAAAGACAAACUAAAAAAUCGAUGAUGAAACACGUACCCAAAUAUGUAGACGAUACAAAUAAUAUGCACAAAAUCACAAACCCGACAUUCAGAGCGUGUAGACAAAUCUUAAGUCCACACAUAGUUUAAAAUCCCAUAAGUAAAUUUUAUACAGAACAUCAGCAUGAAAUGUGUCACGUAGUCCAUGCAAGUUAGACUCAAAACCUNNNNNNNNNNNNNNNNNNNNNNNNNNNNNNNNNNNNNNNNNNNNNNNNNNNNNNNNNNNNNNNNNNNNNNNNNNNNNNNNNNNNNNNNNNNNNNNNNNNNNNNNNNNNNNNNNNNNNNNNNNNNNNNNNNNNNNNNNNNNNNNNNNNNNNNNNNNNNNNNNNNCUCGUCACAGAUCAAGUCAAAUGGACAAACAACCCCAAUCACAGAAGAAUACCAUCCCAAGUCUCACCCAUGCGGUCAAGACCUACCUACAGGACUACAGUGUGUACUGUGCGAAAAUGCAUGACGAGCCGUAUACUAAGAACUCCACAGAAAGUGAGAACUACGAUGGAACCUCAGAUUCGUACAUAUGAUGAAAAAUAGAGUUUGAUCCUGAAUGCAAACAUCAUAACAUCAUACACGAUGCACAUAAAAUUUUUUAUUUAUUUUUAUUUUUUAUUUUAAAUUUCAAAUGCAAACUUAAUACUCAAAAUAAAAACUAAAAAAAUAACUAACAAACAAAAUGCACCACACACACAUUUAUCACAUACAAGAUAUGAAAUGAAUAAGUGUAGAUAUGAUAAAUGCAUGAAUAUGCAUGAAUUCAUGACCAGAUAGGCAAACAAAUACCAACAGCCAUCCGAAGCGACUCAAACCUCAUCCCAUCUAGUGGUUUCGUAAGUAGAUUGGCUAAUUGGUUGUCAGUAAAAACAUGAUCUAAGGAGACAACAUGUGUUUCAACAAGUUCACGAAUAAAAUGAUGUCGUAUGUCAAUAUGUUUUGUUCGAGAAUGUUGAAUGGGAUUCUUAGAAAUAUUUAUAGCACUGGUAUUAUCACAGAAAAUAGUCAUGGUCUCUUAAUUAAUCCCAUAAUCACUCAGCAUCUGCUUCAUCCAGAGAAGCUGAGUGCAGCAACUUCCAGCUGCUAUGUAUUCGACCUCUGCCGUGGAUAGGGAUAUGGAAUUUUGUUUCUUACUUAACCAGGCUACUAGAUUGCUACCCAGGUAGAAACAGCCCCCAGAAGUACUUUUUCUAUCAUCUGCAUUCCCCGCCCAAUCGGCGUCGGAGUAGCCAGCCAAAUCAAGAUUAGAAUUUCUAGAAUAGAAAAUCCCUAGAUCAACAGUACCACUCACAUAUCUAAUGAUGCGUCUAACAAAGCUUAGUAUGAUUCUUUGGGAUCUGCCUGAAAUCGAGCACACACUCCAACACUAAAAGCAAUGUCAGGUCUAGUAACUGUGAGAUAGAGAAGACUACCUAUCAUGCUUCGAUAUAGGGAAAGAUCUACAAUCUUACCUGAAGGAUCACGACCUAACUUCAAGCUAGUACUCAUAAGUGUCCUAGUAUGCUUCUUACUAUCUAACCCAAACCGCUUAACUAGAUCUUUUGCAUACUUAGACUGUGAAAUAAACAAGCCAUCCUCAGUCUAUUUCACUUGAAGUCCAAGGAAAUAACUCAACUCACCAACCAUACUCAGCUCAAAUUCUUGCUUCAAACACUCGGCAAACUCAUAUGCUAGAGACUCAAUAGGAGAACCAAAAAUGAUAUCAUCGACAUAAAUUUCAGCGAUAGUGGUAGUUUCUUCAAUGUGUCUAAUAAAUAAGGUCCUAUCAGCACCACCUGGAGAGAAACCAUGUUCCUCAAGAUAUGACGUAAGUCUCUCAUACCAAGCUCUAGGAGCUUGUUUCAGACCAUAGAGUACUUUGUGGAGUUUGUAGACAUAGUGGGGAAACUUUGGAUCAACAAAUCCUUUUGGUUGUUCCACAUAGACUUCUUCUUGAAGAAGUCCAUUCUAGAAAGCACUCUUAACGUCCAUUUGAUGUAGCUUGAACCCUAAGAUACAGGCAAUAGCAAGCAGAAUCCGAAUAGACUUAAGUCGUGCAACAGGGGCAAAAGUCUCAUCAAAAUCAAUUCCCUCAACUUGAAUAUAACCCUGAGCAACUAAUCUGGCCUUAUUCCUAGUUAUAGUACCUUGGUCAUCUGUCUUGUUCUUAAAGAUCCACUUAGUACCAAUAACGUUACAAUUCUCAGGUCUGGGUACUAAGAUCCAUACAUUGUUUCUAGCAAAUUGAUUGAGUUCCUCAUGCAUUGCAUUCACCCAACACUUAUCACUAAGGGCCUCUUCGACUUUCUUAGGCUCUACCUGUGAAACAUAGCUAGUAUAUGCUAGAUUGUUCAGUACUCUCUUACGAAGCCUCAUACCUUCAUCCAGAUCCCCAAUGAUAUUAUCCUUAGGAUGAUUAGACUUGACCCUAGUUGAUGAUUCCUUAGGGAUUGUGUCUUGAUCUUGUGGAUGUGUUUCCUUUUCAGGAGUUUCAGGAAUUUUAAGAGAUGAUUCAGGCACAAGCGGUUCAGUAGGAUCACUAGACCUUAUAAGAUUACCAUUUCUAUCAUAAUUUUCAACAUUCUCCCCCUCACUCACACCAUCAUCUAUCACAACAUUGAUUGACUCCAUCACAGUACGAGUAUGUGAGUUAUAUACUCGGAAUGCUCGACUAUUUCUAGAAUACCCUAAGAAGAUUCCUUCGUCAUUCUUAGAUUCAAACUUACUCAAGUUCUCUCUAUCACGCAAAAUGUAGCACUUACUCCCAAACACACGAAAGUAUUUGACAGUAGGCUUUUUACCCUUUAGAAUCUCAUAUGGAGUCUGAUCGGUUUUGGGUCUAAGGUAGACUCUAUUGAUUAUGUGGCAUGCAGUAUUAACAGCUUCUCCCCAAAAAUGUAAGGCUAGCCCCUUGUCAUAAAGCAUGGCUCUAGCCAUGUCCUGAAGAACACGAUUCUUCCUUUCAACCACCCCAUUUUGUUAAGGAGUGAUAGGGGAAGAGAAGUCAUAUAGUAUCCCUUCAUCCAUGCAGAAGCUCUCAAGAUUGAAAUUUUCAAACUCUUUUCCAUGAUCACUUCGCAUCCUGGAUACUUUGUGAUUGAGUUCAUUACUAAGCCGUUUACACAAAGAUUUUAUAAGUCAUGCAUCAGAUUUUUUCCUAGGCAAUUCUACCCAUGUGAACCUCGAGAAAUCAUCUACCACAACCAGAAUAUAUCGCUUAUCUCCUAGACUCUCAGUCCUAGAUGGUCCCAUUAAAUCCAUGUGUAUCAAUUCCAAGGGUCUUUUGGUUAAAAUUUUAGAAGUCUUUUUAUGGAUUCCUUUAAUUUGUUUACCCAGUUGACAUGGUCCACACACAACAUUUUCACUAGGACCUAUUUUAGGCAAACCAUCUACCAACUCCUUUUUAGCCAGUUGUACUAGACUCUUAUAGUUUAAAUGACCCAAUCUUUUAUGUCAGAGUUCACUCACAUUAAUUUUUGCACUCCUACACACAUAGUUAGAAUUAGGUAGGACUCCAUAACAGUUAUUAGACGUUCUAACCCCUUCAAAGACCACCCCACGGAAUGAAUCAUACACGGUACAUCUCUUUUCCACAAAGCUAACCUCAAAAUCAGCAUCACAAAUCUGACUAAUACUUAACAAGUUUGACUUUAAACCUUCCACAUAAAGCACAUUUGAGAUCACAGGUAAUCUAUGUAUUUGUACAGUACCUUUGCCAAGAAUAGGUGCAGAGCCCCCAUCUCCAAAGGUAACCAUAUCCCCAUUGCAUUCAUCAAGGGUAGUGAAUAAAGCCUUGUUACCACACAUAUGCCUAGAACAAGCACUAUCAAGGUACCACAUAUUGAAAUCUUGGGCUUUUAAUGCAACAUGAGCAACUUAGCAAUUUAGCUGACCUGAAAGUCCAGCUAGAUCCUCCUUUUUAACCCAAACUUUCUUAGAUGACGUGGUACUCCUAGUCAGCCUAGUAAGCAUCUCAGUCAAAUGACUAACCUGAUUAGUCAAAAAACUAACCUGACUUGGAAUAUUCUGAUUUCUACGCUCAUUACCUAACUUAUAACAUCUAGGCCUACUGUGUCCUAGAGCUCCACAGUGGUGACAGGCGGGAAUGAACCUAGGCUCAAAGGUACGUAUCUGUAGGUGUUUGGGCAUAAAAUUUCUACGUGAUUGAUGACUUUGUUCCCUCAAAACAUUCUUACCCUUAUUUGGACUGUUGACAACGUUAGACUUUCUAGAGGUAGAAAUGAAUACAGUUUUAGAUGGACCAGCACCAUGUAUAUUACCCUCAACAUAUCCUAGACCUUUCCUAUCUCCUGUAGGCUUAUUCAUUCCCAAAAUAUCAUCCAAUUUCUUAGUUCCACUUAUAAAAGUCUGAAGAUGAGCAUUAGAUUUCUCCAAUUCACUAGUUAAUGUCUUAACCUUGUCUUCCAACUUCUCAUUGACACAUUUUAACUCACUGACACUCUUAAGUGAAUUCUGGAGAUUACUAGCAUGUCUCUCUUUUUCUCUUUCAAGUUCAUCAACCUUUUUGAGUAGGGCUUUAUUGAUCUUUUUAAUUUUAAGACUCUCCUUGAACAAGAGUUGAUAGGCCUCAUGUAUGUCUAUGUCAUCCUCAUCCUCAUUAUUAGAAUUAUUGUUGUGAAGUUCUUCCUCAACCUUGUCACUCUCCUUAUCAGAUUCACUCUUAAUAGUCGACACAAAUGCCAUAUAGUUCCCUUCAUCUUCACUACUAGAUGACUCCUGCCUAUCACUGGUCUCAGACUCGUUACUAGUAAGUGAAACAACUAAGGCCUUACCCUGCCCUUUUCUUUGAUUCUUCUUAUAACUAGGGCACUCAUUCCUAUAGUGACCUAUACCUUGACAUUCAUGGCACCUAACCAAACGUGGUUUAUCACUAGAACUUUUAUUGUUAAACCUUUCACUUUUUUCUUUUGAGAAUCUGCUAGGGACUCCACUUUUUCUAUCUUGAGGCUUUCUCCUAUUCUUGAGAGCCUUUUGAAAUUUCUUCACAAAGCAAGCAAUUUCAUCGUCCCUCAGAGACUCAGUAUCGGAAGAUUCAUCCUCUUUGAUGGAUUUUAAAGCAAUGAACUUUCCUUUCUUAGGUUGUGUGAUAGUGAGUUUAUAAGUUUGCAAGGAUCCUACAAGUUCUUUAAUUUUAACUUCAUCUACAUCCUUACUUUCCUCAAUGGCAGUAACUUUAGGCCUAAAUCUCUCGGGCAAGGACCUAAGUACUUUUCUAACAAUUUUAGACUCGGGAAUUUUCUCGCCUAAAUUGAAACUAGAAUUAACAAUAUCAUUCAAUUUUGCAUAAAAUUCAUCAAAGGUUUCGUCAUCUUUCAUCCUCACUUCUUCAAACCUAGAAGCUAGUAUUUGUAAUUUCGAGUUCUUUGCCGUUUUAGUUUCCUCAUGUGUAGUUUCAAGAAUAUCCCACACCUCUUUAGCAGUUUCGCACAUUGACACUCUCCUAAACUCUUCGGGAGACACGGCCAUAAACAAGGCAUGAAGUCCCUUGCUAUUCCAAUUACACUCAGCUAUCUCAUCCUUAGUCCAUAGUGAUAUAUCAGUAAGGUUAACAGUUCCUGAUACGAUAGUGGAGGGAGGUUUCCAGCCAUUUUGCACACUCAACCAAACAUGCUCAUCUAAGGACUUAAGAAACACACGCAUUCUAACCUUCCAGUAAGCAUAAUUACUUCCGUCAAAGUACGGAGGUACAAAAAGUGAUUGACUCAUCUAGACAACUAUGGGUCAAGACUCGAGAUUUGGCUCUAAUACCACUUGAAAAGGCUAUAGUUCGACCCAACCAACACCUAGAGGGGGGUGAAUAGGUGUCUAUGCGGAAUUUAACAAUUUAAUUAAGUUAUGCAACAAGUCACAUAAAUUAAACGUUGUCCAGAUUCAUUCACAUGAUUUAACUACCUAUGUUGAAUUGUCGGUUGAAUUGAAAUUGACAGAAAGCAAUAAAUAACACAAAAAUUGUUGACGGAGAAAACCCAACUGGGAAAAAACUCCCGGCACAAGCCAGUAGGGAUUCACUAUAGAAGACUCUAACUUACAGUACGUUAGACAUGACUGUAUCUAACAACAUCUGACCUCCUUACUGUAUCAACCAAAGCUCUCCUGGAUUUUGCAGAUUUGCGCUAAAAUCCCAGCCCUGUAUUUCUUCUAUUUCACGUGAAUCAACAAGAACUCUAGUUCUUCAUUCAACCUCUUUCCCGGAUCUUCAAUCAACUGAUCUUCUGGAAGUAGUGAGGAUUUUUUAUAGGUGUUUUGUUUGAAAAGGUGUUUAAUGUUUUUUUUCAAUGAAUCAUAUGGUGAAGAGUUUUGCAAUUGAUCCUUUGGUAGAGAGGAAAAUAUUGUGCUAUGUGUUUUGCCAAAGGUUGUUAAUGAAAAGCGGAAUUUUUGUUUAUAUAAUAGGUCGUUUUUGGUAGUAUGGAGCGUUUAAAAUUCGCGAGGAAGGAAAAUUACCAAACGCCGAAUGACACUGACACUCGAACGAAGUGCCGGCGAAACUCUAGCGACGCACUCUCGAUCGAGCGAAGUGGUGACGAAACUCCAGCGACACAGGUUUUGUUAUUUAGGCUCGAGCGAGGUCAAGGCGAAACUCUAGCACCAAUCUUGUGCCGUUUUCAUCUUCAAAGCAUCCAACUUUACCCUAGACCUACACAUUAAUUAUUGCAAAAUUGCAACACAAGUCCCUGAACUUUUAGACAUUGACAAAUUGGUCCUUGACUUUACAAACUUGACAAAAUUAGUCCUUUUGAUCACAGAUUGCCAAUUACAAUAUUUUCCUAACAGGUAGCCUCCCUGAUAAAGCCGUUUUGAAUGAGCUUCUGGACCUCUUCCUUCAGAGCCUUGUACGUUUCAGGAUUGAUGGCUCUCCUUUUUUGUCUGUGUGGGGCAACCUUCGGAUCAACCUUCAGGUGGUGGCAAGUGACCUUAGGGUCUAUGCCUACCAUGUCCUCAUGCUUCCAAGCAAAGACAUCAAUGUUCUUACUUAGGAAAUCUUUAAUCUUUUCCUUCAGAAUGUUGGAUAAGCCCUUGCCUACUCUUAGCAUCUUGGAUGGGUCUCGGGGGUCUACCAAGAAGUUCUCAAGUUCCUCAACUAGGGAUGCUUGAGGUUCGUGUUCAAUUAUACGGGGAUCGAUCUCAUCAAUGACCAAGACCUUCGGAUUGGGUGGUGCAUUUAUCAUAUCGAUAUCUUCUGGUUCAGUGGGAGCGUUACCUCGGACGUCAGCCAUAACUAUAUUAGUUAUAAUUACAUGGACGUCCCGGGGCUCUACCUUUUUUAUGGAACUUAGAUAACACUCUCUCGACCCUCUUUGGUCACCUCUCACUGUUGCUACCCCAUUUUUCGUCGAAAAUUUCAUGCAUAGGUGGUGGAUGGAGGUGACUGCUCCCAAUUCCUUUAGGGCUGGCCUGCCUAAUACUCCAUGGUAAGCCGAUCGACUGUCGACAAUGAGGAACUCCAUGAAGUUCAUCGUAGUUUGGUGAGACUAUCCCAUCUCCACUGCAAGUGUUAUCUUUCCCCUUGGAGUGAUGCUAUCUCCGAUAAAUCCGUACAAAGGAGUUGUAGUGGGUGUCAACUGAUGAUCCAAUAUCAUCUUGUCAAAUGCGGAUCCAAAUAGAAUGUUGACAGAGCUACCGUUGUCAACUAACAUUCGCUUGAGCCCAUUUCGAGUUAUGACGGCUCUCACAACAAGUGCAUCGCAAUGGGGGUAGUGAACUCCUUCGACGUCUUCCUGGGUGAAGACAAUGGGUGGAACUUAGUUCCUCCGGGAGCUGCUAUCCACAAUGUAGCUUGCCAAAGGGGAGUGUUUAGCUUCCCGGGUGUAAUUCCUUUUGGCGUUUCGUGUUUCACCGCCGACAUAUGGGCCUCCAAAUAUGGUUUCUAUCUCGUGGAUAGGGGCCUCAUCCUGGGCUUGUCAGUUUCUUCGGUACCUGUGUCCUUCCAUAGGCCUCUCCGUUUCACGCUCCCUCCAUUGUGGGGAAACAUCCAUUUGAUGGGGAGCAGCCUCCUCACGCCCACGUCGGUUGUCGUACCUGGGCGGGGGCCUAUUCGCCUGGGGCGAUUCAUUUCUAUCCCUAGGGGGUUCUAGUCGGGAGUGGUGUGCAUAGUCUCGGUAAUCUAUUGUGUCGUGUCCAUAGGACCGGUGGUGUACACAGUAUCCCAGUGGGUUCUGAUUUGACCUAUUUCUAGGUCCCGAACCCUGGCCUCGGAGUCUCCUCCUAUAAGAUCCUUGUGGGGUCUCCAUCUGCUGGGUGUCAGUAACCAAGUUGAUAUCUUCAUACGCCAAGGUAGGAAUCGCGUUCAAAGUGGUGGUGGCAAGUGCUUGGCCAGAACUCUCAUUUCCAGCCUGAUUCAUUUGGUAGUCCAUCAGGUGGGAGGUCGGCCCUCUAGCGCGCUGCCUUUGAGGAGGUGGGAGGUCUCUACUUGCCCUGUUCCUAUGCUCAAUCAAUUCUUUAUUGAUGAUUUCCCACCUCAUCAUCUCUAGUAGGGCAUCAUAGGUGGUGGGAUCUUGAUUUUGCACGUCCCUCCAGAAUAAGGUAUUCAUGUUCAAACCUCCUCUUAAUGCGGAUAGUGCCUCAUGGUCGGUGACUUGCACACAGUACGUCAUCUCAUCGGUAAAGCGUGAUAGGAAGCUCUCUAGGGACUCCCCAUAUGCUUGUCUCAUAUCUUGGAGAUGUUGGAUGGGGGCCUCUCCCUCUUUGCUUACCGCGAAUCUCUUCAAGAACGUUGUCUUAAACUCGGGCCAGCUUCUUAUGCUCCCAGGUGGUAACCUGCUAUACCAAAUCUCAGCCGCUCCACUCAGUGUCAAAUGGAAAGCUCUGUACUUCACAGCUGGGGUGGCGCUCCUUAGGCUCAUGUGAGUUUUAUAAGCAUUCAAGUACUUCUCUGGGUUGCCUCUCCCAUCAUACUUAGGUAUCUUUAGCAUUACAUAGUAGUUUUGAACCUGGGCACUCCUUAGUUCCCUUGAGAAUGGCAAAUUCUCAUCGUCGUCGUCCAAGUCAUAGGACCUCUGCUGUUCAUCUAAAUCAUAUUCUUCGGCCUCUUGCCGUGGUUGUUGGUCAGAGGUUCCGGGACGGUUCCUAGCCUCUUCCUCCCUCCUCAGACGCCUAUUUCUUGGUGGUGCAAUACGGGGGGCAGUUUCAUGCCUUUUUUUCGGUUGCUGGGGCUUGGAGGUGGAAUAGGUGGCCUUGUCCAAGGCUGGUGAGUCUGCUGUUGCCUAAACCUUGGUUUAGCGGGGCUGAUUCUGUCAAAUACACUGCCUGCCCUCCUAUGUCUUGACUCCUGCUCAUAUGGAUGUGGAAAGUUAUCAUGGUUCAAUGGGACCUCGACGGGUUGGCCAAAAGCGUAGUUGGAGGAAACAUCAACUUCAACUUCCCUUUCAAAUGGGCUUCUACCUCGGCUAUAGUCCGGCGAGGCAGUUCUAUGACUUUGAAUUUCAUCUUCUUGCUGGUAGUGCCCUUGAGGGGCGUAUGGAGGAAUGGGGAAGUCUCCUUGGCCCUGUAUUUGGGCCAUGAUCUCCCUCAUAGCCAAAUUUUGGCUAGCAAUAUCUCUCAUAUUGGCCGCCAUGGCAGCCAUUUCUCUUGACAGCCAUGCCGUCGCUCGCAUUCCACCUCUUCUUUGGUGGUGGUGGGGUCUUUGCCGAGCUGCUGGGGCAGCGGGUGGAAGAGGCACAUUUGCAUUUUCUCUUACCCUUCUAGGGGGUGUGUUUUCGUUUGAACUCAUUUUCGUUUUGUCCGACUCUUCAGAUUUUGCUAAGUUGUGGGGCUUCCUCUUGUUCUUUUUCAAAAACAAAUCCUUUUUCAAGAGGGAUGCCCAAAUGCUCUUCAAUAAACUUUCACCACAAGGUUGUUCAUGGUUAUGGUAUGGUUUUCCACAGACAGUGCCAAUCUGUUGACCCCAAAAAGUGUUGCCAACAGAUGCUGGACCUACCCGCGCACACGUGAGCAAAGGUCCUACACGCUAAGACACGUGGACGAUCUAGAACGAAAGAAUCAGAGGCGUGGGAGUAGCUCAACGACGCAAGACGAGAACGUUCGAAAUUCGACGGUAUGUUCGUAAUCUGAUUGUACGAUAAUUACCAAUCGGUGCUCAUGCAUGUGAAUGUAAAUAUGUAUGAACUCAUAUUGUGUUGUAAGAUAAUAUGAAAGAGAGAGUAAAGUGUGGUUUCUUGUAUUGAUUCUUGCAUUAGUCCUUCAAUGUUAUACAAUGGAAAUAUUUAUAGUGUUACAUGUGAAAUGGCAGCCCUUAGAUGAGGUGGCACGUGGCUUCAUCUCUUUAAUUCAAACAUCCAAUCCUAGGUAUCAUCCUUGACUUGCUAGCUUACUGCGCAUUUAUUGUUUAUGCAGAACCCCCAUGCGAAUGACAAGACUUGACAUGUAUACUUAUGACAAACGUUCCAUCAAUCAUUCUAACAAGAUCUUUAUGUAGAAGAUCUAUUGGGAGAAGUGAUCAUGAAAGAUGUUCCUUCAUGGUUCGGGGGCUUUUGCUUCAGCUUCGGAUUUGAGGCUUCUGCCACUCACGUAGUACUUCAACUUUAGGGUUUCGGCUAUCUUCACAGGCCUCGAUAUAUGAGCCUCGGCUUGAAGGGCCUCGGAUAUACAAACCACCUCGGCUGGAUCGCCACGUGAUUCAGAUUGAGUGGGCCAUAGGCCCACGUAGGUUGGCCAAGUAUGAUAACACGUAACAACAUGCAAGCAAUACAAUCCUUUUAAAUAUACUACAUAGAAACAAUCUCCACUCCCAUCAACCAAAUAAACACAUAACAAAAGGGAAUAUGACCAAAAAAAAAAAAAAAAAAAUAGAAAAGCAAGAAGGUAGCUAUCAAGGAAAAACAAAUAUCAUUAUGCAAAUUGAAAGAUCACAAUGCUUGAGAACCAAUUAAAUUUUAGUAAAAGAUGAAUCUCAAUAACAAAUUUAUUGUCUUUCCUCAAAGAUCAUUGAGUACUGUUACACUAAACUCUCAAUACAAACGAUUCAAUCGAUUUUCAAAAUUUGUGCAAUAAAAUUUCUUGAAAAUAUCUGUCAGUUUCUUUACUAACAAAUACCAUUUUCCGAUCCUGGAUUUCGGGCCCACAAUUUAUUCCUGUUUGGUUGGAAAGUUUACUUAUAUGUACUUUUAUCCACAAAUUUCCCAGUUUUUACAUAAUUAAAAAAAGUAAUUGAGUAAAAAUCAGUAAGAAUCGGUUAAAAAGUUAUACAUAUUUAAACAUAAAAUCAAUAAUCAACAAAAAAAGAAGAAAAGAAUUUGGGCUAAAAAUUACAUGAAAAAACCCAAUCUAGAUAACCAAUAUCAUAAAUUCAACUUGAUAAAGCUUACAGCCUACCUUGAAACAAUGGAGGACGAGAUUUUCAGAAAUUAUAACAAGUGGAUUUGGGCUGGAGCUGGCACGGGCUAUAGCCCAAGCUAGCCGAGCAUAGAUCUACCCUGAUUGAGACUUUUGUUUUGAUUUAUUUCAGAGCUUUCUUACAUCUCAUAAGUGAAUAAAGCUUGAAAGUUUUGCAACUUGUCGGUUAAAGACCUAGUGCUAAUAUGUUUGGCUAAUCUUUAUAAAUUAUUUACAAUUAAUAAAUUUAUUUUCUAUUCACAUAUUUCAUGAGAUUCCUAUAUAUUACUAAUUUUCACCAUUAAUUUAUAAACAAUUACCUAUUUUGAUAUCAAAUUAGCGAUACAAGGUUCCACUCAGCAAGGCUCAAGUUGUGAGGUUUCAGUUGAGAUCAACUUAAGUUGACAUAGGGAUGUCAACGAGCCGAACUGGCUCGUGAGAUGAAACUCGAGCUCGGCUCGAGUAAAAGUUCGGCCAAAAAAUCGAGGUUCAAUAUGAACUUUCGGCUUAGACCUCACCAAGCCAAGCCAACUCGAAUUUUUUUUAUAAUAUAACACAUUGCUGCCUAUUUAAAAAUAGCUACAUAGCUACUCUUUUUUUCAAUGAGUCGGCCAGACGGGUUGGUUCAGGCUCCACCUGAUGUCCCAAAAUGGGCUAGAUGUGAGCCUUGAGUGGGGCCAACCGGGUUUUUUUUCGAGUCGAGCUACAGACGAUCCGAGCCGGCGAGCCAAAUUGCCAUCCCUAAGUUGACAAUGUCAAACUUUUGCUUAGUCAACUUAAAUUGGACUAUCAUUGCAUAGUAUACUGAUUUCUUAUACAGUGUUUUUGGUAAGUGGUAUUUUUUUAUGCAAUUUUUCUACAUAUACAAUUUGGUUGAUAACUUUGUUGAAAGUAUGUGAAGUGACCAAUAUUUUUGUCAUUAGACACUUAAAAAUUAAUGACACAGAUUUUUACACAUUAUUGAUUGUCAACAAAGUUGUAUAUAGCAUAAUUCUUUUUUAUACAAGGGCUAACAUGAGAGAAUGAGUGCCUCGAAUUAUACACAGUGUUUUUAGUAAGUGGUAUUUUUUAUGCAAUUUUUCUACACGUACAAUUUGAUUGAUAACUUUGUUGAAAGUAUGUGAAGUGACCUAUAUUUUUGCCAUUAAUUUUAACAACACUUUAAAAAUCAAUGACACGAAUUUUUACACCUUAUUGAUUGUCAACAAAGUUGUACAUAGCAUAAUUCAUUUUUAUAAAAGGGCUAACACGAGAGUAUGAGUGCCUCGAAUCAUAUGUAGUCCGUGGCACCCGCCUCCUAUUUAAUCAGGAUGACAGAAAAUCUUAAAAAGAGAUUUUAUUUUUUAUUUUUUAUUUUUUAUUUUUUUUUAUAACUUAGCCCCUGCUUGUCUUUUUAAAAUAUUUUGUUUAUUCUUAUACUUAUUUUUAACUAUAAAUUCAUACAAUAAAAUAUUUUUUUCAUAAACCAAAAUUUCUUCUUACUUUUUAACCACACAUUCUUCAAAAAAUUACUAUUCAAAAUAAUAAUAAUAAUAAUAAUAAUAAUAAUAAUAAUAAUAAUAAUAAUAAUAAUAAUAAUAUUAUUAUUAUUAUUAUUAUUAUUAUUAUUAUUAUUAUUAUAAAUAAUGACCAUCGACAAUGUAUAAGGAAAAAAAUUAAAAAUUUAUUAUAUUACUUUGUAGAAUAUAAAACUACUACAUGUUAAUAUAAUACUUCAAUCUGUUUCGAAAGAAUCUUACAGUAUUUUUGCAAGGGGAUAAAAGUAAUUUUCAGGAGAGUUAAAUAAAUAGUAUUUUACCAUAUUUCAAUAUAUUAGUGAUUACAUCAAAAUUUUCCUUUUGCUUAUUUAUUGAUUAGUAUAGAUAUUUGGUGUAUAUAUCAAUUUUUUAUUUUAUUUUAUUUAUUGGUUAUAGUCUUCAACUUCUUCUGUUUAAAGAGAUUCAGCAUCUUAAUUGAAGCUAGCUUCUCAAUAUUCACUACAAGAAAUAUGAUUUUUCCCGACCAAAAGUUUGGUCACUAAAUGUCGCAUAUUAGUCGGCAUUUCCAAUUCUCGACUAGAAAAUGUUUGUCGGUAGCUAGGACUGCCAAAGGCCUGUCAUUGAAUGUUUUUACUGACCAAAAUAUGUUUUAGUCAGGAAAUAUAGAGUUUUUUACUUACCCACAUAAACUUGGUCGGGAAAAAUACAGGUUUUCCUGACUAUUAUUUGGGUCAGUAAAAGUUUUGAAUGAAGUUACGAAAAAUAUAGGGUGACUAUAGUUUUCCCGACUAUUAUUUCGGUCAGUAAAAGUUUGAAUGAAGUUAGGAAAAAUAUAGGGUGACUAUAGUAUUUUCAUCGGAGAAAGUAUACCUUUGCCAACCAAGAAAUUUAGUUGGUAAAAAUAUAGCUCGACUACAAUUUUUGAUCAGGAAAAACAUUGGCCAACUAUAUUAGAUUAGAUAGGAAAAAUCUCCAAUAUGCCGACCAAGAAAAAUGUGAGCUAGUGAAUUUGAACCGGUGCAAUCCACAAUUCACGAAUGCGAUUUCAUGCAAUAAAUGUGGUUUAAUUUAAAUGAAUUUUAACCAACGCAGUAAUGAAAAGCCCAAUUCAAACACAAUGCGCCAACAAAAAUUAAAACCAGGAUGUAUUUGAAAUCACAACGCAAUAGUCACAAUUCAAAAGCCUUUAAGAAAGUUGAUGCAAGGCAAAAUACAUUUACAAGUCAGUUCUAAUUCCAGAAUGAGUAACAUGUACAUAGACAUAGUCCAAAACAAUAUCAUAGACAAUAAAAAAACCUAGUGAAGUUCCAAAAAAUGAGAAGAAUAGUGCAGUCCAAAAUAAAAUCAUAGGCAACAAUAGAAUUGAGUUGCAAUCUUGUGCAGUAGUGAGAUGUAAUCCUUGACUCUCAUUCUUGUCUCCCUCAAUUAUGUUCCUCAUGAUCUGCAUGCAAGACAAUAGGAAAGGAAAGUACUAAUAUUGUAUUUAAAAGUUAACGUAGAAAUUAAAUAUAAAUUUCUUAUUCAGGAGUUAACGUACAAGUCUCUUUCGAUGCCAACAUUAAUAAACGAUGAUAUCCCUUUCUCAACUUGAGCAUAUGUAGUAGUGCAUAUAAUUGACCACCGUGCUUGAGUAAUUUGAUAAAAGCGUCGUUAACUACUGAAUUAUUAAUUACUAUGUGCAAUAGACUUGUAAAAAUUUAAUCCACUGCUUUAUAGGUAUGCAUGUAAUAUGAAAUUUACGGACUACGUCUGUUGAGCUCAAUAUAAAAGCAACUAGCAAAAAUGAACUAUUAUUACAGAUUCAACAUCAAAGUUACUUAUAUACACUUACUAUCACAUAUUCAUAUAAGGAACAACUAAUUAAUGGUUUAACUAUAGAAAUCAUUAAAGCAUCCAAAUUAGUUUAGAGAGUACCUUAAUGGCCAUGAUUUAAUCCUCAACCUUUCGUUCAGAAGCCAAAACCAACAAACUCCAUUUAUUACAAACACACAAAAAAAAAAAAAAAAAAAAAAAAAAAAAAAAAAAAAAGAAAAGAAAAGAAAAGAAAAGGUGUUCAAAGGACUUUGAACCAAACUAAGAGACAGAAUCAAACUCAUUUCCCAGAAGAUGCUUCACACUAUUUAAACAAUGUCCAAUGAUUUUAAUUAAAAGUACAAGGAGGCUAAACUACGUGAAAAGAAUUCCAUAUUAGGCCAUCUGCCUCAUUUCAAAGAAUCUUCAGUUGCCAAAUUUGAACAUUAGAUUCACACCCCAUCUACAAUGUAACUGCAUCUUUGAUGAAGUAAGCAAUAAUUUGUUUCAUUAGGUAAUCAGAAUUGUUACAGAUUAAUUUCCAAUUCAAUGUUAUUGAAGCCUUUCAGAGAAAGUGAUUGAUGUUCAUGGGGAUAUCAAAAUAUCAUCUGACGGAAGCUUUGAAAUUUAAUGCAUAUCAAUGUAUAGUACUGAAUUCCGAAAUUGAUAUUCAUGUCAUAUGCUUCGAUAUAUUCUGCACAUUAAAAACAGUUGCUGGAAGCAUACCUAUCAGCAUCAUAUUUGUGCGAUAAGUGAGAGGAUGAGUUGUCAGAGAACAUACCACCUCUUACCCUGUGUCCAAAACAUGGGAACGAAGAAGUUAAAAUUCUGUAAGCUGUACCACCAUCAAUUCAUGUUCACUUGAUAAGUUUUAGGCCAAAUGCAAGUGGUGAAAUCUUCACAAGGCGAGAGAUGCAGUGCAGAACAAGAAGUAAUUUCCCCAUCUGCAAGGGCAUUUACUGAUGAAGAGGAAGUGAGACUAAUGGCUGCUCAUAGACUAUAUGGGGGAUUGUGGGAGUAAAAUCACAGAAGUUUCAACAACAAAAAAGGUCAGAAUGGAGAUAAAUGCAAAUGACCAAAAUAUAUGAUCUUAAGAAGUAAAGUAGAAGGGAAAUGCCAAAUCAGAGAAAGGAAUGCAUUUUCUGAAACGAAACAAGUGCAAUGUUAAUGCCAUUUUCCAGCUAUCAAAAGAAAUAAUAAGUAUCUUGUUUAAAUUCUUGUUAUACAAAAUCUAUUCUAGUGAACAGGUAAUUUGAUAAAAAUUUCAAUUUACUCGACAUCUUAUUCAACUGUGAAUAGACAUUUCCUAACUAUCAGAAUAUUCCAUUCAUUUAUAUCGAAGCUAAGUUUCUCAUUCUCUGUUGAACAUUCAUUUGUAUUCUAAAUGAGUUGCCUCAGGGUGUCAAAGUGAGUUGCAGAAGCUUUUAUGAGUUUCUCUUGAAGCUAUAUUUGUGUGUGUUUGCAAUUUAAAGGUUUAAUAACAUGCCACAGCCAAUUUAAAGCUUUAAUUAAGUGCUAAGGUCCAAAAGUUCAGGUGUUAUCAUAUUCCAUGGACAAUUUAAAGGUUUAAUAAUUUUUGGUAAUUGAAGGAGUAAAUUUUAGCUGCCUUAUAGACAUCUAUUGCCCGGAGUCAUAAGUUCAUACGAAUAGCGAGAUACAGACAAAUAGAACAUAGUAGACAAUGUGUAAGUAUUAUGCCUUAGGUCCAAUCAACUUUGGACAUAAAUACUUUUGAUAUAUAAUUAAUGCAAUUUAAUGACAGAUCUAUUAUUUAAUUAAUAGACAAUUAAAUAAAUAAUAGAGUCCGUAGAUUCAAAUCUUCGUAAUUUGUUAAUCACAAGGAGUUAUGAUUGUGAGAUACAAAUUACAUCUAAUUAAAUCUUAAAUCGUCCGUGGUCGUAAGUGAUAACGAGAUACGGAUAUCAUUAUUACGGAUAGACCAUCACGUGUGGCAUUUCUUACUUGUGAAGUAAGUAGCUGAUCUCACAAGUUAAAGUGUGGUGUCACUUAAAUGACACGUGGACGUUUUGUUAUAGAACAAAACAUUGGAGACCCGCCAAAAGAUUCCACAUGGAUAACUAUCUGAGUGUCAGUGGUUAAUCUCUAACGUUCGGUAGUGGAAUUGGUCCUUAGACUUGAGGUCGUCAUGGUACAUUAUAUGAGGACAAUCAUACUUUGGCGGUGUUGGAUGUUGCUCUGCAAAGGGCCGCUAAUAUGAUAUCGUUCGGGUACGUCAAAAAUCGUAUGAAGGUUGUAAUUGACCAAUAAAGGAUUCGUCACUCUUAGAUAGUAGGAGAUUAUGAUCUAUGUUUCAUUCAAUUAAGUCGAUAACGAAAUUCUUGGCCAAGGUGUACUCAUAAAUUGAAAAGAAAUUUUCGACUUAUAUUGACUUAAUAGUGGAGUGAAAAAUAUGAUCAAAAUUCGAGAUUGACACAAUUCCAUAUCUCGUAAUUGAUCGGAUUAUAUUAACGAAGGGAUUAUAGUUUCACGGUAAACGGACGAAUUUAGUUUUGUCAUACCACGUGACAUUUUGCAUCACAUGUAUUGCCCUGACACAUUGUUAAAUGUCAAUCAGGGACGACGAGUGUGAAUUGACGAUAAAUUAAAAGAGUGUUUUAAUUUAUCAAUUUUGAUUAGAUAAAAAUAAUAUUUCACGUCGUUAGACAUUGUGAUCGGGAACCUAAUGGGUCGUACACAAAAGAGAAUUGGAAGAUUGCAAAUUGCCAAUUGGUUAAUUUAACAAUCAUUGGAUAAAUUAAUUAAUUUGAUUUGUUAUUUAUAUUCCCGAAUUAAUUAAUUGGAUUAAUUAAUUCACGGACCAGAUUUAAUUAAAUGGAUUAAUUAAAUAUUGGAGCGGACCGGGUCAAGUCCGUUUGGGUUUAUAUAAAUACAUUGUUAAGGUUUGAGAUCUAAAUGUUUUUCAUUAUUUUUGUUGGCACAAGAGAGAAAACCUUGGUAGCUGCAAUCUUGUUAUCUGUGUGGAUUACCGUUGGAGGCUGAACAAUUGGACAGCUAUGGAUGGCGAAUCAAGAUUGUUGGAACGAAAAAAAUAGCAAAGAAGUUUGCAGAUGUGGAAAAUGUUUUCUUAUCAUAAUUUCUAUCUAAAUACAGAGGCGAUUCCUGGUAGGAAUAGAAAAUUAUUUUAAAUUUUGCUGUGCAUGUAUAAGUAGAUUCCCAACACAAUGUAGAGACAAAUAGGAUACAAAUAGAACGAUAGACAAUUGGAGCCCAUAUUACACUACAAGUUCAUAAAAAUAGAACACCUUGAGCCAUAUAUCAUGUAAUCUUCCCAUACACAGAACUUAAAAUGUAGAUAUAAGAAAACCAGGCAAAAAAAUAGACCGUCCAAACCCCCACAUUAGCCGAGCCCACUGCCACCAUUGCCACUGCAGCCAAGCCUUAAAUCCACAGUCCAACAGAAACGUAUCGAUUUUUUUUAUCAGAAAUCAAUUCAAAAUGCUCAAUAAAUACAUAAAAGAGAGAAAAGAGUUACCUUUUAGGAAGUGUAUUGAGAUGUGCAAAGAAAGAAGGAUUGAGGAAGAGAGACAGAGAGGAGGCAGUGUCGAUUAGGUUAGCAAAUAGCAAUUGAACACGGGAAUUGUGAGUAUGCGUGUGGGAAGGGGGGAUGACGAGGAAAAAUGGAAGUUUUUAGAGGAUGCGGAAAUUAUAAGCGGGAAUUGAAAUAUUAAGAUUGGGGGAAAUGAAAUUAAGUCCCUGUUUGGCAAUUAUUAAAAAAAAAACAAAAAAAAAUUGCACGUAUUUUUUGUUUUCAAAAUUUAUUAAAUUACUAAUAAAAAUACUUAAUAAACUGAAAUAAUUUAUAAAGAAAUGUUGAUAUUGAAUUAUUUUAAGUUAUUAAUUGUAUAGUAGAGAAUUGUAUGUAAUUUUUUCCCAUUUCAUAAUUUUAUUUCCAUAGAUGAAUUUAUUUGAUGUUUUAUUAAUUUUAUAAUAUUUAUUUAACAUUUUUAUUAAUACUUCAUAUCAUUGUGUUUAUUUUCAUUAUUCUUAUGAAUUUUACAUGAAUUAUAUUUUUAUGAAAUUACGUGAAAUAAUAGGUCGUCUGGAUAAAAUUGGUCAAUUUUAAUCACGAGUUUCCACUUCAAACCUUCUCUUUGUUGAAUACUCGUGGGAAAAAAUCGUGAAAUCACAAAUCGAUCGAAAUUGUUGGUUUGAGUCCACGUGGACUCACGAUUUUUUUUUUCCCGUCAAGCCGAACCAACCGUUUUGAAAAUGGUUUGGUUUAGGUUUCAAUUUUCAAAAAUCACAAAAAAAGAACCGAACCGUUUUAAAAAAUUUUAAUUAAAACAUUAAUUUUAUUAACUUAUAAAUUUUACAGUUUUCACUUUUCAAAAAAAAAAAACCAAUUUAACAAUACAAAUUACAAUCAUCCCGUUGAAAUAAUCGUAGAAAAUAAAUUAUGUUCACUUAUUUAAUAACUUUUUGAUUAAUUAGUCUGUAGUCUAUUUUAUCACGUGUUAAGUUUUAAACACCCUUCAUUUGAAAUAUCUAAAUUAUACUUCGCUAUGAAUAAAGCUAAAUAAUUCAAAUUUCAAUUAUAAGAUAAAAUGCUCAACAAAUUGGCUCAUUCAAAUUGUAUAAGUCUUAUAUGAUAUUCCAAGACAUGAUCGGCUUGUUUUGGAGUGAAAUUGAGAACCCAUAAUACUACUGUAGUAAUUAUCUUUUGGGGAUGGGCAUCCUUUUCUCGGAACUGGACUAAAACCAAAUAGAACCAAUCAGUUCGGUUCGAUUCCUCUACUAAAUGGGUCAACUUUGGGACCAUACGUCAAGAACCAAUCGAUUUUCAAUCCAAUUUUUUGGUACUAUCUUCGGAAUUAGUAGUGAAUUUGGUUCUCUCGAAUUUCUCUGUAUGCUUGCAUCAAGAUGCACUGGAUCUUUGAAUAUUAGACCCCCAAAUUAUCUCGCGUUAAGAUUUCAUUUUCCAUAUGCUUCUUCUUCUUCUUUUUAAUGGGUAAUCAAAAUUAAAAUUUAAAUAAUUUUAUAAAUACUUUACAAAUUCGUAGUUUUAAUGCAAUCUAAUAGAAAAAAAUAUACUUUAAUAUUUUACAAGAAUUCAAAUUUUCCAUUGUUUUCAAAGUGAUCGGCCAUUAAGAAUCAAGUUCCUGGAGGAUUACUAAAUAUAAUCAGUUUAUUGUUAUAUGAAUCUUUGUAAAAAAAUUUAUUAUUUAUGAUGCAUUCAAUAGUUUAUUCAUUUUUUCGCCUUUAUGAGUUGAUCUUGAGUUUUGGAAUGAAUUUUUGUUUGUUGCCUUGUUUGAUUGAUUUUUUUAUUAGAUUACAAGCAUGACAAGUGAUUUCAUACUCUUUUUUUUUUUUUUUUUUUUUUUUUAUCUAUUUCCAAUAUCACAAGUAGUUUCAUAUUUUAUUUUUAAAAUUUUUUCAAUAUAAAGAACCGGACCGAACCGUAUCGAAACCUAGACCGUACCGUAUCAGAACCAAUUGGUUUGGUUUCGGUUCGGUUCGGUUCUAUAGUUGGAUACCGAUUCUAAAUGGUUUCAUUUCAAAUAUUCCCAUUGAUAUUAAACAUGAUUUGAUUCCCUUUAGAAUCAGAUCGAACUAGACCGCGCACACUCCUAAUUAUCUUACUAUCUCUACAGGAGGUUGGAGAACAAUACCGAUUAAGUAAAAUUAUUUAUAUACAUCAUCAGAUUUUUUUUUCCUUCUAAAUACAUACGAAGUCAUCUAUUGGAAAAUCAAUCGAAAAAUUACUAGUCUAUUUUUAGCAAUGAAUUACCUUGGAUUUUAUCGAAGAAAUUACUACAGGUUAAAUCCAUUGAUAAUUUAAUUUUUUUUAUUUUAAAAAAUGAAAAAAAAAAUUAGUAUUAGUUAGCCACGAUAAAAUCCAAAAUUAUGUUGGUAAUAGCAAUGGAAAUUUGUCAUUGAUAAAUUUUUAGUAGUGAGAGGAUUGAUAACAAUUUCUUACCCUAACCAAAUGUAUUUUGGGUCUAAAAGUCCAAUUAAUUAUAGCAAUCAUAUCUCCACAAGAAAUUUUAGCCAAAAAUAAGAUAUUCACCGAUCCCCCUUCAUUUGGUAAGCAAUAAUGUCUUAUGUAGGACGAAUAAUAACUAUUUUGAUCAUUACAUGUUGUGGUGCCAUAUCCCCUCAAGAGAAAAAGCAAAAAAAAAAAGACAUUCACUAACCCCUUUCAUUUAAUUGGCAAGUAUAUAUGUCUCAUGUAUGUCGACUAUGAAUUAUUUUAGUCGGUAAAUAUCUAAUCGCUCUAUUUUUCACCAGAUAAUUUGGUCCCAAAAUUAAGAUAUUCGUCAACCCCACAAAUAUAUCGUGUCUAGGCCUACCAAUAAUUAUUUUUGGUUGGUAAAUGUAUAGGCGCCGCAGACCCUCCAAAUUUUUUUCCCAAGAAUAAGAUAUUCACUAACCCAUUUUAUCUAGUGGGCAAAUAUAUCUUGUCUAGGCCGAACAAUAAUUAUUUUUGGUUGGUAAAUGCAUAGGCGCCACACCCCUCCAAAAAAAUUGCCCAAAAAUGAGAUAUUCACCAACCCAUUUUAUCUAGUCGGCAAAUAUAUCUCGCCUAGGCCGACCAAUCAUUAUUUUUGGCUGGUAAAUGUAUAUGCGUAUGUCCCCCGCCAAAGAAAUUGCCCAACAAUAAGAUAUUUACCGACCUGUUUUUCUAGUCGACAUAUACAUCUCGUCUAGGCCGAUCAAUACUUAUUGUUGGUCGGUAAAAUGUUUAGGCGCCAUGUCCACCGCCAAAAAAAUUUACUCAAAAAUAAGUUAUUUACCGACUAGAUGAAAGUAGUCGGCAAAUAUAAUUAGUUUAGGCCGACCAAAAAUUAUCUGUGUUCGGUAAAUAUUAUUUUUAAUGACUAGUUUUUGGUGGGUCGAUAAACAGUGGUCGGCAAAGAAGGUUUUUAUUGACUACUUUUAUUGGGUCAGGAAAAAUGUGGUCGGCAAAAUAAUUGGUCGUCUAAGUGAUUUGUUUGGUCGGUAAAGAGGCAUUUUCAUCGACUAUUUUUUUGUUGGUCGGGAAAUCCAUAUUUUCUUGUAGUGAUUUAGUGUUAUAUCGAAUUGUCGAGACACAUUAUAUUUGAAUAUUUUAGUGUAUAUAUCAUUUCAGUAUUAUAGUCUUUUAACCUAAGAUCCCAAUUUCACAAAACAUGCUUGCUUAAAGUUAAAGUGAGAGUAAUUUUCCUUUAAGAGUUAGAAAUCACUCUCUAUUUUAAAAUUUAGUGCGGAAGACUUGAAAUUGACUCUUAAUAAUUUAUUAACUUGCUCUCAGUUAGAUAUUUGUGUUCGCUUAAACGAAUAUGAUAACAUUUUUGAAACAUGAAAUCUGAAAAUUGUAACAUGGAAUAUUGUUAAGCACUAAAAUCUCCUAAAAUUUAGAUAUUCUCUAUUUAUAUUCUUUCUUCAUCUCAUUUCGUAUCCUUUCAGUUGUAUUAUCCAUCCGCUGCAAAAAAUAAAAAAAUAAUGAAUCUUAUUAAAAUAAGAGAAUAUUAUGCUAACAUGUAAAAAAUGCAGUAAGUCCUCUGCACCCCAUAUAAUGAAUUUCUAACUCAUAAUAUUAAAAAAUAAUAUAGAAUUACGGAGUUUAAAAUUUUUAAGAAACGUCAUAUGACUUGCCUACACUAUGAAUGAAAGUUCAACCGCUUCACCUAUGUCUGCAUAUCCUCAUUUUUCUUCCUUUGUGAUUCUAAUUCAACUUCAAAGAUUUCAACCUCUUUUUCACCUUAAAUCACAAAAUCAAUGAAGUUGAAAGAAUUAUAUGCUAAUUUCAUCUUUACUGAAUGCCACUAAUUCUUUUAGUUCCUCCACUAUUAGUUCUUCGGUCUCUAUAAGCUAGCUCUUUUAUUUAGUUAUUUCCUCUAGUUGCCAUUUUGAGAUCAUGUUUAUUUGAUUUUCAAGUUUUAUUUAUAGACGUGUCAGUCGUCUGCAUGAAUUGAGAUAUGAUGUCCUCUAGUUUGAUUAAUGAUUCUUCCAAUGUGUUGGUUGGAGCAUCCGAACACCUCAUCCUCUAUAUUGUGGUAAUCUCCCACAGUCAUGCUUCUGCUUCUCCUCAUCAUCAUCAUCAUCUUGUCUUAUUUGGGCUCCCAUCCUAUCAAUGGUCAAGUAACCCUCCAUAGUCAUGUUAUUUUGAUCGUUCGAACUUAUUUGGGCUUUCAUUCUAUCGUACCCAAGUAAUCCCCCAUGGACAUGUUUGUCUUCAUCAAUUUUCACAUAAGGAUCAUCUUGGAAAGAUUUAUUUUGUUUAUCCUCUGUUGUCAAGCUUGACUCAUUGACUUCAACAAGUGCAUUAUACUUCUUUAUUUAAAAGUAAUUAUAGUUAAUGAGAUUCCCAUCAUCGUGUUAUCUUCAUCAAAGUUGGAAUCCCACAUCUUGAUUGUAGCUAGCCAUUGCUUCUUUUAAUUUUCGGUCAAUGAAAUCAAGAAAACAUCAACCGAAGAGAAUAAGAAAAAUAAGAAAAAAAUUCAAAUUAAAGAUAGAAUUAAUUAAAAAUUAAUUAAAUAAAUUUGUCCCUUGCAACGGCUAAAAUAAUAAUAAUAAUAAUAAUAAUAAUAAUAAUAAUAAUAAUAAUAAUAAUAAUAAUAAUAAUAAAAGCUUGUUAACUAAAAUUCUGUAAUUCUACGAUAUCGUAGUCAAGUAAUAAAGAAUGAAUAAAAUAUCGUUCUCAUGAGUACUAAGUAUUUAAUCUAAUUUUAAUUAAACAUAACUUUAAUGGAUUAUAAAGAUCUUAUAGAUGGAUUGAUGUGAUCUGGAAAAGUUUUAUUUUGGUCCAAUUUCUUAUUUUUGGUAAUUUAGAUAUUUUAAGAUUCUGUUUCCGAUUUUAAUAGAUUUCUAGGUAUUCUAGAAUUUUAUUCCAUUUAAACUCUAUUCUAGGUUUUUAGUAUAAAUAUGUUUAUUUUUCUACAUUGUAUUACAAGACUUUUAUGAUGGAUUAUUGAAUGAAUUUUAUUUCGAAGCUUUGCUUCAAAAUACCGAACUUAUCAAGAUUUGAUAUCUUGUGGCGUUCAAACAAAACAUCGGGUGUGAAUCAUUGAAUUGUGUAAUCAAAAGGUCCUUCGCAUCGCCGUUAUCGUUGGGUUGUUUGAUUCAUUAAUUCUUUGGGUCAAAUCCACAAAUUUUGAGAAGAUUUUAAGAUUGUGUGAUUAAGAAAUUGUUCGUUUCAUAUACGUUCGGUUGCUUAGUUCACUUUUGCGGGUCAAUUUCUAAACUUCAUCAUUAUUUGGGCAUUCUUGAGAUCCAUUGUCAAUUCCUGUGGGUUCGAUAGCAACCUUGCUAACCAGGUUCGCAUCAUUUGGUAUCAGAGCUAAGGCACCAAGAUCAAGGUUAUACCCAAUUUUUAUUUUAUUUUUGUCGAGUCCUUUUGUUUUUCGCAUUUUCUUUGUGUUAUUGUAAUUUUCAAUUUUUGUUGAGUCUUUGAUUCGUUGUCAAGUUUAAAAAAAAAUUACUAUUCACGAGGUACUGUUCACGAUCGUACGGUACUCGAAAAAAAAUUUCGAGUAAAAAAAAGAGAGAGAGAGAGAGUCAGUAAAAAAAAAAUAAAGUGUAAAAAAAAUGUCGGAAAGAAUGAUGAGGCGGUUUGAGAUGAUAAUUGAGAAUAUGGAAAAUAAGAUGGAUGUGAUUGAUUCGAAAUUGGCUAAGUUGCAUAGGGAUCAAUGUGAUGAGGUGCAAAAUGUUAGGAGACAGGAGCCUAGAAUUAAAAUGUGUGAUGCAUAUGGAUAUGGUUGUGGUAUUAAUGAGGUAUGUGGAUUGAGGAAUAAAUAUGAUAGGUUCAAAGGAAGGGAUAUGAGAGAUCGGCGUGAACGAGAGUUUAGGGAGAUGCCUAGGAAAUAUUAUGGGGAUUAUCCAGUGGAGAAGAAAACAUCAUUUGCUAAGUAUGAGGGUAGUACAUCAAGUAAGAGUGUUGGGCUGAAUUAUAAACAGGAAUUCUUCAAGAUUCUCGACAUUCUUAAGUCUCAAAUUAAUCAUCGGAAGGAACGGAAGGAGCAAGAGAGUAAAAGAGAAAUUAGUAGGGUGGUUGAUUAUGAGAAAGGAAGAAGAUAAGCCACAAGAAAGUGAGAAGAAAAUAGAAAGUGAAAGGGGCGAAGUGGUUAAAAUAGAAGUGGAGUCACGGGAUGAAAAUGAAGUAGAGUCUUUGGAUAUUGAAAAGGAGUUGGGAGUGAACUUGCAUGAAGAGGAGGAUAAAAUUGAGGAGGCGUUGGCGAACACUAACAUUUCCCUCCCUAUUUUUGCUAAUUCUAUUUUGCAGGUUAAUGAAGAUUCAAUUCCAGAAAUUAAUCAGAUUGGAAUCCCUUACAAUCAGGGCAUUAAUUACCAAAUGGUGGAUACAAUUCAACAACAACCACAUCCUAGUUUGGACAUCACUAUAUUACCGAAGAUUGAUUUUGUUAUCUCUAAGGAGACGAAGGAAUUUCAAAAGCAAUGGAAGGAAUUAAUAUGCAAGGAGUUGAACUACAAAGUCGAUAUGUUAGGAAACAUGCAUCCCGUGGAAGUAAUAUUGUCACCAUCACCUAGACCGAGUAAAGCAUGGAAAAUGAACAGUGAUUUAUCAGCUGAAAUCAUUCUUGGAGUAUCACAAAAUGGCAAAAAGAAACCGUCAAGGUGUACACACUUUGAUCUGUGUAAGGAUGAUUAGGUCUACAUUCAAAAGAGGAGAGUUCGAGGUCAAAAGAGGCCUAAAUUGCAUCCGAGAGGUGAUGGGCCAUUUCAUGUGCUUGAGUUCAUUGAAAGUAAAGACUAUAACUUGGAUCAGGAUUUGAGGACGAAUCCUCUUGAAGAGGGAGGGUCUGAUAUGAUCUGGAAAAGUUUUAUUUUGGUCAAAUUUCUUAUUUUUGGUAAUUUAGAUAUUUUAGGACUCUAUUUUCGAUUUUAAUAGAUUUCUAGGUAUUCUAGAAUUUUAUUCCAUUUAAACUUUAUUCUAGGUUUUUAGUAUAAAUAUGUUUAUUUUUCUACUUUGUAUUACAAGACUUUUAUGAUGGAUUAUUGAAUGAAUUUUCUUUCGAAGCUUUGCUUCAAAAUAUCGAACUUAUCAAAUUUGAUAUCUUGUGGCGUUCAAACAAAAUAUCGGGUGUGAAUCAUUGAAUUGUGUAGUCAAAAGGUCCUUAGCAUCGCCAUUAUCGUUGGGUUGUUUGAUUCAUUAAUUCUUUGGGUUAAAUCCACAAAUCUAGAGGAAAUUUUAAGAUUGUGUGAUUAAAAGGUCGUUCAUUUCAUAUACGUUCGGUUGCUUAGUUCACUUUUGCGGGUCGAUUCCUAAACAUGAUCAUUAUUUGGGCAUUCUUUGGAUCCGUUGUCAAUUCCUGUGGGUUCGAUAGCAAACUUGCUAAAGGGGUUCGCAUCAUGGAUUAUGCAUUAACAAACUAAAAUCUAUGACUAAUCUAACUAAGCUAUGGGAAGCAUUUUUGAAUACCCGUUUAAUGAACAAACACCACCUACAUUUUAAUAUUAUUUUCAUCUGUUGACAACACCUAUUCAAAUAAGAAGAUCAAUUUUUCAAAUUUAUUUAGUAGUAUCUUUCAAAUAAAAUUAAAACUAUCCUCACAUAUGAUCAUAUAUCUUUGUAAAGGAUGUGAACAUAUAAAGAUGCUUAAAUCACAAGAACGUCUAAAGAUCAUGUAAAGUAUAGAGGUAUAUCUCUAUUCCCGAUCAAACUUUACAAUGAUUUUUACUACAUGCCAAAUUCCUAUUCCUUCUACUGAAAUCAGUAGCUACACAACAAAAUAAAACUAAUGAUAUUAACUAAAUAACAUUAAUCCCCUAACAACCAUUCAAAAUCAAACAAAUGUUUAAUUUCAAAGACAACAUAUUGAAACUUAGGGUUCAACAUUAUCUUAGCAUCUAUACAAUUAGUCAAGCAUCACGUGAGUAUAUAAACACAAAUUAAAUAGUUAUAACAUCACCCAAUAAUGUUUGAAAAGAAGAUGGAAAGAAAUCUUAAAAUUGUUGAAUGUCUUCUUCAAUGGCUCCUUAAUCAACUCUAUUGAUUCUUCUCUUCAUCUUUGGCUAAUAUUAAGAUCCCACAAGCCUUCUCUAAUUUUAAAGUAUGUACUUAUUGGCCAAGAAUUAGGUAAAAAAUUGUAACCUAAUUUAUUUUCAAACAAAUAGAUUGAAAAGAGAAAGGAAACAAAUUAGGUUUGCCGGAAACAUGUUGUGCAUACGCAUAGUCCAUUUAGUUGCAAUCGCAUAAUCUUUCAAUCUGCUAAGCAAACACAAGGGCAUGAGCAUGCCUCCAUUUUCAUUUCAUUCCCAACUUCCUUCUUUUGGUUAGCUCGAGUUCUUUAUGUGUGCAAGUUUAUUCCUUUAUUGUCUACUCUUCACAAUUUAAUCAUCAUCAUUCCAAAAUUAUUAAUAAUUGUUAACAUGCAAAUUCUAAAAUUUUGUAAUUUAAUCCUUGAACUUCCAAAUUGUUUAAUUGAACCCCAAAAUUUGAUGAAUUUCUUCUGAAUGCUCUAAUAAGUCUUGUAAUUGAUCACGUGCUUUGUAUUGAUAAGAGAGCCAUUGGCCUUACGCUUGACUCAAUAUACCCACCUGCACUCAAACGAGUUUUGGAACGGGUGAAGAGGUAAAUGUGUACAGGUGACCUUCCGUAUUAGAGCAUUAAAUGUUGAACCAAAUAAUAUUCCAAAAUACAAUAUGAUACUGAACUCAAAAAGAAACCGCAGUGAUGAAAAUAUUUUAUGGAUAAAAAUAUUUGUACAUAAUUUUUUAUACAUAAGGGUAUCCACUCUUUCAUAUGGUAUGGAGCUCACUCAAAUAUUUUAUUCAAGUGGGCCCCACCCAUGUAGGAGGGGUGGACACCCCUUGUACCAAAAAUUAUAUACCUCUAGCAUUUCCCGUAUUUUAUUAUUUCAGAAAACCACAAAUGACUAAAGGAGAACGAAAAUUUGCAAACCAAGACUUGUGUAUUACAUAGUAUUUAUAAAAUAAAUUUGUCCCCUCACAGUAGUUGCUUAAAGAGUCGCACAAGAGUCUAUCUUCCAGGAUAUAGUGAUAAACUAGUAAAAAUUGACCACUUCGUUUUUAGUCCGACGAACUGAAUUUGUGUCACAACACUACCAUCAAGACUUAGAUGAAAUUGAAAAAUUUCGAGAAGACAGUAAGAAGAGCAUGAAAUAUUUUCGAGCAAACGGGAAAGAAAUAUGGAAUUUCAUGGGUUUAGAAUAAUGGGAAAAAAUGACUGUAUAAGUAGGCUCUAAUGGAGAAUUAUCAAGUUUGGAGUUAUUCGAUCCUUGAUUUGCACCUAUAAGUGUUAUACCCUAGAUCCAAUCAACUUUGGACAUAAAUGCUUUUUAUAUGUAAUUAAUGCUAUUUUAUUGCAAAUCUAUUAUUUAGUUAAUAUUCAAUUAAAUUAAAUAAUAGAGUCCGUAGAUUCAAAUCUUUGUAAUUUGUUAAUUACAAGGGGUUGUGAUUGUGAGAUACAAAUUACAUAUGAUUGAAUCUUAAAUCGUCCCUGUUCACAAGUAAUAACGAGAUACGGAUCUCGUUAUUACGGAUAGACCAUCAUGUGUGACAUUUCUAACUUGUGAAGUAAGUAGCUGAUCUCACAAGCUAAAGUGUGGUGACAUUUGAAUGAACACGUGGAUGUUUUGUUGUUGAACAAAACAUUGGAGACCCACCUAGAGAUUCCACAUGGAUAAUUAUCUGAGUGUCAGUGGUUAAUCUCUAAAGUUCGGUGGUGGAAUUGGUCCUUUGACUUGAGGUCGUCAUAGUACCUUAUAUGAGGACAGUCAUGGUUUAACAAUGUUGGAUGUUGCUUUGUCAAGGGCUGCUAAUACGGCAUCGUUCGAAUAUGUCAAGAAUCGUAUGAAGGUUGUGAAUGACUGAUAGAGAAUUCGUCACUCUGAGAUAGUAAGAUAUUAUAAUCGGCAUUCCAUUCAAUUAAUUCGAUAACGAAAUCCUUGGCCAAGGUGUACUCAUAAGUCAAAAAAGAGUUUUCGACUUAUAUUGACUUAAUAGUGGAAUGAAAGAUAUGAUUGGUAAUCGAGAUUGACACACUUCCAUAUCUUGUAAUUGAUCGGAUCAUAUUGACGAAGGGAUUAUAGUUUCAUGGUAAACGAACGAGUUUAGUUUUGUCAUACCGGAUAUUUUCCGUCACAUGUAUUGUCCUGACACAUUGCUAAAUGUUAAUCUGGACGACAAGUGUGAAUUGGUGAUAAAUUAAAAGGGUGUUUUAAUUUAUCAAUUUUGAAUUAGAUCAAAAUAAUAUUUCAUGUCGUUAGGCAUCGUGAUCAGGAACCUGAUGGGUUGCACACAAAAGAGAAUUGAGAGAUUGCAAUUUGUCAAUUAAUUAAUUUAACAAGCGUUGGAUAAAUUAAUUAAUUGGGUUGGUUAGUUAUAGGCCUGAAUUAAUUAAUUGACAGGCCAGAUUUAAUUAAAUGGAUUAAUUAAAUAUUGGAUCGGGUCAGGCUAAACCCGUUUGGUCUUAUAUAAAUAACUUAUUAGGAUUUACAAUUUAGUAGUGAAUUCAUUAUUCUUGCUAACACAAGAAAGAAAACCUUAAUCCUACAAUCUCGGUCUCUAUGUGGAUCACCGUUGGAUGCUAGACAAUUGGACAGUUGUGGGAUACAAAUCCAAGUUGCUGGAUCAAAGAUAUAGCAAAGGAGUGUGCAGAUCUUGUAAAAUGUGCAUCUUUAUCAUAGUUUCUAUCUAAACACAAAGACGAUUUUUGGUAGGAAUCGAAAAUUGUUUUAAUUUUCGCUACGCACGUUAAGUAAAUUCCCAACAGUGGUAUCACAGCAUAAUUUGUGUUUAUUAGAAAUUAUUUAACAUCUUUGUGGAAUCAAAAGUUGAUUAUUACGCUUUUCUGGUUAUUAGCAAUUAAAGAAAUUUGAUUUUCAUUUUGUUUGGAAUCUGAUAUAACAACAACAUCAACAAAAAAAAAAAAAAAAAAGGGGAAAACUGGGUCUGAACAUGGACGAGGCGACUGGCGAGAGAGGGCUCGCGUGGGGCUGCUACAGCGGUGACAGUCCACGCUGCGCGUUGCAGCAGCGACUAUCACUACUGCUGUUGCAGCAGCGCUCGUCGUCGUUGCAGGUUGCAGGGGACGAGCGCUGUUGCGGGUAAUGACAGAAAAAAAAAAAAAAAAAAAAAAAAAAAAAAAAAAAAAGGGGAAAACUGGGUCUGAACAUGGACGAGGCGACUGGCGAGAGAGGGCUCGCGUGGGGCUGCUACAGCGGUGACAGUCCACGCUGCGCGUUGCAGCAGCGACUAUCACUACUGCUGUUGCAGCAGCGCUCGUCGUCGUUGCAGGUUGCAGGGGACGAGCGCUGUUGCGGGUAAUGACAGCAACGCGAAUGUUGCUACUACGACGCAGCCGUUCACGCUGCCGCAGAAAUCUCAGAAUGGCGCUAGCCUCUCAAAAAAAAAAAAAAGGGGAAGAAAAAAGAGAGAUGCAAGUCCUAGGUUUUCAGAUUUAGGGUUUCUGAAAAUGGGUGGUUGAAUGUAGACAGGGGCUUAAGCUGCAAUUUGGGAAAUUGUUGGCCCUUGAAUGCAAUUAUGUAAAAGGAGGUCAUUGUGCAACUUUAAAUAAAAGGGCUUCUGUGUAAUUUAUAGAUUUCGAGGACCCUGCCAUUAAUUUGAAACUUGGGUCAAAUUGCAAUUUUCAAAAUGGUUUUGAAUUUGAAAUUUAAAUUGGUUUUAAAAUUAUUUUUAAAAAAGGGUUUGACCCUAAAAUUUCUAUUUUGACCCAUUUUAAGUUUUAUUUAAAAUUGACGACUUUUUAUAUUUUCGUUAAAAUAUGAUUUUAGCUUAAAUAUUAAAUUAGACCCUAAAUUGAAUUUUAUUUUAUUUAGGAGUUUUAUCCUAAAUUAAAAUAUUAAUUCAAUUCAAAUUAGAGUUGGACUCUAAUUUAAUACUUAAUUAAAAUUUAAUUUUAAUUAAUUAUUCACCCAAAUAUUCUAGAAAUUAGAAUUGGAUUCUAAUUUAACAUUUAAUUAAAAUUUGAUUUCAAUUAAAUUGUCUUACCCUAAAAUUUUCCCUCGAAUUAGAAUUGGACUCUAAUUUAACAUUUAAUUAAAAUUUGCUUUUAAUUAAAUAAUUCACCCUAGCAUUUCUUGAAUUUAGAAUUAUAUUCUAAUUUGACAUUUAAUUAAAAUUUGAUUUUGAUUAAAUUGACUCGCCCUAAAUUUCUUUUUGAGAUUAGAGUUAGACUCUAAUUUGACAUUUAAUUAAAAUUUGAUUUUAAUUAAACGAGUUCAUUCUAAAAAUCUUGGAAUUAAAGUUGGACUCUAAUUUUGCUGUUUAAUUAAAAUUUGAUUUUAAUUAAAUUUAACUGCCUUAAAUUUUGAAAUUAGAGUUGGACUCUAAUUUGAUAUUUAAUUGGAAUGUGAUUUUAAUUAAAUAGUCCUGCCCUAUAAUUGUGUAGAGUUGGACUCCGAUUUGGUACAUUUAAUUAAAAUUUGAUUUUAGUUAAAUAUGCCUGCUGAUUAAAAUAAUUGAUUAAUAUGAUUAAUUAAUUAUUUAAUUGUUCCGAUUCAUUUGUCUAAAAUAGUUUAGAUGACCUUAAUUGUUAGAAACUUGAAACAUGUCAGUAUAUAAUAUUAGAUAUUAUAUAUGCAUACAUUUAUUUGAUAAAUGUAUUAUUAGUGGACGAUUAUGGACUCGACCAUGUGGAUGUGUUAAAUGGUUAAUUUUAUUUUUGUCGUUUUAUGGGCCGAGAGCUCUUAAUCAUUCUGGAUCUACGAGUCCGUUAUUGUUAUAGUUAUUAUGGGCUUGCGAAUCUAAUUUUAUUUAAGCCUGCGUGCCAACUAGUAUAGGAUACAUGUUGCAGCUGCACUAAUUGAAGAAACAAGAAGAGGAGGAAACCAUGGAGAUGGACCACUGUAUGAGUCAAUACUAUACCCCUAGGAAUUGACCAACUAGUCUUCCUUAUGGCUCGAGAAGACUAGAUAGUAAAAAUUCAUAAUCGUCCACACUAUUAUAUUAUAUAUAUGUUUAUUUGCAUGGUAAAUGUAUAAUAUAAUAUAUAUGAUUGUUACGAUAGGACUUUUGAAUGCAAAACACCUCAAUAAAAUAUUAAGUCACAUUUAUAAUUAUCUUCCAUCAUUAUAGUGAAAAAUUAGAGUCCCAAAUCAUCUCAACUUAUUGAGUACACUCAAAGCUAGUCUAUUAGGGAUAUAUUUGACACUAUGAAAUAUUUGAUAUUUCUGAAUGACGAGUUUGACUUAACUAAAAUUUAUUUUUUGUUGAGUAUUCUCAAGGAGAAAAAUUUUAUAGACAUGUUAAGCUAACACAUAAGAUGUGUAAAGACAAAGAGUUGUCAGCUUAAUGAUCUGGGAGUUGUAUGAAAAUACAAUUGAUAAUAGUAUCUACCCAAAUGUUUUAUUAAAAUCAGUUGAGUACACUUAAGAUCUUAAUAUAACAGAUGGGAUCCCAGCCCACUGGGGUCAAGUCUGGACUCCAUAAAUUUAUGUGAGAGGGUCAUAAGUUUUAGUUAAACAGUGGGAGCAUAAUUAAUUUAACAAAAGUCCGUGUUAAAUUAAUUGAUGCAUUUUAUAUAUUAUUCUUUUCUUUUUCGUCAUUUAUAUUUAUAUUGAAUCUUGAGUAACCAUAUGUUUGAAUGGAAUACUGGAUGUUAACAACCAAAUUAAAUUUUCUUGAUUAGCAUCACAACUUGAGAAUUGUUCUCAGGCAUAAGAAAAUUGGUUAUGUUCUUGAGUAACCCUUUCCAGAGACACCUACUGAUGACUCGAUCAAGGAAGAGGUGGCUACUGUAAUAAACACAGUGAUGACGGUAGUACCGCACACAUGUGAUGCUUGCAACUAUGUCACAUGAGUUACAAAAUCAACUUGAGAGUAUAGAUAUUAACAUAUAAUUCUUCAUUACAAGGAGUUGUAUGAUAAUAUUCAUGUGUGGAAGGAUAUGAGACUUCUAAACAACUAUACCGGUGCAAAAUGACAGAGCAAUCUUCGAUCGGUGCUCUUGUACUGAAGAAGAUUGUCAUUGAGAGGUUGUCUCAGUGAGGUUCAGUCAUGAACUACGAACUAAGUAUUGACUUAGUUUUGUAAUCUCUGUUAGAGAGUUAUUCAUACUAAUUAUAAAUUAUGAUAUGAAUAAAUUCGAAUGCACGCUCAUUGAGGUCCUUGACAUGCUUAGGACUAUUUUGCCCAAUAUCAAAGUUACAAGUGGGCAAGCCAUUGAUUCCUCUAAGGGUAUUAAGAGAAAGUCUAAAGGAGCUUUGGGAAAGCGUCCAAUAUGGCUAAGACCGUCAAAGCGAAGGACUUAGGUAUUUGAUACUAGAUGUAAAUCUCAUAUUUAUACAAAUAUGGAGAAACUAAAUAGAAGUAGACCACUGCGAAAGGGAAAAGUUGACCUACACGUUGAAGUUAAGCAAAUGUUGUUGCAUUGCUUGUAGGAGCAUACUUCUUGCCGUUGCUUUUUGACUUAGUAUUGGAAUUAGAGAAAUGUUCCUUUGUACCUGCCAUAGCCGAAACAUUAAAUGAAUUUCAUGUUUGAACAUGAAAUAUUUUAAUGUUAAGAACAAUUGUUGUUUAUGCCUAUCUUGAUUAAGAUCUUUGUGGUAUGGUAAGCUACAAAUAACAUUUAUAUUCUGAAUACUAAGCAUUCUAUAAUGAGUAUAGAAGUUAAAGGGCAUAAAAGUGAUAAUCUAAAUAAUACUGAAAUCUGUGAUGCAGACUUGGUCAUAUAAAUGAAAUGCAAUUCCAAUAUUAUAUAGAGAUGUGUAUGUGGAAUCAAUUAAUUUUAAAUCAUUUGAUAAGUGCAUAACAUGUCUGUUUGCCACAAUGACCAAAAUCCCCUUUUACUUGAAAAGGAACAAGUCUGCAUAAAUAUUGACAUAAUACAUAGUGAUAUAUAUGGAUCCAUGUCAAUUAAUGUCAGAUGAGAUUUCUCUUAUGUCAUCAAUGAUCAUAUAUACUUGAUGAAAUUCAAGUAUGAAGUUCUUGAAAGGUUCAAAGGAUUCAAACUGCAAGUAGGGAAACAAAUAGGUAGAGAUAUUCUCGCAUCAAGAUCCGAUCGAGAUGAAAAUAUCUUAAAGAUAAAAAUUUAGAUUAUCUAAUAGAGAAUGAGAUUCUCUUGUAGUGAACUCCUCCAUAUACACUGCAACAUUGUGGCGAAUUUCAACGGAGGAAUCGCAAACUAUUAGAUAUAGUCCAAUUAAUAAUGAGCUAUGCAAAUCUCCUAAAAUCAUUUUGAAGUUAUGCACUGAUCGUAGUGUGCUACACACUAAAUCAUGUCUCGUCUAAGUUGGUUAAUAGAACUCCAUAUGAGCUAUGGAAAGGCAAUAGUCAUAACUUAUUUCAUAUAAAAGUUUGGGGCCGUCAUGCUUAUUUGAAGCGCAUUGAGUCAGAUAAACUUGAGCAUAUAUAUAUAUAUAUAUAUAUAUAUAGCAGUGUGCUGUACACUAAAUCAUGUUACAUCUAAGUUGGUUAACAGAAUUUCGUAUGAGCUGUAGAAAGGUAAUAGUCCCAACUCAUCUCGUAUGAAAAUUUGGGAAUGUGACGCUUGUCUAAAGCGCAUUGAAUUGGAUAAACUUGAGAAUAUAUAUAUAUAUAUAUAUAUAUAUAUAUAUAUAUAUAUAUCCGAUGAAUACAUAUUUGUGGGAUAUCCAAAGCAGAUAUUUGGGUAUCAGUUCUAUUAACCCAUUGAGAAGAAAGUUCUCGUCUCACGACAUAUCGCCCUCUUAGAGAAAAUGUUUACUCUAGAAGAGGACAGUGGGAGCAAAUUAGAACUUGAAAGAGUUCAAGAGUCCACAAAUAUAGUUAACCAAGUAGGUGAAUCCAAAUUUGAUCCCAUAUUUGAUAUGGGACAUAUUCUUGAUCAGGAAGUAGAUACUCCUGAGCACAUGACAACUCUAUUUAAAUCUAGUGGGAUCAUUCGACCUUGAAGAAGGUAAGAAUCCAUGAUUACUAAUCAGGUAUUACUAAUCCAGGAUAAUGGACCUACUAAUUGCACAAAAGUAAAGUCAAAUGUUGACUUAAAAAGGUAGUAAGAGGCCAUGAAACCUGAGAUAAACUCGACAUAUGUGAACAAGGUUUGGACCUUUGUCGACCCUCUUGAUGAGAUAAAGCCCAUAGGUUGUAAAUGGUUUACAAUAAAAGGUUGACAUGAAUAUUUAUAUAUACAAAGCAAGGCUAGUAGCAAAAGGUAACAAACAAAGACAAUGGAUUAGCUUUGAUGAAACCUUUUGCCUGUAGCCAUGCUGAGGUCCAUUCGAAUUUUGGUUGCAAUAGUUGUAUACCAUGCCUAUGGGUUAAAACAAAUCUCUUGGAGUUGAAAUCUUCGAUUUGAUGAAAAAAUCAAAAUGCUUGAUUUUAUCAAAUAUGAAGACGAAUUGUGUGUUAGCAAGAAGAUAGUGGGAGCAUUGUCACAUUCCUGAUAUUAUAGGAAAUGACAUUCUUAAGUUUCAAUCGUUGGAAUAAUGGUUGUUAAAAGAUUUAUUCAUGAACAAUAUGAGGAAGUAACUUGAUCUAUAGAGAUAGAUCUAGAAAAUUGUUUAACUCAUCCCAAUCCACAUAGAUAAAAUUUUGAGAAGAUUUAUAUUGAGAAACUGGUUUACUCUUAAGCAAUAUAUUGGAAAGGUUCCAAAUGUAAAACAACCGUUGGUUCAAUAGCAAAAACCUGAUAUAUAAUUGCUUCAGAAGUAGCAAAGAGGAUCAAGAUGUUCAUUAAUGUACUUGAGAUAAUUCCUAACAUUGUUGAUCACAUGUUAUUGUAAUAACAAUAGAGCAGUCGCAAAAGCGAAGGAACUAAAGGUCUCAUUAAUGAUCCAAACAUGUAUUAAGGCUGUAUAAUCUCAUCAAAGAGAUAAUUCAUAGAAAUGACGUAAAGAGAAGAACGAAUUCCCACAUUUGACAAUAUUGCAGAUCUACUAACAAAGAGUUGUCGUAGCAUAAACAUGAUUGUCAUGUAGACUCUUAUGAUAUUGGAUACAUAAGUUAUUGGAUCUAGUGCAAGUGGGAGUUUGUAAGUGUUAUGCCCUAGAUCCAAUCAACCUAGGACAUAAAUGCUUUUUAAUAUGUAAUUAAUGCAAUUUUAUGACAAAUCUAUUAUUUAAUUAAUAUUAAAUUAAAUUAAAUAAUAGAGUCCGUAGAUUCAAAUCUUCGUAUUUUGUUAAUUACAAGGAGUUGUGAUUGUGAGAUACAAAUUACCUAUGAUUGAAUCUUAAAUCGUCCGUUGUCACAAGUAAUAAUGAGAUACGGAUAUAUUACGGAUAGACUAUCACGUGUGGCAUUUCUCACUUAUGAAGCAAGUAGCUGAUCUUACAAGCUAAAGUGUUGUGACACUUAAAUAAACACGUGGAUGUUUUGUUAUAGAACAAAAUAUUGGAGAUUCACCGAGAGAUUCCACAUGGAUAACUCUCUGAGUGUUAGAGUUUAAUUUCUAACGUUCGGUAGUGGAAUUAGUCUUUUGACUUAAGGUCGUCAUAGUACCUUAUAUGAGGAUUGUCAUGCUUUGACAAUUUUGGAUGUUGCUCUGCCAAAGGCCACUAAUACGGUAUCGUAUGGGUAUGUUAAGAAUCGUAUGAAGGUUGUGAAUGAUCGAUAGAGGUUCGUCACUUUUAGAUAGUAAGAGAUUAUAAUCGGCAUUUCAUUCAAUUAAGUAUAUAACGAAAUCCUUGUCCAAGGUGUACUCAUAAGUUGAAAAGGAAUUUUCGACUUAUAUUGACUUAAUAGUGAAAUGAAAGAUAUGAUUGGUAAUCGAGAUUGACACACUUCCAUAUCUCGUAAUUGAUCAAAUAAUAUUGACGAAGAGAUUGUAGUUUCAUGGUAAAUGAACGAGUUGCCACGUGACAUUUUCCGUCACAUGUAUUGCCCUGACACAUUACUAAAUGUUAAUAUGGGGCGACAAGUGUGAAUUAGUGAUAAAUUAAAAGGGUGUUUUAAUUUAUCAAUUUUGAUUAGAUCAAAAUAAUAUUUCACAUUGUUAGGUAUCGUGAUGGGGAACUUGAUGGGUCGCACACAAAAGAGAAUUGAGAUAUUACAAUAUGUCAAUUAAUUAAUUUAACAAACGUUAGAUAAAUUAAUUAAUUGUGUUGGUUAUUUAUAGGCUCGAAUUAAUUAAUUGGAUUAAUUAAUUCGCGGACCGAAUUUAAUUAAAUGAAUUAAUUAAAGGGAAAAAUUCAUAUUUAAGGUGUAUUCUUUACACCAUUUCAAAAUUCAGGUAAAAUGUUUGAAAAUUCAAAAUUCAGGUUUAGAUUUAAUUAAUUAAAAAUAUUUAUUAAAUAAAUAUAAUAAAGUCACGAUUAAACAAUUAAUGGUCACAGAUUUUUUUAAUGGUCACAUAUCAUCAAGUUAAUUGAUCACAUAUUAUUUUGAGGUCACAAAUCAAAAAUCUUGUAUGUCACAGAUUGUUUCGAGGUCACAAAUUAAAAACUUUAUGGGUCACAGAUUAUUUUUUAGUCACAGAUCAUCAAAUUUUAAGGUCAGAGACCAAAUCGUUGAAAUCACAUAUUAUUUUUUUAGUUACAUACUAUCAAAUUUUAAGGUCACAGACCACCGACAAUCAACCCAAACCACCAACUUGUAUCACCACAAUCGCCGCCACCGCACACUACACCAACACCCUAGCAAACACCACCACCCACAUCAUACCAACAGAAUUGGCUUCCACCCACAUUGUACCAACAAAACCUCACACAUACCACAGAUCAGCCACCUCCACCACCUGCGUCAAAACCAUCACCACCACCGUCCUACCUAGAUCCAUUGCACUCGGCACUGCACGAAAUCACCAAAGCCACCCACAUCCACGCUGGACAGAGAAAUCGUUUGCAGACCACCCCCAAUCGUUGAAAUCAUAGAUAAAAAAGGCAGUAGUUGCGCCAGAUCCACCACGGCACCAUCGCAAACACCACACAAAACACCAUCCAAACCUUGCGGUAGUGGUUCCUGUGCUGCGUCGAAGUGGCGAAGCGCCUCAAAACGACGAGCGACCGUCGCUACAAAGCACCUCAAAACGGUGAGUGAGAAAAACGAAGCAACGACGUGAAAGGUGAAGAACCACUGCGAGACGACGUGAAAGGCUCUCUCCGGCUGUGGGCGGCGGCACCAUGGGUUGACAGGAGAAAGUGAGGAGAGAAGAUGCUGAUUGCUGUGUGAAAUGAAUUUUAGGGCUGAAUUGGGGAUGAAAUAUUUUGUAUUAAUAUUAAUAAUUAAAUUCAUACCUGAAAUCUGCAUAAAAAACCAUCUCACCUCAUAUUUGCACUGAGAUCUUUAAAAGUCGGGAUUUUUGUAAUUUCCACUUAAUUAAAUAUUGGAUCGAGUCAGCGGGCUUAUAUAAAUAACUUAUUAGGGUUUACAAUUUAGUGGUGAAUUCAUUAUUCUUGCUAGCACAAGAAAAAAACAUUAAUCCUGCAAUCUUGUUCUCUGCGUGGAUUACCGUUGGAUAUUGGACAAUUGGACAGCUCAAAGAAACAGAUCGAAAUUGCUGGAACAAAGAUAUGGCAAAGGAUUUUGCAGAUCUUGUAAAAAGUACAUAUUUAUUACAAUUUCUAUCUAAACACAAAGACGAUUCCUUGUGGGAAUCAAAAAUUGUUUUAAUUUUCGCUGUGCAAGUUAAGUAGAUUCCCAACAGCACCCUCCCUGCAUACACGUGGAAAGAGCCUCUAUGCUAUAUAUAAUUACACAAUUUUAAAGUGUAGUUGUAUAUAAGUAGUAGUAUUUGUCUUUUUAAUUUUCCUAUAUUAGACAAAUUUAAAUAAGUUUUCCCUCCAACACAUUAAUCUCUUCCAGUUCAUCACUGUGAGUUUCAAUCUCUCAUUCACUAGUCUAUCGUUUUUGGCAAGUAAAUAUAUGAUUUUGAUAUCCUCACGGAGGAAAACACAAAUCAAUUUUAAUCUUUCAAAAUGAAUGAACGAAUCUCACUCAAAACUAUGCCAAAAAUUAGCCCACUCAAUCAAUUUUUCCAACAUUAAAUUCAUUAGACAUGGCUUGGCGCCAUUGAAAAACUUUGAGGACCCGAAGUAAAGUCAUUUACGUACAAAUAAAGCUUCAAAGCCUAGGCUAACAAGGUCUUAAUACCAUGAUAUUUUAAACCAACCUGCCAUUGUCUUAAAUUGCACAUUCAAUGUUUAAGAAAGGUGCGGCCUACUUAAAUUGUCUUACAUUAAUGGUUCAACGUUCAUUAUCCAUUGUCCAUUUUCUUAUCUAUAUCAUAUGCAGCCAGAACGUGUCACAACCCUUUUAACAUUGGUUACAAUCAUAGAUAGCUUGUUAAAUUAAUCUUUUCUUUUAAAAACUUUCAUACAUUUCAUAUCAAAGUGAGAGUUUUGUAUCUUGUAGACCAAAGACCUAGUGAAGCUUAAGUGCCACAAUUGUCAUGAGGUCGAAGUAGUCCAACAACUGUACAGCAAGGCUCAAGUUGUGUGGUUUCGUCACUAUCAAUGGUGAUUGUUAGUAACGAAAGUUGAAGUGUAUAUAUAUAUAUAUUAAAUUGUUUGAAAUGUAUUUAUUGAUCAUCAUAUUUCCAUAUAUACCUAGCAAAAUUAUUUGUUCCUCAUAUUUUAAAACUAAUUUUUAUAAUCUCGUUUUCAAUUGGACAUUCUUUUAAUAUUAUAGUUUAACUACACAUUCUCAAAAAAUGACUUUUCAAAAAAUCAAUUCUAAAAAUCUCUAUCUAACAUGGCCAUUAUAAAAUCUGCACUCUCUUUUUGACUAGAAACAAUAAAAGCUUUGUACAAUCAAGAUAGAGUAGUGCAAUACUGUAAGUGUAAAUCCAAUCAACCUUAGAUAUAAAUUCUUUUAAUAUAUAAUUAAUGCGAUUUGAUGGCAGAUCUAUUAUUUAAUUAAUAGACAAUUAAAUUAAAUAAUAGUCUGUAUAUUCAAAAUUUCGUAAUUUGUUAAUCACAAGGAGUUGUGAUUGUGAGAUAUAAAUUACAUAUGUUGAAUCUUAAAUCGUCCGUGAUCGUAAGUAAUAACAAGAUACGGAUAUCGUUAUUACGGAUAGACCAUCACGUGUGACAUUUCUUACUUGUGAAACAAAUAGUUGAUCUCACAAGCUAAAGCGUUGUGACACUUAAAUGAAUAUGUGAAUGUUUUGUUAUAGAACAAAAUAUUGGAGACCCACAGAGAGAUUUCACAUGGAUAACUAUUUGAGUGUCAGUGGUUAAUCUCUAACGUUUGGUAGUGAAAUUGGUCCUUUGACUUGAGGUCGUCAUGGUACCUUAUAUGAGGACAGUCAUACUUUGACGGUGUUGGAUGUUGCUCUGCCUAGGGUUGCUAAUACGACAUCGUUUGGGUAUGUCAAGAAUCGUAUAAAGGUUGUGAAUGACAAAUAGAGGAUUCGUCACUUUUAGAUAGUAAGAAAUUAUGAUCUGCGUUUCAUUCAAUUAAGUCGAUAACGAAAUCUUUGGCCAAGGUGUACUUAUAAGUCGAAAAGGAGUUUUCGACUUAUAUUGACUUAAUAGUGGAGUGAAAGAUAUGAUCGGUAAUCGAGAUUGACACAUUUCCAUAUCUCGUAAAUUGAUUAGAUCAUAUUGACGAAAAGAUUAUAGUUUCACGGUAAGUGAACGAAUUUGGUUUUGUUAUAUUACAUGACAUUUUCUGUCACAUGUAUUGCUCUGACACAUUGCUAGAUAUCAAUUUGGGACAACGAGUGUGAAUUGGUAAUAAAUUAAAAAGGUCUUUUAAUUUAUCAAUUUUGAUUAAAUUAAAAUAAUGUUCCAUGUCAUUAGGCAUCGUGAUAUUCCCUAUGAUGGGUCGCACACAAAAAGAGAAUUAGAAUAUUAUAAUUUAUCAAAUAAUUAAGUUAAUAAGCGUUAAAUAAAUAAAUUAAUUGGGUUGCAUAUUUAUAGGCCCAAAUUAAUUAAUUGGAUUAAUUAGUUUACAGACCAGAUUUAAGGGGUUAAUUAAAUAUUGGACCGAGUCAGGUUAAACCUGUUUGGGCUUAUAUAAAUAUGACUAGGGUUUUCAAAUUUUGUAGAGACUUCAUUAUUCUUGCUAGCACAAGAAGAAAAUCAUAAUCCUGCAAUCUUGUUCUCUGUGUGGAUCAUCGUUGGAGGCUGGACAACUGAACAACUGUGGGAUACAGAUCCAAGUUGCUAGAACAAAGAUAUGGCAAAAGAGUUUGCAGAUCUAGAAAAGGUACAACAUAUUUAUCACAAUUUCUAUCUAAAUACAAAGACGAUUCUUGGUGGGGAAUCGAAAAUUAUUUUAAUUUUCCGCUGUGCAUGUUAAGUCGAUUCCCAACAGUGGUAUCAGAACCAAGUUUGAAUUUGUUAGAAAUUGUUUAAUAUGUUUGAACAAUCAAAUGUUGAUUGUUAUAAUGUUUUUUUUUGGAUCUAGCAAUUUAGAACUAUUGUUUAUCUUCAAAAUUUGUUUUAAAGAGAAAAUAAUUUUGGAUUGAAAAAAAAAAAAGAAAGGGGGAUCUGGCGGUGGAGCCGGCGACAAUUGUUGCCGUCGACAGGGCUGACAUGCUGCCGUGCGCUAUGACAGCGGUGCUCGCCGCUAGGGCAGCGGCUCACUGCGGGCGGCAGGAAGCCACCGUUGUUGGACAGUGACGACCUCCUCCAGACGCCUCCCCUUGUUAAUAAAUGAUCGGUGCUGCAGGGAAGGGAGUUCUUCUAGGGCUUUCAAAGUUGGGUGAAAGAGGUUGGGGCGGGGGCUCACGUUGUAAAUUCAAAUAUGUUGAGCCCUUGUGUAUUUCAAUUCAGGGUCAAUUGCAAUUAUUUUAAUGAAGGGCCUGCCUGUAAUUUUCGAAAUUGGAGGGUCCUGAUUAUAAAUUUAAAUUUGGGUCAAGAUGCAAUUUUCAAAAGAGUUUUGAAUUUGAAUUUUAAAAUGGUUUUAAAUUUGAUUUUCGAAUGGGUUUGACCUAAAAUUUCAAUUUUGACCCAAAUUAAAAUCUUAUUUAAAAUUGACGAGUUUUUAUAUUUCCGUUAAAAUAUGAUUUUAACUUAAAUAUUAAAUUUGACCCCAAAUAGAAUUUUAUUUUAUUUAGGAGUGUUAUCCUAUAUUAAAAUAUUAAUUCUAUUAAAAUUAGAGUUUGGCUCUAAUUUAAUCUUAAUUAAAAUUUGAUUUUAAUUAAUUAUUCACCCAAAUAUGUUAUUGAAGUUAGAAUUGGAUUCUAAUUUGACAUUUAAUUAAAAUUUGAUUUUAAUUAAAUUGUCUCGCCCUAAAUUUCUUCUUGGAAUUAGAGUUUGACUUUAAUUUGCUAUUUAAUUAAAUUUUGAUUUUAAUUAAAUCAAUUCACCCUAAAAUUUUUUCCAAUUAGAGUUGGACUCUAAUUUGGUAUUUAAUUAAAAUUUUAAUUUUAAUUAAAUUAAUUCACCCUAAAUAUUGGAAUUAGAGUUAGACUCUAAUUUUGUUAUUUAAUUAAAAUUUGAUUUUAAUUAAAUUCAACCGCCUUAAAAUUUUUUAAAUUAGAGUUUGACUCUAAUUUGAUAUUUAAUUAAAAUUUGAUUUUAAUUAAAUUAUCCUGCCCCUAUAAUUGUUGAAUUAGAGUUGGAUUCUAAUUCGGUAUUUAAUUAAAAUUUGAUUUUAAUUAAAUAUGCCCGCUAAUUAAUAAUUGAUUAAUAUGAUUAAUUAAUUAUUUAAUUAUUCCGAUCUAUUUGUCUAAAAGAGUUUAGACGACCUUAAUUGCUAGAAACUUGAAAUGUUUUUGCAUAUAAUAUUAUAUAUGAUAUAGGCAUACGUUUAUGUGAUGAAUGUAUUACUAGUGGAUGAUUAUGGAUUCAAGUAUGUUGAUGUGUUAAUGGUUAAUUUUAUUCUUGUCGUGUUUUGGGCUGGCGAACCCAUUAUUAUUGUUAUUAUUAUGGGCCUGCUAGCUUUUAAUCAUUUUAGACCUGUGAGUCCGUUAUUAUUAUUAUUAUUACUACUAUGAGCCUGUGAGUCUAAUUUCAUUUAGGCCUGCGUGUCAACUAGUGUAAGAUAUAGGUUGCAAUUAGACUAAUUCAAGAAACAAGAAGAGGAGGAGACCAUGGAGAUGGUGCAUUGAUACUGUUCAAUGUUAUACCCUCUGGGAAUUGACCAACUAGUCUUUCUUAUGGCUUGGGAAGACUACAUAGUAAACGUCCAUAAUCGUUCACACUAUUAUCUUAUGUUGUAUGUAUAUAUAUAUAUAUAUAUAUAUAUAUAUAUUUGUAUGGUAGAUGUAUAAUAAAAUAUAUAUGAUUGUUACGAUGAGACUUAUGAAUGCAAAACCCCUCAAUGAAAUAUUAAGUUAAUUUAUUAUUCGCCUUUCAUCAUUAUAGUAAAAAAACUAGAGUCCCAAAUCGUCUCAACUUUUUGAGUACACUUAAGGCUGGGUUAUUAGGGAUAUGUUUGAUACUAUGAAAUAUUAGAUAUUUUUGAAUGAUGGGUCUGACUUAACUAAAAUUUAUUUUUUGUUGAGUACACUUAAGGAGAUAAAUUUUAGAGGCGUGUUAAACUAACGCAUAAGAUGUGUGAUGACAAAGAGUUGUCAGUUUAAUGAUUUGAGAGUUGUAUGUAAAUGCAAUUGAUAAUAGUAUCUACCCAAAUAUUUUAUUAAGGUUUGUUGAGUACACUCAAGGUCUUGAUAUAAUAGAAGAGAUCCCAACCCACUGGGAAUCAAGUAUGGAUUCCAUAAAUUUAUGUGAGAGGGUCAUAAAUUUGGGUUAAACAGUGGGAGCAUAAUUAAUUUAAUAAAAGUCCAUGUUAAAUUAAUUGAUACAUUUUAUAUAUUAUUCUUUUUCUUUUUGUCAUUUAUACUUAUUGAAUCAUGACUAAUCAUGUGUAUUUGGGUGGCAUACUGGAUGCCAACAAUCAAAUCAAAUCAAAUCUUCUUGAUUGGCACUGCAAUUUGAGAAUUGUACUUAUGCAUGAGAAAAUGUGUCACGUCCUUGAGUAGCCCUUUCCAAAAACACAUGUUGAUGACUCGAUUAAAGAAGAGGUGGCUACUGUAAUAAACAUAGUGAUGACGAUAGUACUACAACAUGUGUGAUGUUUGCAUUACGUCACCUGAGUUACAAAAGCAACUUCAGAGUAUAGAUGUUGACGCAUGAUUUUUCAUUUCAAAGAGUUGCAUGAUAAUAAUCAUGUGUGGAAGGAUGAGAGACUUCCAAGCAACUAUACCGAUGCAAAAUGACAGAGCGAUCUUCAGUCAGUGCUAAGGUACUGAAGGUGAUUGACGUUGAGAAGUUUCUCAAUUAAGUUCAAUCAUGAACCAUGAACUAAGUAUUCCCUUUGUUCUGCAAUCUCCAUCGGAAAGAGCUAUUCGCAAGUAAUUAUGAAUUAUGAUAUGAAUAAGCUCGAAUACAUACUCAUUAAGUUACUUAACAUGCUUAUGACUGUUAAGCUCGAUAUCAAAGUUAGUAGUGGGCAAGCUAUUGAUUCCUGUAAGGAUAUUAAGAGAAAGUUUAAAUGGGCUUUAUGAAAACGUCCAAUAUGGCUAAGAUCGUCAAAGCGAAGGACAAUACCAAAUCUGAUGACCUUUGGUUUCAUUAUAGAAUGAAAGGUCAUUGGAAGAAAUAUUACAUGGCUUACGUAUAUUUCACGAGUUUCUUAGGUAUUUGAUACCAGAUGUAGACAUUAUAUUUAUACAAAUAUGGAGAAACUAAAUAGAAGUAUACCACUACGAAAGAGAGAAGUUGACCUACACGUUGAAGAUGAGCAAAUGUUGUCGCAUUGCCUAUAGGAGCAUACUUCUUACUAUUGCCUUUUAGCUUAGUAUUGGAAUUAGAGAAAUGUUGCUUUGUAUCCACCGUAGCUGGAACAUUAAAAUAAAUUUCAUGUUCAGACAUGAACUAUUUUAAUGUUAAGGAUAAUUGUUGUUCCUACUUAUCUUGAUUAAGAUCUUAAUAAAUAUGGUAAGCUACAAAAUAAACAUUUAUAUUCUAAACACUAAGCAUUCUAUAAUGAGUAUAGAAGUUAAGAUGUAUAAAAGAUAUAAUCUGAAUAAUACCCAAAUCUAGCAUUGCAGAAUUGGUCAUAUAGAUGAAAUGCAAUUUCAAAAUUACAUAGAGAUGUAUACGUAAAGUCAAUUGAUUUUGAAUCGUUUGACAAAUGCAAAACAUGUCUGUUUGGCACAACGAUCAAAUCUCCUUUUACUUGAAAAAGAAUAAGUCUGCAUAAAUAUUGGCAUAAUACAUAGUGAUAUAUAUAGACCCAUGUCAAUUAAUGGCAAAUAAAGUUUCUCUUAUGUCAUCAAUUAUCAUGUAUACUUGAUAAAAUUCAAGCAUGAAGUUCUUGAAAUAUUCAAAGGAUUCAAGCUAGAAGUAGAUAAACAAAUAGGUAAUGAUACCCACACAUUAAGAUCCGAUCGAAGUAAGAAUAUCUUAAAGAUAAAAUUUAGAUUACUUAAGAGAGAAUGAGAUUCUUUUGCAGUGGACUCCUCCAUAUACACUGCAGCAUAAUGGUGUAUCUAAAAGGAGGAAUCGUUAACUAUUAGAUAUAGUGCAAUUAAUAACAAGUCAUGCAAAUCUCCCAAAAUUGUUUGGGAUCAUGCAUUGAUUGCAGUGUGCAACACACUAAAUCAUGUCACAUCUAAGUUGGUUAACAAAACUCCAUACGAGUUAUGAAAAGGCAGUAGUCCCAAUUUAUCUCAUAUGAAAGUAUGUGGCCAUAACACUUAUUUGAAGCGCCUUGAAUCGGAUAAGUUUGAAACUAAAUCUGAUAAAUACAUAUUUGUGGGGAUACUCCAAGCAGAAAUUUGAAUAUAAAUUCUAUUAUCAUGAAGAAAGUCUUCGUCUCACGAUAUAUCGUCUUCUUAGAGAAAAUAUUUACUUUAGGAGAGGACAGUGGGAGUAAAAUAGAACAUGAAAGAGUUCAAGAGUCCACAGAUAUAGUUAACCAAGUAGAUGAAUUCGAAUUUUAUCCCAUAUCUGAUAUGGGACAUACUCUUGAUCAGAAAGUGGAGACUCCUGAAGACAUUAAGCUCUAUGUGAAUCUAGUAGGAUCAUUCGACCUUUAUGAAGGUGCGAAUCCAUGAUUAUUAAUCAGACAUUGCUUAUUCAGGAUGAUGAACCUAUUAAUUGUACAAAAACAAAGUCAAAUGUUGACUUAAAAGAGAUAGCAAGAGGCCAUGAAACUCGAGAUAAACUCGAUGUAUGUGAACAAGGUUUGAACCUUGCUCGACCCUCCUGAUGGGAUGAAACCUAUAGGUUGUAAAUAGUUUACAAUAAAAGGUUGACGUGGAUGGAAAUAUCCAUACAUACAAAGCAAGGUUAGUAGCAAAAGAUUAAGUGUUGACCUUGGUGAAACUUUACCCUGUACCUUUGCUGAAAUCCAUUCGGAUUUUAGUUGCAAUAGUUGCAUACCAUGACUGUGAGUUAAAGCAAGUCUUUUGGAGUUGAAAUCUUCAAUUUGAUACAAAAUUAAAAGGUUUGAUUUUAUAAAAUAUGAAGACGAAUUGUGUGUUUACAAGAAGAUAGUGGGAGCAUUGUCGAAUUCCUAAUAUUAUAUGUAAGACAUAUUAUUAAGAGGAAAUGACAUCCCUACAUUUCAAUCGUUAAAAUUGUAGUUGUUAAAGGAUUUAUUCAUGAAUGAUAUAGGGAAGCAACUUGAUCUAUAGAGAUAGAUCUAGAAGAGUGCUUAACUCAUUCCAAUCUAUAUAGAUAAAAUCUUCUCAAGAUUUUAUAUGGAGAAAUUGGUUUACUCUUAAACGGUGUGUUGGAAAGGUUCCAAAUAUGAAACGAUCAUUGAUUCGAUAGCGGAAACCUAAUACAUGAUUGCUUCAAAAGCAGCAAAUAGUUGCAAUAUGGAUCAAGAUGUUCAUUAAUGAACUUAGAGUAGUUCCUAAUAUUAUUGAUCACAUACCAUUGUAUUGUGAUAACAAUAGAACCACCGCGAAAGCGAAGGAACUAAAGUUUCAUCAAUGAUCCAAACAUGUAUUAAGGUGAUAUAAUCUCAUCAGAAAGAUAAUACAUAGAAAUAACUAAAGAGAAGAACGAAUUCCUACAUUUGACAAUAUUGCAGAUCCAUUGACAAAGAGUUGUCGUAGCAUAAAUAUGAUCGUCAUGUAGACUCUUAUGACAUUGGAUACAUAAGUGAUUGGAUCUAGUGCAAGUGGGAGUUUGUAAGUGUUGUGCCCUAAGUCCAAUCAACAUUGGAUAUAAAUUCUUUUAUUAUAUAAUUAAUGCGAUUUAAUGGCAGAUUUAUUAUUUAAUUAAUAGACAAUUAAAUUAAAUAAUAGUUCGUAGAUUCAAAUUUUCGUAAUUUGUUAAUCACAAGGAGUUGUGAUUGUGAGAUAUAAAUUACAUAUGUUGACUUUUAAAUCGUUCAUGGCCGUAAGUAAUAACGAGAUGCGGAUAUCAUUAUUACGGAUAGACUAUCACGUGUGACAUUUCUUACUUGUGAAGCAAGUAGUUGAUCUCUAAAGUGCUGUGACACUUAAAUGAACACGUGGAUGUUUUGUUAUAGAACAAAAUACUAGAGAUCCACCGAGAGAUUCCACAUGGAUAACUAUUUGAGUGUCAGUGGUUAAUCUCUAACGUUCGAUAGUGGAAUUGGUCCUUUGACUUGAGGUCGUCAUGGUACCUUAUAUGAGGAUAGUCAUACUUUAGCGGUGUUGGAUGUUACUCUGCCAAGGACUGCUAAUAUGGCAUCGUUCGGGUAUGUCAAGAAUCGUAUGAAGGUUGUGAAUGACCAAUAGAGGAUUCCUCACUUUUAGAUAGUAAGAGAUUAUAAUCUGCGUUUCAUUCAAUUAAGUCGAUAACCAAAUUCUUGGCCAAGGUGUACUCAUAAGUCAAAAAGAAGCUUUCGACUUAUAUUGACUUAAUAGUGGAGUGAAAGAUAUGAUUGGUAAUCAAGAUUGACACACUUCCAUAUCUCGUAAAUUGAUCGGAUCAUAUUGACGAAAAAAUUAUAAUUUCACGGUAAACGAACGAGUUUGGUUUCGUCAUACCACAUGACAUUUUCCGUCACAUGUAUUGCCCUGACACAUUGCCAGAUGUCAAUUUGGGAUGGCGAGUGUGAAUUGGUGAUAAAUUAAAAGGGUGUUUUAAUUUAUCAAUUUUGAUUAGAUCAAAAUAAUAUUUCACGUCGUUAAAUAUCGUGAUAGGGAACUUGAUGGGUCGCACACAAAAAGAGAAUUUGAAGAUUGUAAUUUAUCAAUUAAUUAAUUUAACAAGCGUUGGACAAAAUAAUUAAUUGGGUUGCAUAUUUAUAAGCCCGAAUUAAUUAGUUCACAGACCAGAUUUAAGGGGUAAAUUAAAUAUUGGAUCGGGUCAGGUUAAGCCUGUUUGUGCUUAUAUAAAUAUGACUAGGGUUUUCAAAUUAUGUAGAGAAUUCAUUAUUCUUGCUAGCAUAAGAAAAAAACCCUAAUCCUACAAUCUUGUUUUCUGUGUGGAUCACCGUUGGAGGUUGAACAAUUGAACAGUUGUGGGAGACAGAUCCAAGUUGUUGGAACAAAGAUAUGGCAAAGGAGUUUGCAGAUCUAGAAAAAGUACAACAUCUUUAUCACAAUUCCUAUCUAAACACAAAGGCGAUUCUUGGUGGGAAUCGAAAAUUAUUUUAAUUUUCCGCUGCGCGUGUUAAGUCGAUUCCCAACAAAUACAAUAUUAUAUAAUCAAAUAUUAAGACCAGAUGAAUGUCGAAUUACAUAGAAGGCUCGUGGAAGAUUCAACCGAACUAAUCUACUUCCAUUCUGAUACAUUAUAGUUUAUACACGCAAUUUUAAUAAAAUUUCUAGCAAGCAAAGAUAAACUAUGCUACAUAUUCAUUAGAUUAUGCCAAAUUCCUAGCAAACAAAGAUAAACUAUGCUAAAUAUUCAUAAAAUUAAUGGUUUACAUGAUUAAGAAUAUUAAUUCUACCUGCAAAGUCAUUAUCAACUUCUCAUUAUUGUUUGAUAGAAUUGGAAAUAUCCCAACAUGAUCCGUAACUGUGUAUCGUAGUUUUAACACGAAGUUAUUUUCUUUUGUAGGCCAUGUUUGUCCCACCUUCUUUUGAAAUUCAUUUGGAAGAGUCAUUGUUAUCUUCUCAUCCUACAUGACCAGUAACUGAGUAUCUUAGCUUCAAGACAAGAAGAUGUUUUCUUGCAUAGGCCAUGUUUGUCAAACCUGCUUUGGAAAGUCAUUUGGCGUAUUAUAUAAUAGUCAAUGAUGGAAUUUGAUAUUUAUUGUCAUUUAUGAUUUAUAUACUAUAUAUAUCCUCUCUAUAGAGGACAGAACACAUAUUGUUUGCGUAACUUGCAGUGCAUUGACAGAAAGCGCCAAUACGAAAGUUUGAUUUAGGUUUAGCAUUGCUGUUAUUGUACAAGUCCAAAAUCAUUGUCCGUCUAUUCUAACAAGCUGUAGAUUGGUCAUCGAAAUUUUAAGUGAAAUAUUAGUCAUUGUCAUUUAAAUGUGCACUUUACUUAGUUAUCCACUCCGUUUACGCCUAUCUACUCUAUUGCAGAAAAUUUUAUCUCCCUGAAGCAAACCACAUAUUUAAAAGAGACUUAUCAUGAUUAAUAAUAAGACUACAAGUCAAGUUUAGUUUAAUGAUUUCAACUAGUCAUUGUACGGAGAUAAACUUGCUUAAUUUUUGGUACGAGAACAAAAUUAAAUAUUCAUGUAAACAAAAUUUUAUUUUAUUUUCUUCUUUAAUGUGGUAUCUUAUUUUUCAAUAUUUCACUUGUUGAAAAAAGAAAAUGUGACACGGUUAAAUGAAUGCAUCGGAUAAGAAAAAGUGGUACGAGAUUAAAAAAAAAAAACACUCACCUAUAUCCACGGAAGAAGACCAACCAAUUCACUCAAAAUACAAACUUUUGGCACUCUCUCAAGUCUCAAGUCACAACUACUCAAAACUUUAAAGUUGAACAUGUUUCAAAGUUGAACAAAACAUGCGCUUCUCCAUUAGAAUUUAGCUUUAUUAAUAUUGAACUUAUGGAUUUGUAUUGAUUUCAUCCCAAGAGACGGCCAUUCUAAAUUAAAUAUCGAAUGAUUAUAUUAUUACAAUCAUGAAUUAUAUUGUUUUCUUUUAAACAUUUUUAUAAGGCGAUUUGUCUCUACUUUUUUAAAAGUAGCAUAUUCACUGGUCCUAUCAUGUUGUGGUAUUCCUUCUGUACAACCUAUUUUCAUGCUGGUUAAUUUAGGAGUAAUGUUAUGUUACUCAUAUUGUUUGCCUUUCGACAGAAACCUUAACCGUAGUAGGCAUGCAGGUAAAUUAGUUGGGCUGUUUCCAGAGACAUUCUUUAAAGCAUCAAAACUAAGUGUUUCACUGGCAGUCCCUAAGAAAGCUGUCUCCAAAAAUUUGAAAAUCCAUGACUAAGUUACAGUUACAACGAAUGAGCGAAGGUAUUAAAAUGUUCCUAGAACUUGUCCCUAUUUGUGUACCUUCCAUAAGAUUAUCCACCCAUAUCUGACCUUUCUAUUUCUCUCUCCCCCCCCCCCCCCCCCCCCCCCAAAACAAGCAUAUCAUUCUAUUCAUCUAUCCAUACAGGGCAGGGCAGGUCUGGCUUUUAUCCAUCUAGAAAAUGCUAUUUUUUUCUAGCUAAGCUAUUUGUUUGUUGUGUUGAGCGAUACAGCUUCGUUCAUCUUAUAAUAAAAAAAAGAGUUGCCUAGCAUCCACUCGACCACAUUAUGGUGCACUUAACAGCAAUGUAGAUGACGGUAUGAUCAUUAUUACAUUUUCAAAGUUAAAAUGUAUAUUUAUUUAUUAUACAAUAUAAGAAUAAAUUAACUGCCAACUAAAUUAAUGUUAAACGCUGCUAAUUUUAAAUAACAUUAUUAUUUACAUGACAUCAUUUUUCUCUAUAAGUGUAUGCAGAAGCAUGCAAAUGUCAUAACAUUGUACAUGAAUUUAUUGAAAAACAUAAGGUGCUCAUAUACUACAGUUUACAACAUUGAAAUUCUAAGGAUUGAAUUUCAAUCAUCUCAUCUAAAAAUCAAUUGGUGUUCAAUGAGGGCAGCGUAAACGUUUUAUGAUAAUCUAUCCUAUGUGAGUGAACUAACCUAUGAACUUAAGAGCUACUUUGCUGCUCCCCAACAAUGUCUUUGUCAACAUGAUGCUCUUGUAUUCAAAACCUAUGACCUUAGCUCUAAUAUCUCUUGUUAGGAUUGAGUUUCAACCAUCUCAUCUCAUGAUCAAUUAGUACAUUGAGUGGUAAUCUAAACAUUGUAUGGCAUUCGACCAUCAUCAUUUGAGUAAUCUACCUCUUAAGCUUAAGAGCAUACUUGUUUCUCUCCAACAAGUAUUCGGGAACACAAUAUUAGAAUGCACAUCUUGAAGAUCAUAGAUGAUUUUAUCGUGAGUAGAAACAAAUAAUUGUGGAACUUUUUUUCUUUGAUCGAGGUAUGUAUCCCCUGGAUUUUCAUAUAUAACACAGUUGUAAUGAGAAAAUUUCUUUUCCUAUUCAGAAAAAAAUGAUAAACUCUUUUUCUUUGCCUAUAGUUUUCUCGUAUGGCUUUCCUAGUAAAGUUUAAAGGAGACAUUAUUUGAGAAUAGACAUCCAAGAGGAUUUGUGCUUGAAUCACUUUUGCAAUUGAUAUCUAAGUUAGAUAGAAGACUCAAAGAAAAUAAGCGAAGAAUCAAUGGAAAACUCUCAGUCCAAGCACCAAAUGGUUACAAUAUUAUCAUGGCCCAAAUAACUAGAUAAACCUUUAUAGAAUUUUCAAGAGAACGAUGGAUGAAUACUCUCAAUCCGAGCACCAAAUGGAUACAAUAUUUAUCAUGACCCAAAGCAAUCUAACAAGGGUACAGAACUAGAUAACUAGUUAAUUAGAUUGAUAAUUCUUAUUCAAAGACCAAUUAAAGAUAAUUAAUGUGGGCUAGCCACGUUCAUUGAACCUUAUUCAAAUUCAUCUUCACACACACAUGUAUCGCUAAAAUCAUUAUCAUUGACGUCUUUCCACUUAAUAUAGACGUGGAGAUAAUCUUGGGGAAAGAAGAAUAUCCAGAGGGGUAGAUUUCAUAUUAGUUAGUCCAGAACUCGCACGCAUAUCAACUUUUUCAUCAAAAGGAGUUGAAAGUUCAAAUGCAUGCAGCAAAUUAGCCAGGAUAAAAUGCAACAUCUGAAGGCCAAACGUUGUGCCAGCACAAAUUCUUCUACCAGCUCCAAAUGGGAUCAAUUCGAAAUUAUGACCUUUCACGUCAAAAUCUUUAUGAGUCAUGAGGAAUCUCUCUGGCUUAAACUCCAAUGGGUCAGACCAUAUUCGAGGGUCUCUAUGUAAUUUCCACAUAUUUACGAUUAGCUUCGUACCUAUCAAAAGUAAGAUCUCACAUUGUUAAUGUAAAUUGAAUACCUAAUGCAUAAUGACUUUGGAUUCAUAUAAUAAAUAUCAAAUUAACAAGAAUUUCAAUGUAUUUAAAGUUCAAAAAAGUAAUUAGAUUUCAAAGUUAGUAUUUUCAAACAAGUUAACAUGUUGUGUGAGCAUGAUAAAGGUAAAAUCUAAAAAUAAUGGUCUUUAUUUCUCGUAAUAAGAUCGAUCUUUUAAAGUAGGGAAAAAAAGUGCAUUACAUGUACCUUUCGCAAUGUGGUAACCUGCUAAUACGCAGUCAGCUGAGAAUUCCCUUAUACCACCCAAGAAAGCUGCUGGGUAUAAUCUUAAAGUCUCUUUGACAAUGGAUUGAAUAUAAACCAGUCUGUUGAUGUCUGACUCCUUUACUUGCCUUUCCUUUCCAACAUGAAUGUCCAAUUCUUCUUGAGCCUUUCUCAAUACAUGGCGGUUGUUUAGUAAUAGGGCUACUGCCCAUACUAGCAUAACAUUGGUUGUGUCACCUCCACCAGCGAUUAAAUUCUAACGAUCACAAGAUAAUAGCUACUAUUAAAAUAGAUAACUUCUUACUUAAAAUUUUUGUUUAGCUAAAACUUUAUAAAAAUUUUAGUCAAAGUCAACAAUUAAUUAUAAUUACACAUUAUAGUGACCCACAACUUUUAUCAGCUUUUCAACCAAACAUUUUAUCAACUUUUACCACAGCAUACUGAAAAUCUUAAGCAAAGCCAAAUACGGUUUAAUAUGUUCAGAAAAAAAUUUACUUUAAAGUAGCCUUUAUCUAAUUUUUAGCUAGACGAAAUCUAAUCUUACUUAUUUGCCUCUUAAUUCUUUCUUAUAUAAGUGUUAAAUGGUGUGCGAUUACUUCUUCAUCAACUUUUAUCAAAAUCUAUUAAAAAUUUAAUUUUCAAUAAAAUCCAAUGUGUUUAAUAUAUUUAGAUAAAAAAGUUAUUUAAAAGUAACAUUUACCUAAUUUUUAGCUAGACAGGUAAAUAUUUAACUAAUUUUUAAUAUUUUGUCUCAUAAUUCUUUCUUAUACUAUUGUUAAAUGGUGUGACAUCACUUCCUUCGUGGUUUAGACACUUUAUGCUUACAGAAUCACUUUAUCACAUAUAUGUUCUAUUGACAUAUUUGAUAUAUUGGAUUUGAAAAUAAUGAAAAGAUCAAAGAAUAAAUACAAAAUAAGUAAUAUCUGCCAUGCCAUGAUAUCCAGUAUAGUGAAUACCAAACGUGUUGCAUAGUUCUUCAUGCUUUUCAAUUUUUGGAUAUCAAGAAUUUUGGGAUCAUUUUUC